CGAAACUCUAAAAUAUCUAACACGACAUCUAUAAAAAAGAAAUGCGGGGAGGGGGGUCACAAAGCAAACAUAGAGAGAGAGAGAGAGAGAGAGAGAGAGAUUGAGCUAAGGACAAUGAUGAGGAAAGUAUUGGUUGCAGUGUUGAUUGUGAGCAUGGUCGCUUCUCAUUUUGAGAACGUAGCGUCUGAUGCUUCUGAUUGCAUGGACGCAUGUACCACCGGCUGCGUUCAAUCAAACACAAGACUUACGAGCCGCUGUGAUAUCAAGUGUGGGAUAAGAUGCGGUCCAGAUUCUGAAGUCGAAGAUCACACAGGUUAAAGAACUUGGGAGUCUCAAAGAUGAAUGCUACCUGGAAUCUGUUUAUGGAAUAAUUUGCAGCAAUUCUUUUGACUGUUUUUAUUUUCUGUCAAAUUCUCAGUGUUGAUAGUCUUUGUAUUAGAAAUAAGAAGGGAAGUGCAGGGGGGGAUUAGGGCUAUCCAAUCUCAAAUUUGAAUAAAGAAAGGAGAGAAUCACUUCUGAAACUUCAGCUGCUGUAAGAAAAAUUGUAGCCUUUUGUUCUUGAAACUUGAUGAUCAUCAUUUUAGACACAGAAAAACACAGAUUCAUCUAUCAAGCUAUAAGGCACCAGUAAAGUACACACUGCAAUCUGCAUCGUGGAACAAGCAAUUAAAGGAAAUCAUGAUAAACGAAGUGGAAGAGGAGAGAGGCCAUAUUGUCAUCUUCUGGAACGAAGAACCAGAAGAAAUUCCUCAGAAUCCUAAAACAUCAAAACAGCAAAUAACCUCCAUGGAGGAGACAAUUUCAUUAGCCAGUUAAACUCAGGCUGGCCACUAGUGCGCGCACAGCAGAAGGCCACAUACUAGUGCAUGCAAUAAUUAAUGUCUGCCAUCUCAGAUCUGCCUUUUUCUGCUUUCAGCAACCCUGCGUUUCGCAAAUCAUGGUGGGUCCAUGAAUAAAAAAUAGUAUUUCUUACUUUACCAAACAAUUGUUUUAAUUAGGUAAAAAUCUUAAUUAACAUCCGUCUCUCAAUUUUUCAAAAUAUAUAUUUAGUUAUUGUUAUUGAUUUUUUUUAUUCAUUAACAUAGAGGAUUCUCAUUUGUUUAAUUAUAUGGAUACAUAAGUUUCUUGAUUUAUGUUUAAUUUUUUAAUUUGAAAAAAAUGUUAAAAAAGCUUUCAUGUUUAAUUUUUUUUUUGCUAGUAAAAAUUAUCAAACAAAAUCGUGACGUGUCACGUUUGAAAUAGCUAGUAAACUUGAUAAAACGUUUGUGAAGGUCAAUUAAUAAGACAUUUCAAAUAAAUAACCUAAUAGCUUUUGUUUUUUUAAAAAAAAUUUAUCCUACUAAACAAUUACCUUGCCCAUCUCUGAACUUUUAUGAUAGUGAUUUUUUUUAAUAUAUAUAUAUAUAUAUAUAUAUAUAUAUAUAUAUAUAUAUAUAUAUAUAUAUAUAUUAUUGAUCCGAUAUCAUGUAAUUUUUUCUAUACUAAUUGAAUCUUAUUUUCCUUAUUAUUUUAUUAUCUAAAAAAAAAUUAGAAGUUCAUUUCUAAAAAAUUAAAUUGAAGAAAUUCUAUUUGCUCAAAAAAAUUUAUUAUUUUUUUAUCUAAAAAAUCGAAGUUAUACGUAUAAAAACAAAAGGCAGAAACACAUUGUAUCGAUUAUUUGUUUUUUUUUAGGACUUGAAGCAAACAGAAACACACUGUCCCACAUCGAGCAAUAACUGUGAAGCAUCUUCUUGAAAAAAUGUUGGAAUCCAAUGUGAUGCUCGUUCAAACAUUGCUCCUUCUUUUCUUUAUUCAUCAGGACUUGAGCGAAACGGUGAGCUAAGCUUUUUUCUCGGACAAAAAUGCCCUUGAACAAAGAGGAAAAUAUUGUCCCACAUCGAAGCAAGAGAGAUAUCUCACGAAGGCAGUAAAUAGUCUUUUAUCUUUUUUUCUUAUGACAGAUGAAUCAUGACCGUGUGAUCAUAGCUUGCUAGAUUGUGACUGUGGAGGAUCGUUUCUUAACCAUGGAUGGUCCUGCGGUUGUCUGACAGGCCACCACUCCCACGAAGCCUAUUAUUAGAGCUACAACGGCAACUCCCAAAAUCCCAAGUUCUCCUUCCUGUAUUUUUUUCCCUUGUAGUUUCAGUUCACAGCAAGAUAGCUUCUGUAGCGAUUGGCUUCCUGUUACACCAUGAGCACUCCCAAGCAAACGUAGUUGUUCAUGGCGGUCAUUUUCACUUCUCUUCGAUACUUAUCGGUGUAUUCCUUUGAAUACCAAAUUGGCGGAAACGAAAACUUGGUUGUCCCUCCCGCCAUUGAUACCAGAAUCUACGUUGACUGGGCCUUAGAGAACCGAUUCCAAGUUGGUGAUACAGCUCGUGAUCAGUUCAAACACAAAGAAAUACGAGAUCUGCCUUUACCUUCAAUUUCCUGGGUGUUCAUCAUCUUUUUUUGCGAAGGUUUCAAGCACAGGAAGGAUUCCGUGAUGAAGGUUAGGGCAGAGGAUUACAAGAAGCGCAACUCCCGUCACCCCAACUUCUUUUCCAACACUGUUCACCAUCUUAAUCAUCCAGCGUCUUCCUACUUCAUAAGUGGGGUUUCUGGACACUGCGAGAAGGGACAAAGGAUGAUCAUCAUUAAGGUUAUCUCAACUGAUCAAGAGACUAAUUCAAAUCUGCAGCUUUUCCUUCUGCAGGAGUGCUAGUCUUUCGGUGCCUGGAAAGUGCUCUUAUCUCAGCUUGUUUCAUUCUAACAAAAUACCACCGCUAAAGCACCGCAGCCGCUCAGGGUCUUCCUCGUACAUUCAUAUUACUCUCCCCUUGGACACUACCGGGGCUCGAAGCAAAAAGACGGACAGAGAUAAAAAUACCUAGGACCAGAUUUGUCCCACAUCAGAAAAGAACGAAGAAACAAGAGAGUUAAUAAACUGUUCGAGGAGCUCAGAACAACACGACCUUACUUGAACAGGAUCUGUUCUAUAGGAUCGUACCUCUGUAUCCUUAAUCACUAAGGAGACAGGAACUUAAACCUGGUUGAGGAAUCAUGACCGUGUGAUCAUAGCGUGAGUAAUGGCUUGAUGGCCCUCGUGAUCAUCAUGGCUGUAGAGGAUCGUUUCUCAGCUAUUAACAUGGCUGGGAAUGGUCAUGCGGUUGUCUGACAGGUUUCUUUAUUUUUGAAAAAUCACGUACGUUGUCAAAAAUAUACGUAUGUUUUUUCUCCUAUAAAACAAAAACAAAGAAUUGAUACGGAAAAAGGCUAUGCAUAUAAGUUAGGUUGAUGCCCCCUCCCUCCAUCUUUCCCGACCUUCAACAAAAUCUUAAUCCAUGGCAACCUGAUUUUAUUAAUCUAUUUUACUACAGCAGGGGACUAUAUUUGUUAUCGUAAAAUCUAGCAUCAUCCUAAAAAUUGAUUUUAUUUGUCUUUUCCUUUUCUAGUCAACUCGAGUUUCUUAAUACAUUUUAUAAUAGGCUCUUCCUCCGAGUGUUUUAAUUAAUGAAAAUGUUGGAAUUUUGGUUUUCUUUUAAUUUUAUAGACUUCAUAUACUUUAAGUUGAUUGGUGUAUUCCACUUUCAUCCCAGGUUAAAUUAUUAUAACAAAACUGAGAGAAAAAAAAGGAAAUGGAGUGUCAUGGAUAUAUAUCAUGUCAUGUAAGUAUCUAUAUCAAUUAUAGAUUUUUGCUCUUCAAAAAUACUAUUUUUCCUAGCAUCCCAAAAAUUAAGGUAAGAUGCAUGAAUUACUAUCCAAUUCUCCUUAUAUUUACCAUAACAACCAACACUAUGUAGUUUCUCUCCAAAAUCAACAUAAUUUGAUAUAUGUUGAGAUAAUUUAAAUUAUCGCAUUACUCAAUCUGGAUAAUAUAUCUCAACAAUAUCAAAGUCAUGUAGAGGGACUUGUGCUAAUCAAAUGUCAGAUUUCUUAUGAUAUAUAAGCGAAACUUAAAGUAUCAACUCCUUUGUAUAUAACAUUUAUAUAACCUAUUAGAACAUAUAAAACAAUUAUCUCAAAUAAUCAAUUGAAACUAAAUAAUUAACUUUAAAAUAAUAAGAAAAUUAAAUAUAUUUUUAAUAUAUACCUGAUAUGACUGUUGCGUACCCAAAUCAUCUUGAUAAAACUCAUAGACUGAAAUUCAGUAUGAAAUGUCUAGCCCCACACCAUUUGACAAGAUAAGCCACUAAGUUAGUUGUAUAUUUUUUUUACAUGCAAUUUAUAUAAAUAACAUGUUGACUAUAUAAUCAACUAGAAAAAUAAUUCGGGUUAACAUGUUUAACCUGUAAAAUUUGUUAUUCAGAUCAUGAUACCUACAUACAAAAUAAAUUAAAAAUGAUAAAAUCUAAUGUCCCAGCAAACUGAAUAUUGAAAAAAAAAGUUUGAAAUUAAAAGGUUAAAAAACCCCUAAAAAAUCUUAAAGAACAAUAAUAAAAAAAAAGUCUUCAAUAACAAUUAAUGAUCUGUCUCUCUGUUAUAUAUAUAUAUAUAUAUAUAUAUAUAUGUUAGGGCAAAAAACAGAUCAAAAGAGCACCCAUCUCCCUCGAAUCUCUGCCAGGUCAAUGGCAAGGAAACGAUCCUCUACAGCCAUGAUGAUCACGAGGGCCAUCAAACCAUCACUCCCGCUAUGAUAAGGCGGUCAUGGUUCCUCAACCAGGUUUGGAUUCCUGACUCCUUAGUGAUUAAGGAUACAGAGGUACGAUCCUAUAGAACAGAUCCUGUUCAAGUAAGGUCGUGCUGUUAUGAGCUUCUCGAGCAAUUUAUUAACUCUAUUGGUUCUUCACUCCUUUUCAAUGAGGGACAAAUCUGGUCCUAGGUGUUUUUAUCCUUGAGGAAAACGCUCUGUCCGUCUUUUUGCUUCGAGCCCCGGUAGUAUCCAAGGGGAGAGUAAUAUGAAAGUACGAGGAAGACCCUGAGCGGCUGCGGUGCUUUAGCGGUGGUAUUUUGUUAGAACGAAACAAGCUGAGAUAAGAGCACUUUCCAGGCACCGAAAGACUAGCACUCCUGCAGAAGGAAAAGCUGCAGAUUUGAAUUAGUCUCUUGAUCAGUUGAGAUAACCUUAAUGAUGAUCAUCCUUUGUCCCUUCUCGCAGUGUCCAGAAACCCCACUUAUGAAGUAGGAAGACGCUGGAUAAUUAAGAUGGUAAACAGUGUUGGAAAAGAAGUUGGGGUGACGGGAGUGGCACUUCUUGCAAUCCUCUACCCCGACCUUCAUGACGGAAUCCUUCCUUUACUUGAAACCUGCGCAAAAAAAGAUGAACACCCAGGAAAUUGAAGGAAAAGGUAGAUCUCAUAUUUCUUUGUGUGUGAACUCACGAGCUGUAUCACCAACUUGGAAUCGGUUCCCUAAGGCCCAGUCAACGUAGAUUCUGGUAUCAAUGGCAGGAGGGACAACCCAGUUUUCGUUGCCGCCGAUUUGGUAUUCAAAGGAAUAGACCGACAAGUAUCGAAGAGAAGUGAAAAUUACCGCCAAGAACAACUACUUUUGCUUGGGAGUGCUCAUGGUAUAACAGGAAGCCAAUCGCUACAGAAGCUAUCUUGCUGUGUACUGAAACUAUAGGGGAAAAAAGACAGAGAGGAGAACUUGGGAUUUGCCGUUGUAGCUCUAAUAAUGGGCUUCGUGGAAGUGGUGGCCUGUCAGACAACCGCAGGACCAUCCGUGGUUUUGAACCGGUUUGUUAGAGUUUGUGUUUUUUCAAAAACACACGAAGCAAACGUUUGAUUAACCAUGAAAAAAAAAAUAUAUAUUUACUAUGCAUGAGUCCCAUAAUAAAUUGCGUGUGAAAUACACAAAAAUGAAAAGCAGAAAAAUACUACUUUUUUGCGCGGCUAAAAAACUCAACCAUGCUACACUAUUCAGUAAACAGUGUAGCAUGCCUCCACUAUUCAUUGAACAGUGGAGGCAUGUGUUCACUGUUCACUGAACAGGGGGAGCAUGUAAACAGUAUAAGAAAAUUGCACUGUUCACGUGAAUUUUUUUUUAAAGUGUGUUAAUUUUUUUAACAUUUUUUUUUAAAAAAACACUAGUAUAAAGUAAAUUAAAUUCACUCGCAUUGUAAUAUCAAUUUUAUACUUGAUAAUAUUUUAUUUAUGCUCAAAAAAUUAUGAAAACUGUAGUUCUUAUCGGAUGAAUUUUGUACGUAAUGGAAUUAUAAAUAGUUUAAUGGAAUAAUAAAAAGUAUUUUUUUUAUAAAUUAUUUUUUAUUUCAUGAUGUAAUAGGAGUAAUUAAUUCUACAAUAUUUAAAUUUAAAACCAUCAAUAUUAAUAUAUAUUUUUUUAAAUUAUUUUAUAACUUCAAUUUCAAAAGCAUUCUUAACCAAACACAUUAAACUACUUUUUCUUCAACCACAUUUUUAACCAAACACCUAUUUUUUCAAACUAACCUCAACUAAAAGUAUUUUUUAUAAAACAACUUUUUUUAAACCACAACCACAACAACUACUGCAAUACCAAACACACUCUAAGAAACGAUCCUCCACAGUCACAAUCUAACAAGCACUGUUAUUAAACCCGGUCCGGCCCGGCGGGUCGACCCAAGACCCGGUGGCUAGACCGGUCCGGGUUUAAUAAAAGACUGGCUGUGGCAACAGCCCGGGUGACCCGGUUUUUUUUUCAAAUGUGAGAUUUGAAACCCAUUAGUAUAUAUACUCUAUGUUCCCAAGAAAAAAAGUCAUGUUUUUUCAAUGUGGGAUAAAAAACCUUUUGGUUUAAAUACUUCAACUUAACAGGAUAACAUAGUAUCUUUUCAAUGUGGGAUUUGAAGCCCUUUCAUAUAUAUACUCUAUGUUCCCAAGAAAAAAGUCAUGUUUUUUCAAUGUGGGAUAAAAAACCUUUGGUUUAAAUAUUUCAAUUUAAAAGGAUAACAUAAUAUCUUUUCUGGGAUUUGAAGCCCUUUCAUAUAUAUACUCUAUGUUCCCAUGAAAAAAGUUAUGUUUUUUCAAUGUGGGAUUUGAAAUCCAUUAGUAUAUAUACUCUAUGUUCCCAAGAAAAAAAUCAUGUUUUUUCAAUGUGGGAUAAAAAAUUUUUUUGUUUAAAUACUUCAACUUAAAAGGAUAACAUAAUAUCUUUUCAAUGCGGGAUAAAAAACUUUUUAAAAUAUUCUUUUAAACUUCAUAAUAUGUAUAAUCUAUAUUGAUUUUAUCAUAUGAAAUAUUAAAACUUUAAAUUUUUUUAAUUUUUCCAGGUUAAUCUGAGUUGACCUAUAAAACCCGAAACCCGGCCAACGGCCCUUGACCGGGUUUAAUAACUAUGCUAACAAGCCAUGAUCAAACAGUCACGAUUCAUAUGUCAUAUAUAUUUAUAUUUAUUGCCUUCGUGAGAUAUCCAGCUACCUUGUUAACUCUCUUGCGUCGAUGUGGGACAAUAUUUUCCUCUUUCUUCAGGGGCAUUCUUCUCUUUAAUUACCAAAAUAUAAAAUAUAAAAAAUUACGAGAAUCUAAUUCAAGCUUGCAAGGAAGCGAACAAGGACAGGUGAUGCACUGACAUCUUAGAGAGGGAAAUGAGAAGGAAUCCAAUGGCCGGGAGUGCCUCCAUCACUUCCCAUACAAUGGAUGAUGAUCUUCACGUAAAGCUGCUAUACCUGGAGAACAGAGGUAUAUUGUUCUGCACAUGAUAAUUUUGUUCCUGUUUACAAUUAACCUGCCUUUUCCCCUCAGAAUUUCAAGAUUAAUAUGCCAAAAACUGAAGUUUUUUGUUAGUUUUCUGAAAUCUCUUUCUUGCACAUAGAGAGAAAUCCGACAAUGAUAUCUUCAAAUACUCUGUUGAGAUACCUACAUAUUAACAGUACUGAUCUUCUUGCUGCUUUAAAUUCCUUGGUUUGGGUGCUGGGGGUGUCCUGCUAGCUAUCCUGUCUACUCUUCUCCAAAUAGGAGCUUUUAUGCUCUUUCUAUUUUAGUCUCCUAAUCUACCCUGCAAUCUUGAUGAAAAUUGAGAUUUUCUUAAUGGCAUUUGAUGCGCACAGAGGUGAGGGCAUCCCAUUGAUUUAUAGCUUUAGCGCCUUUUGUUCAAUUAUGAUAUUGAGAAGUGAAGCAGAUUAAUUGUUUUAAAUAAUUAAGUAAUUUCUUUCUUAUAAAAAAGUUAUUCUAUGACCUUGUAUCACGUGUGAGGCGUGAAGUUCAAGUCCAUUUAAUAUUUUUAUAUCUUAAUAUUUUUUUAAAAAAUAUAUUAGCUCAAUCUAAUCAUAUUAAGUCAACUCAACAUAAUUUAAUUUUUUAUAUUAAAAAAAACUAAUAUCAUAGCAUCCAUUAAUAACUUAACGCUUUAGGUCAUUAAACCCACAUUCAAAAAAACAACAAAAAGGGGUAAUUAGUUCUCCAUAUUACUUUUGAGAGAUUCUAUGCAAAAUUGGCAAAAAGAAAAGAAAAGAAAAGAAAUUGCUCAUUUUUAGGACCAACUAUGAAAUUAAUAAAUUAUUAAUCUAAGUCUUCAACAGAUGAACACAUGUAAAUAUUGAAUAAAAAUGAUUAAUAAGUUAUCCGAUGAGAAAUUUAGCGAUUUGCACGUCCUAAUUUGUUUUAGUUAACACACUUAAAUAAUUAAAUAAUUAUAGACACAACUUAACAAAAAGCAAGUACUCUUAUUCCAUUUAUCAUAAUUAAGCUUUUGUUCUUUAGCUGCCACCAUCUUUUUAAGUUCUUCCACCUCCACCUUCAAAAUAACCGUAGGGGUAAUUAGUUGAUAUUUCAUUAAUAAACGCAAUUUAUUAUUAUUUCAAAAUCAAAAUUAGGAGUCUCUUGGAUUUCAAUUUCAUCCCUCUCCAAAAUAUAAAUAUAUAGAGAGACUAAUUUCCUGAUAUUAAUUGAUUAAAGUUUGCUAGUAAAUUAAGUACACUAAUCUUGUUUUAUUUGCUUGUUGUUCAUGUAAAUUAAGUGCAACAUUGUUUAAAUAAAAGGACAUGAAGUGUAAGAACUCUGCAACACUAGCUGAAGAAGAUGUGCAUAUGGAUUUUCUGAAAAUAAAAUAACAAGAUAUGAAUAUGGCAUUAAUAAUUUCUUAAAUAAUCAAGUAAUGAACUCCAUUGAAAUUAAUAAUUUGUUUUUUUAAAAUUAUUUUUUAUUUAACUAUAUGAUAACAAAAAUAGAUGAUCGCAAAAUCGAUCGUCAAAUUAAUAUUGAGAUUUUUUUUAAGAUUAUGAUAACCUUAUAGAAAGCAAAACAAAAUAAAUUAUAAAACUCAAUUUUCAAUAAGUCUAAUAUUAAACGAUAAAAUAAAAAAAAAAUUAUAAGAAAAAAAAUUAAACUCGUCAUAUUUGUCAACAAACCCAUGAACUUUCUAAAAUUUAAUAACAUAUUGUUUUCCAAAACUAUUUUUUUAACUAUAUGAUAAAAAAAAAUAGACAAUCACAUAAUCAUGUUCAAUUAGAGAAAAAAAAGUACCCUGCUAAACCCACAAGCCGAAAUAAUUAGGGUUACCUUGUCAAACUCGCAAGUGGAGUCAUUGACUCCAUAAAAUUUAUUAACCUAGUUUUUUUAAAUCAUUUUUUAUUUAACUAAACGUUUUAAAAAAUAGAUCAUACCGCGAUGCUAAGAUAUUGUUUUGAUACCAAUCCGAUGCUGAGAUAGUUUUUUGAUAUUGUAAUAACUAUAUAAAAGACAAAUUAAAAUAAAUUAUCAACUCUAAACCCCAUAAACAUAUCAUACAAGAACUAAAAAAAAUCAAUAACCAAAGAAAAAAAAAGUUAAAAUACAAAGAAAAAAAACAACACUAGUUAUUGAUUUUUUUAGUUCUUAUAUGAUAUGUUUAUGGGUUUUAGAGUUGAUAAUUUAUUUUAAUUUAAAAAAUAUCAAUAAUUUAUCGAUUUAUAUCCAACAUAAUUGUAUAGUUUUGUAUUGUUUUCUUAGUAUCAUUCAAGAUUGAUUUUAUGAGAUACAUGCAAGGCAUUUUAAUUUUUUUGAAAAAAUUAAGUAUGGAGGAUUGAAGAUUAGCUUAGAUAAAUGUGAAGAUUACUUUAGAAUUUAUAAGCAAUCAUGGAGGGAGAGGUAGCCAUUUAUUGCCAUCCCCAAGCAACAUGUCUCUAAUAGUGAUUUAUCAGUCACACAGCUUGGUUUAAAAUGAAAAAUUUCUUUGUUGAGGCUUAAAAUCAAUAUUGAAGGACAUAUAUGAUGCUCAAAAAUAUUAUUAGAUAAAUUUUAUUUUUAUCUUUAUAGAUUAAUUAACAUUUUCUUCUAAUCCUAUAGUUUAAACUUUUCCAAUAUUAUCCCUCUAGAUAUUAUCCCUCUAGUUUCUAAAAUUAGCAAUGUUAACUUCCAUUAAAAAGCUUACCAUUUACAUUUGGUUUUUGAGUUUUUUUUUUUUUGGGAAUGUUUUUAAGUGUUUUCUUAACAUAUCUGAGAGGAAGUAAAAGAGAUUUGUAAGAAAAAUAAUAAAAAAGAAGAAGUUUAAUUUAAAAAAACUAUAAAUUUCAAACUAUUGAGAUGAAAGUGUAACAUUGAUAAUUUAUAAAGAUAAAAAAAAAAUAAGUUCACCCAAUUUUCCAAAAUAAGUUAACUACUAUUUUUUAAAAAAACUUGAUUAAUCAUACUUUAAAUUUAAUCAUUGAUUUUGAAUUUAAUGAUACGAAUUAAAUGAUAUAAAUAAAAUAAUUUUUUUUUCACACAUGAAAUCAUUAUCAUCAAGGUGUCAUGCUUUGAAUUCAAUAAAAAUGAUAGUAAAAUCUUUUUAAGAACUUUUUUUCCAUGAUAUUUAAAAAAAAGACAGUUUCUAAUUACUUUCAGAAAAGAAUUUCUAUAAUUGUUGCCUUAUGAUCGAAGGACUUGACAAAUCCUUCAUCCAUUGUUGUAAAAGAAAUACCUGUGUUGUGCUAUGUAAAACUAUAAUUGAUUCUGCAGUGCUCCAUUAUACAAUUUACUUAAGGAAAAGGAUAGCGAGGAAGGAAAUCGGUAUCAUACCUCAUAGGGACUGGACACUAACAUGCCUGCAUUAUCUCUGAAUUAACGCCAGGAGAUGUUCUUCAUCUUUCUCCUUCAAAAAAAUAAAAAUAAAAAUUGCAGUAAAGCAUCAUUCAGUUUGUUAUCAUCAGAAAUUCAAGUUUUUCUGGCAUUCUCACACGAGUAUCAUGCAUACGAUGUUUAUUUCAUAGUUUUUCUGAUGGAAUGUUCAAAAAUGCGAUGACGGUUGUUUUUCAAAGUAUUUUUUAUUUGAAAAUACAUCAAAUAUAUAUAUUUUUAAAAAAUUAUUUUUGACAUCAGCAUAUCAAAAUGAAUUAAAAGCAUAACAAAAUAUUAAUUCGAGUCUAUCUAGUGUCUACGCAAGCCAUCUCUGCUGGCAAAUAAUAUUUAAAAACACUUUAUUUAACUUGAAAAGAAUAGCUAGUUGUAUUCUAGAUUUGCUUUUUAAAAAUUACUAAUUCGAAUCUCAUAAAUCUUAAAAGCUAUUAAAAGCUUACAUGGUCGUUAACUUUAAGGCCCGUGGGAUUAGUCGAGGUGCGUGCAAGCUGGCUUGGACACCCACGUUUGUUGCUACCCAAUUUUUGACUCAUGUUUUGGUAAAUUUUCAGAAAAAUCCAAAAAUAGCAAAAAACAUUGAAAAUCCAAAACAAUACGUUUUUUAAUAUAUUUGCAUUGUUUUUAGCAUUUUCAGCUUUGUCUAAAAAGAAUUUAAAUUUUUAAGGGUCUUUCGAAUGCGUUCGACUUUUCACGCGUCAUUUUUAAAAUCAUUGAUUUUUCUCAUCGAGUCGACGUUGAUAUUGCUCGUUUUCAAAAAAUACAAAAAAAUCAAGAAAAAUCAAAUUUACAAAAAGAAAGAAGUUGAGAGACCAAGUUUGAAAACAUAGCAAUAUUUUUACCUAUAAAUACUGGUCUCCUCAACAUAUUUAAGGGAGCAAUUUUAAAACAUUAGAAAAAAAAUACAAAAAAAGAAAACCCUAACCCUAAAAGCAGCUCUUUUCAAAGGGGGCGGCGCCCCCCUUCAUUUCUCCUUUCUCUGGGAGCCGCCGCCCCCCACCCGGCCAUUUUUCUUCCAAUUUUUCUCCCUCACCAGGUUCCCCUCUCCCAGCCAACCGUAGCACUCUGCUCCGCCAGCCUUCUCCCCUUUACCAAACGAUCUCCCUGCGUUUCCUUCUCUCCCCCAGAUCGGUUCUUCCCUCUCAACACAGAACAACCUUUCCCUCAUCAACAGCCGCCUCCAGCAUUUCCUUCCCACAACAGCUGACCACCACACCGACACCCACCGAUUUGUCCAUUCCUCCGCCUCAACACCGCCAGCAACCUCUCACAUUUUCGCAGCAGCUCCAGCGACCGCAGGCUGCAGCAGCAAAGCAAUUGAAGCCGACGAUCAGACCACUUCGUUCUCCUCCAUCUCCGCCGAACCAGACACCAGCAGCUGCACAGCCGUCGACCGAAGCACAUCCACACUGCCGGCCGCUUGAAACAGGGAACAAAGGGGAAACGAAAAGAAACCGAGCUGCGAAGAGAGAUGCAGAUCUGCAGAACAAAAGAGAAAAACAAAACUAAAAUCAACUGUUGUUGUGCGUUGUUUCCCUUGUUGCAGGUGUCGGUGACCUUAACCGCCGGCGUAGGAAGACAGAAGAGGAAGAUGGCCCCGGUCCACCGGGUCUGCCACCUUCAGCUGCGGCGGCGCGUGAAUCCACGCGCUGCCACUGUUGCUGCAGUGCAGAAGGCCUUCCCUGCAAUUAAUGGAGUUUUUAGAGGCUAUUUUGUAAAUUUAAAAAUGUGUAAUGUAAUUUUUGUUUAGUUGUUUUGAAUUUGUAUUUUGAAGUAUAGAUGAAAAAAAAAAAAGAAAAGAAAAAGAAAAGAAAAAUAGUGAAAGUGUUUUAUUUAUUUAUUUAUGAUAAAAUUACAAAGAUUAAAGAAGAAUUUAAUAUUUUGAUUUGCUCACGGUCCAGAAUUAUUAACUUAUACGUAAGUUGUAUUUCUAAUACUCGAUGAAAAGAUAAAAUUUUUAAAACUUCUUUAACACGUCAAAGCCACGAAGCAGCUUACCUCAUGUAGGGUGCGUUAGGGGUGCUAAUACCUUCCCUAACCACAACUAGUCUCUUAUCCGCGAAUCUCUGACAAGACCAGUACAUCCGGUUUCCUAGUAGCCUUCAAUAAAUUACUAGGUGGCGACUCUAACGAACCAAUCAAAGCAAAACAACAUAAGAGAAAAAAUCGCCAGCUGAUGCCGUGUUGAUUUCACGUGCGACAACGUUAAUCUAAAAAGAAAAGAGCACUUUAUUCAACUUUGAAGGGUGUAGGUUAAUUGGUCAGAUCCUGAGUUUGUUCUCCAAAGAUCACUAGUUCGAGACCCACAAACCUCAGGCCCACUGGAGGCUUAUAUGGUCGUUAACUUCAGGGCCCGUAAGAUUAGUCGAGAUGAGUACAAGCUGGCCUGGAUACACAUGUUAAUAAAAAAAAACACUUUAUUUGAAAAUAUUAUGAAACAUACAGGAACUUCAAACUCGGUAGCUAGGCCUAUAGAUAAUAAUUUAUUUUAAAGAGAUUGAACUAAUAAAGUGUUGGACAGUGAAAAACAAGGUGAAAGUGUCACUCUUCUACCCCUGUGUCUGAAUAUGUCACUCUUCUACCCCUAUGCCUGAAUAUGUCACUCCAUUAAUUUUGUCAAGAGGAUUAUCUAGUCAAUUUAAGAAUGUGUAAACUCUAUACUACUGUAAAAUAGAAUUAUAUCUUUGUAAAUCAACCUCACAUUUCAAUGGAUUUCGGCAGCAAAAAUCAAUUUCUCUCCAUAAAUAUUGAAAAUUGUUGUAGUAUGUCUAUCCUCCAAACUUGUUUAAGUCUCAUUAUAUUCUUUUUGAGAUCAUAAGCUUGUGAAGUGUCAACCCCAUCAAAAUAUAUUGCAGCGAUAACAUCCCAUUCGGCUUUCGCUAUUGUAAAUAUGAUGUAGUUACUUUGGAUCCAUUGAAUUAAUAGUCAUCCCUUCACCACUGCAUUUUCUAUUCUCCAAAAAAAUCCCUAUAAUCUCUCAAAAAAAUCCUUUGUCGACGACUCACACCAACAACUAGCAUUUAAGAACAAAUGGAUCGCUGUUUACAUGUUCUUAAAUUGAUAUAUUAAAUAUCAUAAUUUUGUGAACUCAUAGAAACUUCACAAUUUUUAAAUAAGUACCUGAACAGUAACAAGUCUAAGAAGCUGAAUGGGUCAUCAUAAGCACUUGAUGAUGUUAUGGCUCUUUUAUUAACAGUAACAAGACAAGAAUUGACUCUGUAAGAAGAUGGCCAUCAAUGCAAUUUUUUCAAUACAUGCAUGCAAAAUGAAGCCCAACAGUACUGUUGCCAGUAGGAACUUAUUUAAGUUAAUUCACAUAAAUAAUUAUAUAUGGACACAACAUAACAAAAGCUAGUACUCUUAUUCCGUGCUUAAACCGAUCUUAUUAUUUGAUGGUAGUUGACCAGUUCUUUGAUCAUCUGUUUGUGCUGGCAAACUUCUUGGAAAUGAAUCAAUUCCUUGCUGUGGAGUUGAUGCAUUUAAAAAAGAUCUUAGUUGCUCAAGCUCUUGAUUUUUAUGCUCAAGCUCUCGAUCUUCAUCUGCUACAAUCUUUUAUUAGACACGAAGGCAUCAAUAUUGACUAGACUCGUUAACAAUCCAAGGAUCAUAAAUGAUAACGAAUAUUUGAGCUAUAAUUAAUAUCAUAAGAAUACUUUGGUGUAGUGCCCUUCUAUUUACUAUUAAGAAAGAUUGCAAUUCCUCAUCUAUUUACAGAAUAACAGAUGGUAUUUAGCAAGUUAUUCAGAUUAUAUAUAUAUUUUUUUUUCCUAUUUUACCUUAUAUUGGGUUAUCAUGCCAUUUGGUUCUACUUGCGGGUUUUGACAACCAUAUUUGGUUUUGCUAAUGCUUUGUUUUUUAAUAUUUUUUUUCUCUUGAUUUUAUCCUUCUAUAUUUUUAUUUCAAGGUCUAUAUUUUUAUUUCAAGGGAUUGACGAUCAUUGUUUUUGGUAUACUUACCCAUGUGGAUUCAAUUGGAAAAAAUAUAUUCGUCAUAAUCUUUAUAUUCAAACAGUUCGCUCAAACUAAGAUGUAGCAUGAGAAGGGAGUAACUCUCCACCUCUUCUUAGUUGAUGAGUAUGUUCUUUCCAGGGACAAUGAGUUAAUUCACUUAAAUAAUUGUGGACACAACAUAACAAAAGCUACUACUUUUUAUUCCAUGCUUAAACUGAUCUCAUUAUUUGAUGGUGGUUGACCAGUCCCUUGACCAUCAGUUUGUGCUGGCAAACUUCUUGGAAGUGAAUCAAUUUCUUGUUGUGGAGCUGAUGCUGUUAAAUAAGAUCUCAAUUGCUCAAGCACGUGCUCAAGCACUUGCUCUUCGUGCUUAUGCUCUCGCCUUUUACACUCAAGAUCUCGCUUUGUAUCCGCCAUAAUCUUUUCAAGUUCUUUCAACCUCUUAAAAAUAGCAACAUUGUUAACUCAACAUUAGUAAUUAACAAAUCAUUGAUUAAUCAAUGCAAAGUUUUCUUAUUUAAAAAUAGAAAUUAGGAGUGUCAAGAAUUUCAAUUUAAUUUCUCGUUUCAAUUUGACUAAUUUCCAGUUACUAAUUGAUUAAAACUUGCUACCAAAUUAAGUACAAUCUUGCUUUCAAUGCAUGCAUGCUGUUCGAAGUACGCAAAUUAAGUGUAACCUUGAUUAAGGGGUGUUUGUGAGUGUUAUAAUAGUUGUUUUUUAAAAUGUUUUUUGUUCGGAAAUAUAUUGAAAUAAUAUUUUUGUUAUUUUUUAAAAAUUAUUUUUAACAUCAGCACAUUAAAAUGAUUUAGAAAUACAAAAAGAAAUUAAUUUAAAAUAAAAAAAAUAAAAAAUUUAAUUUUUUUCAAAAAUAUUUUUAAAUCACAAAAAUAAACAAGGUUUAAAUAAAAGAAUGUGCGGUGUAAAAACUUUUGCAACGCUAGAUAAAACAAAUGUAUGUAAGGUAUUUCUGAAAAUAAAACAACACAACGUGAAUAUCAAAAAGAGCUUAUAAUAUUAAGAUUAUUAGUUAGACAGACUAUUAAAGACCUUGGACAUUGAAUUUCGCGGAAGAGAAAGAGUGGCAAAGUGCAAAGCAUGGAAAAUUAACAGGUCAUAAUAAAUUUGUCUUUUCCUUUGAAAAAAAAUAGAGAGAAAACCUCGUAGGAUAAUAUUAAAAAAAUAUACUAAAAAGACACAUUGUUUUUAAUUACUCUUUUAUCUUUAUUAAAAAAAUAUUAUGUUUGCAAUUAGAGGUACUUACAAUUAUCUUUACCAAAAAAUGCAUUAGUCAUUAUAAGAUUUAUUAAGGACAAAGUAGUUCAGACAUGUUUAUUUUGCUACAAUGUCAUAACUGAUUUGCACUUGAAAACAGGAAAAAUAAGGCUUUGGGCAAGGGGCUCUUUUAUCUUUUGCAAAAACAAAAACAAGGUUUUAAAGUAUUGAGAUGGAAGUGGAACAUACCUCAUCACGACUUGACCAUGACAUGGCUACAAUACCUUCCACAUAUUUGUCUCUAGCCUUGGAAUAUUCUUCUUCCUCCUUCUCCUUCUUCUUCUGAUAUUAAUUGAAUUUAUUAUCAGAUAUUCAAGUAGUCAUCAGUUAAUAAAAGCUAAUAUCUAAUAUUAAUCAUUUAUUUUAAUUUUUUUUAGAUGCAAAGGCAUCAAUAUUACAAAAAAAUAUUAAAAAGAUACCAGUGAUUUAUUCUGCUUCUAGACAUGUUGUUUUUACUAUUUUACCUUUAUUAAAAUAAUGGUUAUGCUUGCAAUUAGAGGUACAAUUACCUUUACCAAAGAAUGCGUUAGUCAUUAUAAUAUUUAUCAAGGAUAAAAUGAUCUGGAUAUAUUUCUUUUACUACAGUGUAACAACUUAUUUGUACUUAAAAGCAAGAAAAACUAGGCUUCCGGCAAGGGGCUCUUUUGUCUUUCGCAAAAACAAAAACGGUGUGUUUACAUUCAUACCCUUUGACCCUAAAAAAAUUAAGAUUAUUAGCAAGGGUGUUUUUGUCCUUUGAUAUGGUUUUGUUGUAAUUCUCAAGUGGUGUCAAGGGUAUUUAGGUAUUUUAAUAUGCAUAAAUUAUUAUUUAAAUUUGAAGAUGGUUGGCGCGUGUUUUGAACAAGCCAGCAAGUUGGCGCCUCUGGCCUCUUUUUGGGUGGUGCAUGCGACGCCCAAAUUGCACCGAAUGUUGCCUUUCAAAAAGGUGUUUGUUGCACCUCACCACCCCUAUCACAGUGGUGAGGAGCGUGUUUACGGUCGUGACAUGGAAGAGCAUUGGACGCGAGUUUUUCCCUCCCUCCUUCUCUCCUCGUAGAAAACCGUGUUGGCCAUUGCAAAAAAACAAGAAAGCAUGACUAUUUGUUUGUUAAGUUAAAUUAGGUCCUUUUUUUUUAUUGCAAUGUAUUUGGUCUUGAAUUAUUUAUUGAGUUAAUUUGUUUUUUCAAUUUCAUCUCUUGGCACUUGAUUUUUGUAUAUGAUUUGGUUCUCAUUUUUUUAAUUGAAAUGUAUUUGGUCUUGAAUUAUUUAUUGAGUUAUUUUUUUUUAUUUCAUACCUUUACACUUGAUUUUUUGUAUUAGAUUUUAUUUUCAUUCUUUUAAUUAUGGUGUGCUUGGUCUUGAAUCUUUGAUUAAAUUAAUUUGUCUUUGAAUUUCAUCUCUUAACAUUUUUUUUGUAUCAAAUAUUAUCCUCACUCUUUUUAUUGUUAAUUUUAGUUGUUCUUAUCCUUUUUUUUUAUUGAAAUUGUUUCUCAAUUUCAUUCCUUAUAAUUUUCUUUUAUUUUUUGUGUCAAAUUUGGUUCUUUUUCUUUUCAAGUCUAUAUUUUUUAAACCACUUCUUUUUUUUAAUUUGUUUUUUCAAGUUUAUCUCUAAUUAUUUUGGUUGGUUGGGCAUUUUGCAUUGUUAUUUUUUCGGAUUUUCUUUAUAUGUUGUAAUCUGGCCUCAUAUUCCAUAUCACCAGUUCUUAUAGUUGAAUCGAGUUGGCUUCAGUCAUUUAAUAAAGAAUAAAAAUUUCAUCCAUCAUCAUUAAGUUCGUUGGAAAUUGGUUUUCUUUUAUUUUUUAUUCUUUUGUGAAUAUGAUUUUUCUUUUCAAUUCAAUAUUUGAGAUUUGACCAUCAAUGUUUUGAUUUAUAAUUUUUUAUCCUUCACUUUUUUUAACAAGUUUUAAUUUUUAUUCAAUUUCAUCUUUAUAUCCAUAAUCUUGAUUAUUUUUAUUUUUUUUAAGAUUUGGUCCUCAUUCUCUUGGUUUUAAUUUUUUAUUUUGGAUUUAUUUGUUUUUUUUUCCAUUCAAUUCAGAAUUUUUGUUUAUCCUUUUAGUUUUUUUUUCUUUUCAAAUGAGGUCUGUACUCUCUCAAAUGCCUUUUCUAAUCCUUUAAAUUUUUUAAUUCAUCAUUCGAUAUUUUAUUUAUAGGGAUUUGAUCUCCUUGGUUUUUUCUAUUUUGUCUAUGCUCUACUCAGAAGUAAAUCUAGAACAAUUAUCGAGGUACAGGUCGAGUGGCCUCCUUAACUUUUUUUAAAAGGUGUCGAGUCUUAGAUUUUUUUGGUUCUUUAAAAUCUAAUAACAACAAUUGGAUAUUGUUUUUUUAUACUACAGAAAAAAUCAGCCAGGCCUACAACUAGGGGUGUUCAAAAAAACCGAAAAACCGAUUAAACCGAGAAAACCGGAAAAAAAAUAACCGAAAAAACCGAACCGAAAAAAAAAACCGAUUAAACCGAUUAAAAUUUUAAAAAACCGACCGGUUCGGUUCGGUUUCGGUUUUUAAGCCUGGAACCGGAAAAACCGAACCGAACCGAAAAAAAACCGGAAAAAAACCGAGCCAAAACCGAGCCAAACCGAAAAACCGAGCCAAAACCGAGCCAAACCAGAAAAACCGAGCCAAAACCGAGCCAAACCGAAAAAACCGAGCCAAACCGGAAAAAACCGAGCCAAAACCGGAAAAACCGAGCCAAACCGGUUUGAACCGGUUUUUUCUCUAAAAAACCGAACCGAACCGAAACCGGUCGGUUUGAACCGGUUUCGGUUCGGUUUCGGUUUUUUUUUUAAAAAAAAAAAAUUUCGGUUUGGUUACUUUUUUUGAUAAAAACCGAACCGAACCGUGAACACCCCUACCUACAACAACGCGAUGGCCCACAGCAAAGCGUGUGCCUUCUGUCUGGUUUGUUACUAAAAAAAAAUCAUUUUAUCCAAUAAAGAUAAAGUAUAAAAAAUCAACAAUGCUGGACACGGUAAUUGUACUGACUUGUAAAAGUUCUACCUUCCAUUAUUUGAAAGGAGAUAUGUAUGGGUGUACUUUUUUUUUUCAUGGUAGGUAAUGCAAUCAAACAAUUUGAAUAUAAAGAUAGGUAGAGUAUUAUAUAUCUGACCUAUAUAUAUAAAUUGGAUCUCCAUUUUUGAAUUUACAUGUAUAUUUAAUUAUUAUUUAUAUUAUUUAAGAAUAAUUUUGUGAGAUAAUUAGUGUAAAGUAUUUUGAUUUUUUUAUGGACAAUAGACUUUUUUUUAAUGAAAAUGUACCAUGCAAAGAAUUGUAUCCAAUAAAGAUAAGUAUGGAAAACUAAAAAUUUGCAUGUUAAUGCUAUGCUUAUACUCAUAUAGCUUAAACGUUUUCAAUAUUAUCUCUCUAGUUUUUAAGAUUACAAAUGUUAUCCUAAUUGUUAAAAAGCUUACUGUUUAAAAUUGGUUUUUGAAUAUUUUUUUUUUGGAAAUGUUUUUAAGUGUUUUUAUGCAAAUAAUAACAUCUAUGGGUAUAUGAGAGGGAGUAAAAGAGAGAUGUAAGGAAAAUUGAAAGUUUUGAUAGUUAUUUAAAAAAAGAAAAAAGAAAAUGGAAACUAUUUAAGAAAACUAUAGGGUAAAUUGGAAGGUUUUAAAGUAUUGAGAUGGAAGUGGAACAUACCUCAUACAUUGACCUGGCUCCAAUACCGCGCACAUAUUUUCGUUCAGCCUUGCGAUAUUCUUCAUACUCCUCCUUUUUGUUUUCGUUGAAGAUUGUGAUGAAACAUCAAUCAAUUUAUUAUCAGAAAUUGGAGUAGUUAUCAGUUAAUAGAAGCAAAUAUCUAAUAUUAAUCAUUUAUUGCAAAUUUUUCUUAGGCACGAAGGCAUCAAUGUUGACUAGACUCAUGAUCCACGUGGAUUAAUAAAAAUCACUUUAUUAAUAAAAUGAAGAAAACGAAAUGAGAACAUUGAAAUGGAAAUAAUCUGAUUUGUUAUUUUAUUCUGACGCCUAAACAAAUGUUGCCGGAAACAUAUAAUUACUAUUAGUUAUGAAUUUCCAAAAUAAUGAAUUAAACAAACAUAUAUAAGUUGAAAUAAUCUGAUUUGUUAUUUUAUUUUGACGCCUAAACAAAUGCAGUAUCUAUCUAUCGAGGUACUUGAGAAGGAUUUUCGGUAUACUUACCUCUUUCAAAUAAGUAGUGAGCUCGCCAAAUCUUUUAUAUUCGUACUGUUCGCUCAAGCCAAGAUGUAGCAUGAGAAGGGAGACAUGAGUGAGUAACUCUCCACCUCUUCUCAGUUGUUGAGUAUGUUCUUUCCAUGGACAAUGAGCUGCUGCAUAUGCUACCAUUUCUAUCCAAACUUCAUUUAUCAUCCACCAUCGCUUCUCGGGUCCCAAUGAAAGCAAAUGCCUGGCGAGCGUUUCCACACCACGUAGCACUGACUUUGAUGUUUUCCAGCGCCUUUGAAACUCUAUAUCAUCACAACCACGUGAUUCACUGUUGCGCAGUUCUAGCAAGGUACGUUGAUAUUCCUUAUCAUCAGGACCCCGAUCUUUUAGACGCCACAAUACUCGCAAGGUACGUUGAUAUUCCUUAUCAUCAGGACCCCGAUCUUUUAGACGACGUCGCCACAAUACUCGCAAGUCUCGCAAGGUUUCUUGAUAUACCUCGUCACAGAAUCCUUUAGAGAGCAUAUUUGGUCUUAUCACCAAAAGAUACAUCAUGUAUUCAGAUAGGCAUCUGCUUGUUUCAUAUUCUGAGGAGACAUUGCUUCCAUCUUCUUUCAUAUCAGCACGAUAACAAAUAUCUGUUGCGAGAUGCCAGACAAGAAUGCUCCGACUGAAUUCUACUUCAGUCGUGCACCACUUGUAGUCCCGUAACAGUCCCUCUCUUUCUAGCACACCAUCUCCCCUCUGACCUAUUAUUUUACUUCUGAGAUUCUUAUCAAAGACAUUCAAAUCUUCCUUCAUCUUCUCAGCUUUCUUUAGAAGAUGUCCGAAAAUAAAACCCUGUAGAUCAACAUUCAAAUCUUUCCGAUUCACAUGCAUCUGCCUCAUCAUUUCAUCGAUUCCCAGAAAUUCCAAGAAUUUAGGUGGCUCUCUUUCAAUGGAAGAGCUUACCAGGUUAUACUGUGAUAUGGAUCUCGACCACCUCUCGCCUCUAGGUAACUUCCUUAUCAGAGAAUAAGUUGCACCAGUCAGGGCGUUCCCUCCUUUAUCAGUCAACAAAAUCAUUGUCCAGUCAGACAAAACAAGGCAUAAAAAAGCAUAAAACUCGAGAAAAACAGCGGCCGCAAACAAUAAAUACGUGAUUGCAAUGUCGGUCGUUGAGUAGUCAUGCUUGUCAAUCUUGACCUGGAAGGUAAUAAACGCAGUAACAGAGAGCAGAGAGCUGAUACAGCGAAGAAUGAUUCCGCCACGGGAGUAAAUCAGAGGCGCUUUAGUAUAAAGCAUAUCAUAUAUCAAUCCAAGCUCAGCCUCUACCACCUUGAAGGCACCGUCUGUUGUAUUUUUUGAAAUCAGCUCCCGGCAUCUUAUUAGUGAAGGAAUGCCAGGGACAAGAUCCUGCAUCAUAGACUUGGAUAUAUACGAAAAAACAUAAGCUUGAAGAAGAUAAUCUCGCUGGUGGUAUUGUGGAGGAGUUUUUGAUAUUCUCGGACGAUCAUAAGAACGCCAAAAAUCUCUGGGAGAAUAGUUUUUCAAACUCUUGGAGCAUGAAGACCAGAGCACCCAAGUCCUCUCUGCGUACUUUGCAAUGCCAACAGCGAACAUUGGGAUCGCUAUGAAUGAGAGGAUACCGCUAUCCCAGGACCUUGAGAAGACAUAAAAAGCCACCCCGACUUGGAAUACAAGACCAAGUAAAUGCCUUAACCACAACUCGUUAUCUUCAAUCGAGUAUGCAGUGAUUGUGUCUGGGCCACCAAGCUGCAGGAGUAGAAAAGGCGCCCAAAAUGCCUGGAUGGAAUUGUUUCCUUUCUCUGAACUGUCACCUGAUGAAUCUCCUUGGCUCCUGGCUAGAGUACCCAGGGCAACAGUUGCCACCACGUCUGCUGAUAGGUAUGCAGACCAAACGAGAAUCCUAAUCCAGAUUCUGGCAUUGGUCUUUCGCCGAGACCCAAAUAUGAUGAGGAUGGUUUGUAGUAAGAGACUAAGCAAAACCAUUCCUCGAAUCUCCCAAUUGUUCCAUAAACUUAAGACUUCUUCAGGCAAUUUUUUAAGCAUUGUCAUCUUUUCCCCAACUGUGGAAACUAGUUCUCUCGCUGAACCCUUGAAAAAACAGUUUUGUAAGAUGAAAAGGUAAAUGUGGAUAUCUUUGAAAAAAUCUCUUAAAAUGAACAGCGAAAAUUAAAGACUCUUAUGAGAAAAGAAGAGGUGCAGAUGGAGGAAGACAAUGAACAAUUCUGAAGCCUUCGGCAUUUCUGAAAAAAGCACAGCCACCACAAUUCUGAAGCUUCGGCACCACGACCAGCGUUAAAACCCACCAAAAAUAGUGGCAAUAAGAGGUGCAGAUGGAGGAAGACAGUGAACAACCACUGCCGUUACCCACAUGCAUCAAAUCACCGUCAUGAAGUCUUUCCUCCCCCAGUGAUCGAUUAAAUGCGAUAUGGUUUCAUCAAAUUUGGAUUUCUUUUGAUUUAUGGGAGGUUCUUGAGAUGGGUUUAUGUGGAUAAGUGGAUUUGAAGGAAUCUGGAGAGGGAGAGAGUACUUUACUAAAAUUUUCUUUUAACUAUGAAUUAUUUUUUAAAGGAACUUUUCUAACAAUAAACAUAAAAAAGUUCGGAUUCUCUAGCCGGAGAAAAACUUUUCAAUAAUUGUUGCCUCGGACUUGACAAAUAGUCAUGCAUUGCUGUUAAACAAAGACUUGUGCAGUAAAAAGGCAUUGACCAUAUAAAUAAUUGGCUUUGCACUGUUCCAUUCGACACUUUACUUGAGGAAAAGAAUAGCGAGAAAGGACAUUGGCAUCAUAUCUCAGUGGAACUUGACAGUGACAUGUUUGUAUUAUCUCUCAGAUAUCUAUCCAUGGCCUCACGAUAUUCUUCCUCCUCCUUUAUUUUUGUUGAAAAUUGCAGGCCCACACGCAAAGCCUUUAUUAAAUGGGCCAAGCGCUGGGACAAUACCUGGUCUUUUCCUUCUUUUUUUUUUUUCUAAAUGUUGUUUUUUUAUACUCACCCCCGGCGUAAGAACAUGCAAAAUCGCUUUCACAAACCAUAGUUACAUGUACACGUAAGAAUUUGGUACCUAUUUAUUAUGCUAAAUAGUAAUAAAGAUAAUCAAGAGACUUUAAAUUUGUUAUCUAGAUUUUAAUAUUAAAUAUUCUAAUAUCAUGUGAAAAAAUUAUUUUAAUUUUAUAAUUUAAUUUUUAAAAUAUAAUUUAUAUUAUCCUUCAAUAAAAAACAAUUACUCUAGAGUAUCUUCUUUGUUUUUUUCUUUUAUCAAGGUUAAUCUGUCCUUGAUCAUCAUUUUGUGCCGACAAACCUCCUAUAAAUGCUCUAUGCACCUGUUGAUGUUGUGUUAAAGCAGCUAAAAGAGAUCUCAGCUGCACAAUCUCAGCUAAAAGAGAUUUAUAUUAUUCUCUUGCUCUUUUGUUUGUUGUAUUAAAAAUUAUACUUUGCAUCCUUAAAAUUCAUUCUAUCAAGAAUUUUAUCAAUUAAUUGACAUAUAUGCAAACUAUUAAUCAUUUCUUUUGUUUAGUCAUUGCAAAUCAUUUCAUUUUCACCAUAAUAUACAGACUAAUUUUGUUAUAUCUGAUUAAUUUUUGUUGGAAGAAGUGUUGUAACCCAUUUUUGGGUCCCCACAAAAUAUAUAUAAAAAUAUAUAGCCAAAGGAGGUUAGAAAAAUAACAGGAGGCAGAAGCGCUCAGAAAAUGGUUGGAAAAUUGGUCAAUGAGGUUAAAAAUAUAAAGAUUGGAUUUUCGACAGUAUAUUCUUGAAGGAGGAGAGCCCUGUUGAGAAGGAAAAUUUGAAAUUUGAGGAGAAAAGCCCAAAUUUAGAUGUUUAUGGACUUAAUUUGAUUUUUAAAUGAAUUUAUAGGGGAUUUGAUUGUAAGAAAAAUUGAUUUUUAAGUCAAUUUGGGCUUUAAUUAGAAGAAAUUUAAGUUUUGGGGCCAAAAUAUAUUUUUUAAGAAUUUAUUAGGUCAAAUCAGGGGCCUAAUUGCAUAAAUAUUGAAGUUUAAGGGCCAAUUAGGGACUUAAUUGAGAAAAUCCGAAAUCAGGGACCAAAUUGAAAGAGGCGCGUAAAUGGAGGGGCUGGAAUUAAUUGAUUCAGGGGCCUAAUUGAAGAAAUUAGAAGUUUUUUGAUCAAUUAAGGGCUCAAUUGCAUAAAUCAGAGGCCAAGGACUAAAGUGAAAAACGCGGCCAACAAGAGGGGCGGAGACCGAAAUUGGCAGGGAUGCAAUUGAAGAAAAAAAAGAUGAUUGAGGGCUGAUUUGAAAUUUAGCGCGUUUUGGCGCCACAUUUAAAUGAAACGGCGCGUUUUCUCCAAAACGACGCCGUUUCAUACAUUCAAAAAAAAAAAAAAAAAGAAAGAGCAGAACGGUGUCGUUUUGAACGACACUGUUCAUCUUCUUCCCCCGAUCACGCAGCGGGGAAGAAGGGAAAAAGGGUUGCUUUUUUUUGAAUUUUUGCCGGCCACUCUCGCCUGGAGCCCACCGACCGGACACAAUGGCCGACCACCCACCGCGCACCACCCACCGAACCUCGGCAGCCGCGCCCAAUGGCCGACCAGCCGGCCGCUCCCCAUGAGAGCUGUAAAAAAACAGUGCCCUUGGCCUCUAUAAAUAGAGCCCAAGAACGCUGAGGAAGAGGAGGAGAAGGAAGGGGAGAAGAGAACAGAGGGGAGGGAAGAAGGAGAAAAAACAAAAAAAAAACAGAGGAGAGAGAGAGGAAGAACCGAAAGAAGAGAGAAACCAAGAGGAGAGAAAAACAUAAAAAAACAAAGGAAAGAAAAAACAGACUGAGAAAAGAGAGGGAAGGGAAGAAAAAGAGAAGACCGAAACAUAGGAAAAAAAGGGAAACGGACGUUCGGAACAGCUGCAGCGCCGCCUGGAGCCGCCGUCCGUGAGCUACGCCACCGCCACCAGCCUCUGCCGCAGCACCGCCAACGACAGCGCCACCACCUCCUCCGCGCCAGGUAACCCUUCUUCCUCCCCUAUUCUGGUGUUUCUUUAUUUCCUUCUCACCUUAGGUAAGGCGUAUUUGGGGUGCUAAUACCUUCCCUUUACGCAACCAGUCCCCGUACCCAAUCUCUGAGACCAGUUAGGGUUCCUAGUGACCAAAAAUACUAGGUUGCGACUCCCACACCAUUUUUCACUACUAAGAGACAACGAAUUCCUUGUCUCCCCACAUUGACCAGAUGUAUCCCCCAUCCCCCAUUACAUUUACUUAUUUUUUUUGGGUGGACGAUCGCCGCGACGUCGCUCACGUGCGACAGAAUGGCGACUCCACUGGGGACCUUGUGGACUAAGCUUUGUUUUUGUCUGAUUUGUUUUUGUUUUCGUGUGUUUAUUGUUAAUAUGCCUUUCCUUUUGUUACCUGCUUAUGCGCUUUAAAUAUUUUUACACAUAUUGUUCAUGCAUUCAUAGAACUGUCUCAUACAUCUUAUAGAACUGUCACAUGCAUCACAUACUUUGAUUAUUGAGAGCACACACAAACUUUAAGUUAAGUGGGGGACUAGCAGCUUACCUUACGACUGUUAGUCAAGGUUUAAGUUUGUGUAAACCCCAACUCUUCGCUGAGUGCUUAGACUGGUAAUAGUUGGUACAUGUGACCAUCUCAUUGCCUACAAGCCCCCAUAUUGCCUCCACGAGGGCAAUCACUGGGACAUCAAGAGACCCUUUUUAGAGACUGAAUAGCCAACCUACCCUCGUCAAACACAAAAGAUUUAGAACCAGGCUAUAGGGUGUAUGCCCCCACAAAAUACAUUUUUGCAUAACACAACCUAAACCAUAAAGUAUUUGGUUUUCAGGUCAUUUUGAAACGAUAAGAUGGCCAUCAUUACCAAAUUUACUACUGUGGAAUAUGGGCAGAAUUCUGAAUUGUCACAACUAUCAGAGGGAGAUUGCUCUAGAUAUGAUGCAAGGAAGCUUCCAGUAGUCAAAGACCUGAAUUGUGUAGUAUAUGAGAUGAAGAGAAUAUUGGGCCAUAGUCAGAAUAUUGAUGAGGCGGCAUUUUUUGGGAAGUAUGGGCGAUUAUUGGAAAUUGCAAAGAUAGGAGUAUUGAAUCCAGCAAUUAAAGCUUUGAUUAACUUUUGGGAUCCCGAUUACAGAUGCUUUUCCUUUGGAAAUGUGGAUUUGUGUCCCACUAUAGAGGAAUAUGGAAUGUUGAUGGAGUUUCCCAAACACCUGCACCAAGUUUAUUUUCCUUUAAGAAAUGACAAGGUGAUUCCUGAGUUGUCAAAAUUAUUGAAGAUUCCACAUCUGAGCAGAUUUUUAGAAAAGAAUGGCAGCGGUUUAAAGUGGAAGUUUUUGGAAGCUGAAUUAGAAAAGAAAAAGGAGCAAUACGUCUCAGUGCUAGAAAGAGACAGGUUAAUCGCUCUGGGGAUCUAUGGUCUCGUGUUAUUUCCAAGCUUAAAAGGGGUUAUAAGUCUAGAAGCUGCUGCUGCAUUCGUGGAAUAUGAAAAUACUCAUGUCAACUCUACAACUGCCAUAUUAGCUGAGACCUUGCUGACCCUCAACCAUUUUAGAAAAACAGGGAAAGGCGCAAUAAGAUGUUGUACUCAGUUAUUAUACAUCUGGAUGGUAAGCCAUGUUGAAACUAAGAAGCCGAUCUUUAAUAAUUUUUGGUGGUUUAACCAAAAACCUUUGAAGAUAGUAGAGGAAGAAGAAUGGGGAAUCCUAGGUGAUCAGGGUUGGAUGAAAAAAACUCCAAGAGUUACCUAGUAGCAACUUUAGUUGGAAGGCCCCUUAGGUUAAAUCAGUUGAUGUCAUAGUAAGUUGUGGACAAAAAUGCUGGGUACCUUUAAUUGGGAUCACAGGUUAUGUCAGCUACGCUCCGGCUCUGGUGAUAAGACAAUUAGGUGGCAUACAACACAUCCCAAGAACUGUGGGACUUGCUGAAUUUUCUGGGUUUUUUAAGGAUCAAUCCGCGCGAGAAGUCCUUGAAACCAUCAAACAAGAUUGGAGCCAAUUGACUCUAAUUCAAAAGGAGUCAGAAAGUUUGAGAGACCCUAGCUCAAGUGAAGGAUAUGAAAAGUGGAGGAAUUUGACCCCGAUUGCCGCUUCGAAAAAGCCAUGUUCUGAAGAUGGGCAUCAAGAGAAUGUUGAGUACAAUCAGGACAAAUUCUUGCAUGUUAAAGCAGAGUUGUUAGACCGAAUUGAGAAGUAUGAUGAGUUAAACAAGAAAUAUAUGAUGAUAGAAGGUCGGCUAGCUGAAUUACAAGAGUUCGAAAGAAAGGGGAAGGAAGAGGAGGUUUUGAAGGCAGAUUUGGCAGCUAAGAAAAUUGAAAUUAGAAUGUUGAAGGUGACGUUUGACAAAGAACGAGAAAAGGUGAAACAGUUGACCAACAGGUUGGAAGUUUCAGAAAAACAUAAAGAACGGAUCGACACCAACAACAAUACCUUGAAUCGGAACAACAUGUUGCUUAUAGAGAAGAUGGCCAAGGUAGAUGGGCAAAUGGAUGAAGCUGCCAUUCACGCACGAAUUAUUAGAGCGAAUGCUCGAAGGGUGGGAAGGGACAUCUUUCGUUAUCGACAAAGCUUGGCUGAAAUAGAUGCCUUCUUAGAGAAAAUUGAGAAUCGAGGCCUCGCUUUCCUACCAGUGGCUAGAGAUAUGGACGAAGAGGAAGAUUGAUGUAUUUCUCUUUUUAUUAUUUUGUACCCUCUUUUCAAGAGAUGUAUUAGCCAAUAUUAAUGAAAAGGGGCUUUGACCCAUCUUUUAUAAAUAUAAGCCUACCAAAGCAGCAGCUUGAGCACAACUACUCCUGAUAAGGAACGUGACAAAAAGAGUCCAUGCCCAUUACACAAGAGGAAUGUUGGCCAUCGAUCGUUUUUUAAAAAAAACAAGUUUCUAAGAGCAUUCAUGCAUUGUUUCCUUUAUCAUACAUUCAUUUACAUUUUUCCAUGCAUCCCAGACCGUGAAACAUAGGUCCCACAUCCAAAGUCCACAACACCCGGUCUCGAGCAAGAAUGGAGAACGAAGAGAGAGCUCACUUAGAGUCACAUUAUCAGACCGAGUUGGAGUCUGUAAAGAAUGAAGUUUCUCGGCUAACCGACUUACUUGAGCAGCUUCUAAAGGCUAAGAAUGAGGAGGGAACAUCAGCACGACAGCUUGAAGGAGCGCCAGCAGUUCACAUUCCUCAAGCAUCUCAAAACCAGGGGGCAAACUCGGCCAAUGAACAACAGUUUGUGCCUAUUACUCCUAUCCUACCACCUCAUACUCCAGUCACUGUUGACUUAACAACGGAGGGAGUCCCGGAUAAUAGGUCUCCUAGUUUGAUAGACCAAGACAAGCUAUUUGCUCUGGAAGAAAGAUUAAGGGCAGUUGAGGGUAAUGACUGGUUUGACCCUAUGCGAGCAGCCGAAGUAUGUUUGGUACCAAACAUCGUGGUACCAAAAGAUUUUCGAAUACCAGAGUUCAUUAAGUAUACCGGUUUGGAAUGCCCAAACACUCACCUUCGAUCCUACUGCAACAAAAUGGCGGAAGUAAUCCGUGAUGAUAAAUUGCUAAUCUAUUUCUUUCAAGAUAGCCUAGCAGGAUCCGCUUUAAGUUGGUACAUGAGGUUAGACAGCAUCAGGAUCAAGAGCUGGAGAGACUUGGUGGAGGCUUUCCUCAAACAGUACAAGUUUAACAUGGAAAUCGCUCCUGAUCGAACAAGUCUAAUGGCAAUGGAGAAAAGGAGCCAGGAGUCAGUAAGGGCUUAUGCGCAAAGAUGGAGGGAUGAGGCAAUGCAUGUCCAACCCCCUUUGAUAGAAACGGAGAUGGUGAGCUUGUUUGCCAAUACCUUCAAAGCACCUUAUUAUGAGCACCUAAUGGGUAGCUCCUCUCAACAUUUCUAUGAUGCGGUGCGCAUAGCUGAAAGAAUAGAACAAGGGAUUAAAGCUGGGCGAAUAGCGAUGCCAGUGGAAAAGAAGGGUUUUAUUGGAAGAAAGAGAGAAGGCGAUGUUAACAAUUUGGAAGACGGGUAUAAGGGCAAGAAAGUAGAUUCCCACAAUCCACAAGUACCUACCUCUCAAUUCUCACGCAUAAACUUUAACCAAACUUUUUCCCCUAAUCGAACAAAUAACCAAUCAAACAACCAAAAUCACUACCAAAGACCCUAUAUAAGAUACCCUUCAGAACAACUACCGCCACUACCCAUGCCUUUGAAGGACAUGUAUGCCAAACUAUUGAGCAUUGGGCACAUAGCUCCUAUCCCUACACUACCAUUACAACCACCAUUCCCAAUUUGGUACAAGCCCGAGUUAACUUGUGAGUACCACGCGGGUAAUCCCGGGCAUGGGAUUGAAACUUGUUACGCUUUCAAGAAAAGAUUGUUGGAGCUUAUUAAGAUAGGAUGGGUAUCCUUUGAAGACAAGCCCAAUGUUAAUUCAAACCCGUUGCCUAAACAUGCCUCAACUAGUAGUGGAAUAGGCAUGAUAGAAGUUGGAAAUCAAUGCAAGGUGUUGAAGGUGUCCAUGAAGAAGUUGUACGACAUGCUGGUACAAUCAGGAUUUCUAAAGACAAAGGUGGAGAGCCAUUUGGAGGGAUAUAAUUACUGUGAAUACCAUGGAAGAGAUGGACAUCAUAUUGAGGAUUGCAUCGAGUUUUGCGAAAAGAUUGCAAAAAUGCUAAAAAUGGGGGAGUUGAGGAUUGAACCCAUGAAGAGCAGCGGUGAGGUGAGUAUGAUGGAAGGUCAAGAUGAAAUGAUAGGAGUAUGUAGGAUCCAACAAACAGCUAAUGGGCCCCCAAGGCUAAUCUUGGUUAAACCGUCCUACACAAAAGGGAAUCAUAAUGCCAUGCCUUAUAAUUAUGGUUAUGCCACGAACAUUCGAGCUCCUCUUCCUUUGUUCCAAUCUGAGAUAAGUGGUUUGACCAGGAGUGGUCGUUGCUUUACGCCCGAGGAGUUGAGGAAGGCAAAGGGCAAAGAAGUGGUAGAUCUGGACAAAGCACUAGAAGUUAAUAAGCCCGUAACGGAAGAGGAGUCGAAUGAAUUCCUGAAGUUGAUCAAGCAUAGUGAAUAUUGCAUAGUAGAUCAACUAAAGAAGACUCCAGCUAGGAUCUCCCUUAUGUCCUUGAUACUCAGCUCUGAGCCGCAUCGAAACGCCUUGCAAAAGGUAUUGAAUGAGGCAUAUGUACCCCAAGACAUUGAACAUAAAACCAUGAAGCAUCUAGUGGGGAGGAUCCAUGCAACUAAUUACUUGUACUUCACAGCGGAUGAGCUCGAUACUAAAGGUACCGGACAUAACAAGCCCUUAUACAUUACGGUUAGGUGCAAGGACUGCCUUAUAGGAAAAGUACUCAUUGAUAACGGCUCGGCCCUUAAUGUGUUGCCAAAGCACAUGCUGGAAGAAAUGCCGAUCGAUGAAUCCCAUAUAAAGCCAAGUACUAUGAUGGCCAGAGCGUAUGAUGGCUCGCCUAGGCCAAUAAUUGGGACUUUAGAAGUGGAGCUAUAUGUGGGACCACAAAUGUUCUUAGUAACACUUCAAGUUAUGGAUAUCCAUCCUUCCUAUAGUAUGUUGUUAGGAAGACCUUGGAUUCAUGCAGCGGGGGCAGUAGCUUCAUCAUUGCACCAAUGCCUGAAGUAUAUCAUGAAUGGGAUGUUGGUAACUGUCAAGGCUGAGGAGACAGUAUCCAUGAUAAAGAAUGUGGCUGUGCCUUUUAUCGAAGCGAAUGAUUGCAAGGAUAACAAUAUCCAUGCCUUUGAGAUUGUGAACACUGACUGGGUGCCGGAGAACACAGUGCUAAGAAGGCCAAGGAUCUCAGAAGCAGCAAGGAUGGCAAGUCUAUGCUUUUUGAACCGCGGGAUCCCAUUUCAGUAUAACUUUAUUAUCAGGAUACCAGAAGGGGUUAAUCUGGCAAGGAUGAAAAGUGCUGCUCAAAAAUUUGGGUUAGGGUACCAACCUAACCAAAAGGAUUAUCGGUGGGCUGCUGGUCGGAGAAGGGCAAGAAGGAUGGCUAGAAUUAAAGGAAGAGAGCCUGAUGAAGAAAAGCUAGAAAUCCCUCCCCUUAGCGUGUCAUUCCCAAAAGCUGCAUACAUAAUGCAACAUGAUAAAGAAGCCGAAAGCCUUGAUCAAGAGCUGUCAAACAUGAGCAUAAAUACCUUGGGGGAAAACAAGGUGGAAGGAGAUGACAUGAAGACAGUAGCAAGAAAGGGAGAUGAAGCGCUCCCACAACUGACGGUCUACACCAUAGAAGAAGUCUCCGCCAAGACCUUUGUGCGCAAGUUGGCUCAGGAUGAGAAGUUUCAGAACUGGGUGACCCAAGAAGCUCCAGUGGUUUUCAAAAUGUAAACUAAUUUUGUUUGUCUUAAACAUGCUUUUGUCAUUGCUUUGGUUGGUUUUUUUAUUUUCGCUAGUCGACAAUCAAGGCUCAAUUGUCGGCUAGAUUUCGUGUUUGUCAUGGAGCCUACCUUUUCUUUAAAUAAAUUGUGAGAUCAUGCACUUUUCACAAAUUGCCAUCUUUUUAUGCAUUUACACUAAACACUUCCCGCUUUCAGGAAUCCUGAAAGCGGAUCUCCUACAACAUCACAUACAUGGCCAAACUUGAACGAACAUGUGAUAACUAUGGAAGAAGAAGAGUGGGAUGAAAGCAAUAUCAGUAAAUUCACCAGGCUAGUAGUACAAUAGGAACAGACUUGGAAACCUGCCGCAGAGGAACUCGAAACCAUCAAUGUAGGCAGUGAUCAGUUCAAGAAGGAGUUGAAAAUAGGUACCCUAAUUACUUCGGAACUAAGGACAAAAAUGAUCGCCCUGUUACAAGAAUAUGCAGAUGUCUUUGCUUGGUCUUAUGAAGAUAUGCCCGGUUUGGACAUAAAUAUCGUAGUACACAAGAUACCGUUGGAAGAAGGUUGUAAGCCAGUCAAACAGAAGCUAAGGAGGGCCCACCCGGAUGUCUGGAUCAAGGUCAAGGCAGAACUCGAGAAGCAAUGGGAUGCUGGUUUUCUAGAAGUAGUUAGAUAUCCACAAUGGGUAUCUAACAUUGUUGUGGUGCCUAAGAAGGAGGGGAAGAUUAGAGUUUGUGUGGAUUUUCGGAAUUUGAAUAGAGCUAGCCCUAAGGAUGAUUUUCCCCUACCACACAUAGAUGUUUUAGUGGAUAAUGCUGCCCGGAGUUCAACUUAUUCCUUUAUGGAUGGUUUUUCAGGAUACAACCAGAUAAAAAUGGCUCCGGAGGAUAAGACGAAAACAACUUUUGUCACACCUUGGGGGACGUUCUGCUACAAGGUCAUGCCAUUUGGAUUGAAGAAUGUCGGAGCAACCUAUCAAAGAGCAAUGGUGACUUUGUUUCACGACAUGAUGCACAAGGAAAUUGAGGUGUAUGUAGACGACAUGAUUGCUAAGUCUAAAAGGGGAGAGGAUCAUGUUGAAGUUUUGAGAAAGUUGUUUGAGAGAUUGAGGAAGUAUGAAUUAAGGCUCAAUCCUGCAAAAUGUUCAUUUGGAGUUAAAUCGGGUAAGCUGUUAGGAUUUGUGGUAAGUGAUAGAGGUAUAGAGGUGGAUCCAGAUAAAGUAAGGGCCAUCCAAGCUAUGUCAUCCCCUAAGACGGAGAAAGAAGUAAGAGGAUUCUUGGGAAGGAUAAACUACAUUGCUCGGUUCAUAGCUCAGUUAACAACGACGUGUGAACCUAUAUUCCGACUACUAAGGAAAAAGAAUCCUGGAACCUGGAAUGAGGAGUGUGAGGAGGCAUUCAAUAAAAUCAAGCAUUAUUUACAAAAUCCACCUUUACUGGUUCCUCCGGUAUUAGAAAAACCUCUAGUAUUGUAUCUAACAGUGACUGAAGCAGCCAUGGGAUGUGUAUUGGGUCAGCAUGAUGAAACCGGAAGGAAAGAAAGAGCUAUUUAUUACUUAAGUAAGAAAUUCACUGAAUGUGAGUCUAGAUACACGGAGAUAGAAAGGCUUUGUUGUGCGUUGGUGUGGGCGGCAAAAAGGUUGCGACAUUAUAUGUUAUACUAUACCACUUGGUUGAUUUCAAAGGUGGAUCCUCUGAGGUAUAUUUGUAACAAGCCCUUUCUCUCAAGUCGAAUUGCAAGGUGGCAAGUUCUAUUAGCAGAAUAUGACAUAGUAUACAUGACAAGGAAAGCUGUAAAAGGAAGUGCAAUCGCGGACCAUCUGGCCGAUAAUGCUGUUGAAGAUUACGAACCUUUGGAUUUUGACUUCCCCGAUGAAGAUAUAUUGUUAAUAGAGGAAGAAGAGAAGACAGAUUGGUGGAUGAUGUUUUUUGACGGUGCAGUGAAUGUAUAUGGUAACGGGGCUGGUGCGGUAAUAAUCUCUCCUGAUAAGAAACAGUAUCCAGUUUCGGUUAAACUACAUUUCGAGUGCACCAACAACACAGCUGAGUAUGAAGCUUGUAUCCUCGGGUUAGAAGCGGCAUUAGAGUUGAAGAUAAAGAAGUUAGAUGUAUAUGGAGAUUCAAUGUUGAUUAUCUGUCAGGUUAAAGGGGAAUGGCAGACUAAGGAGGAAAAGUUGAGGCCGUACCAAGAAUACCUAUCCACGCUAGCAAAGGAAUUUGAAGAAAUUAGAUUCACCCAUCUGGGAAGGGAGGGGAAUCAUUUUGCGGAUGCUUUGGCCAUACUAGCUGCUAUGACUACCAUUGAUCUCAAGUGCAAAGUACAACCGGUACACAUUGACAUUAGAAAUGACCCAGCUCAUUGUUGCUUAGUUGAAGGAGAGAUAGACGGACAGCCUUGGUAUUAUGAUAUCAAGAACCUUGUGCAAAAUCUGGAAUAUCCGAUGGGAGCUUCCAAAACGGAUAAGAAAACCUUGAGAAGGUUGGCUAUAGACUUCUAUUUAGAUGGAGAGAUUUUGUACAAAAGAUCAUUUGAUGGAACCCUGCUAAGGUGUUUGAAUAAGGCUGAUGCUAGAAAGGCGUUACGGGAGGUCCAUAAGGGGAUUUGCUCAACCCAUGCUAACGGACAUAUGAUAGCAAGGAAAAUCCAAAGGGCUGGUUAUUUUUGGAUGACACUAGAGAAAGACUGUAUCGACUAUGUCAGGAAAUGUCAUAAAUGUCAAGUUUACAGUGACAAGGUCAAUAUGCCACCAGCUCCUCUAUUUAAUCUGAUAUCUCCUUGGCCAUUUGCAAUGUGGGGAAUCGACGUGAUCGGACCUGUUAACCCAAAAGCUAGCAACGGUCAUAGAUUCAUCCUCGUAGCUAUUGACUACUUCACAAAAUGGGUGGAAGCUAAUUCAUAUGCCCACGUAACACAGAACGUAGUAAAGAGGUUUAUAGAAAAGGAUCUGAUUUGUCGAUAUGGUCCUCCGGAAAAGAUAGUGACCGAUAAUGCACAGAAUUUCAAUGGUAAAAUGAUAGUGGAGUUGUGUACCAAGUGGAAGAUUAAGCAUUCGAACUCCUCGCCAUACCGGCCGAAAAUGAAUGGCGCAGUAGAAGCCGCCAACAAGAACAUCAAAAAGAUUAUUCAAAAAAUGGUAGUCACGUAUAAAGAUUGGCAUGAGAUGUUGCCAUUUGCUCUUCACGCAUACCGCACUACAGUCAGGACCUCGACAGGAACUACCCCAUAUUCUCUGGUGUACGGUAUGGAAGCAGUAAUGCCUUUGGAAGUAGAAAUCCCGUCGUUAAGAGUAUUGAUGGACUCCGAAUUAGAAGAGGCCGAGUGGGCCAAAGUGAGAUAUGAGCAACUGAACCUGAUCAGUGAAAAGAGGAUGGCCGCAAUAUGUCAUCACCAACUUUACCAGAAACGAAUGGCCAAGGCAUAUGAUAAGAAGGUUAGACCGCGGUUGUUUCGAGAAGGGGAUCUAGUAUUGAAGAAAAUAUUGUCACUACCUGGAGACGAUCAAAGCAAAUGGGCACCGAAUUAUGAAGGUCCUUACGUAGUAAAGAAGGCAUUCUCAGGAGGAGCGCUGAAGUUGGCUAGAAUGGAUGGAGAAGACCUAGCUCGACUUGUGAAUUCUGACUCUGUAAAAAGAUAUUAUGCUUGAUGAAGGCUCCUAAAUCAAUAAAGCAAAGUUUGGCCAUUGACUUCUUUCUCUUUUGCAUUGAUCUCACAACAAUCAUUUUUGCAUUAAUCCCAACAGUGCAUGUCUUGUUGUUAUCGCACCUAAAAAGUUUAGCAUCGGUUGAACGAAUUUCUUAUCUAUACAAAAGCCUAGACUAAAAUCACACCCCUACACUGGGGGCAAUAAGAGAUGUUUUCAUGUACGGAAGCCUAUAGAUUUGAAAACCAAGCUAAAACAUUUGACAAAAGCAUGACAAAGAGGCAAUGACAAGUCAUACAUUUUGGGAAAAGGACUACUCGAAGAAAGUCAGAGACAACACGAGAGAUGAAUCCAGCAUACGACUUCAAAAGCAAGCUCAAGCAAGAGGGAGUCUCACGAACUAGAAGAAGAGGAUGGGGGCCUAUGUUUCAAAACCAGGUACGAAUGCAUGCAUGGCAUCUAAUCAUAAAUCAUUGCAUAUAUGCUUUCUCAAUCAUUACAGGAGGAGUUCUUAAUGCAUUCCAGCAAGAUUGGAGAUGAAGAAAGAAUCAUGGUGAGUAAUAGCAAAGAAUUACGGUUUCGAACCGUAGUGGAUUCUGGAACAACAAGAAGAACAAGAAAAAGAGAGAAAAUGAAAAGUUUUGAACCCUGCCAUCAGGAAGAACGACAUCGUAUUUCGUUUGAAUAAAAGGAAUCGCCAGAUGGGAUUCUAAGUUGAAGGAGAUCGCCAGAAGGGAUCUCGUGUUUCGCUAUUUGGAGGUCGCCAGAUGGGACCUCGUUCUUUUUCAUAUUGGUUAAUAAAAGGAAUCGCCAGAUGGGAUUCCAAGUUAAAGGAGAUCGCCAGAAGGGAUCUCGCGUUUCACUAUUUGGAGGUCGCCAGAUGGGACCUCGUUUUUCAUUGAAUAAAAGGAAUCGCCAGAUGGGAUUCCAAGUUGACUAAAGGAGAUCGCCAGAAGGGAUCUCGUGUUUCACUAUUUGGAGGUUGCCAGAUGGGACCUCGUAUUACCUGUUGAAAAAAGGAAUCGCCAGAUGGGAUUCCAAGUUGACUAAAGGAGAUCGCCAGAAGGGAUCUCGUGUUUCGUUAUUUGGAGGUCGCCAGAUGGGACCUCAUUUUUCAUUGAAUAAAAGGAAUCGCCAGAUGGGAUUCCAAGUUGACUAAAGGAGAUCGCCAAAAGGGAUCUCGUGUUUCACUAUUUGGAGGUCGCCAGAUGGGACCUCGUUUUUCAUUGAAUAAAAGGAAUCGCCAGAUGGGAUUCCAAGUUGACUAAAGGAGAUCGCCAGAAGGGAUCUCGUGUUUCACUAUUUGGAGGUCGCCAGAUGGGACCUCGUUUUUCAUUGAACAAAAGGAAUCGCCAGAUGGGAUUCCAAGUUGACUAAAGGAGAUCGCCAGAAGGGAUCUCAUAUUUCGCUAUUUGGAGGUCGCCAGAUGGGACCUCAUAUUUCGUUUGAAUAAAAGGGAAUUGCCAGACGGGAUUCCAGGUUGAGUAAGCAACAAUUAUAGAUUUUGGUUUAGAGAGAUCGCCAGACGGGAUCUCAAGAUGAUAAAUUUUGAUCAUAGUUUUUGGGUAAAGGAGGAUUGCUAUAAAAGACAAGUUUCAGGUCAAUCAAGCUUCAACCAGAUCAGUUUCGGGAGCUCCGUUUUGGGUUUGUCUUUAUAAAACUUACUGCGCAAAACCUCUGCUCCGUAAGCAUUAUAAAGAGGGGGCAUCUGUUGUAACCCAUUUUUGGGUCCCCACAAAAUAUAUAUAAAAAUAUAUAGCCAAAGGAGGUUAGAAAAAUAACAGGAGGCAGAAGCGCUCAGAAAAUGGUUGGAAAAUUGGUCAAUGAGGUUAAAAAUACAAAGAUUGGAUUUUUGACAGUAUAUUCUUGAAGGAGGAGAGCCCUGUUGAGAAGGAAAAUUUGAAAUUUGAGGAGAAAAGCCCAAAUUUAGAUGUUUAUGGACUUAAUUUGAUUUUUAAAUGAAUUUAUAGGGGAUUUGAUUGUAAGAAAAAUUGAUUUUUAAGUCAAUUUGGGCUUUAAUUAGAAGAAAUUUAAGUUCUGGGGCCAAAAUAUAUUUUUUAAGAAUUUAUUAGGUCAAAUCAGGUGCAUAAAUAUUGAAGUUUAAGGGCCAAUUAGGGACUUAAUUGAGAAAAUCCGAAACCAGGGACCAAAUUGAAAGAGGCGCGUAAAUGGAGGGGCUGGAAUUAAUUGAUUCAGGGGCCUAAUUGAAGAAAUUAGAAGUUUUUUGAUCAAUUAAGGGCUCAAUUGCAUAAAUCAGAGGCCAAGGACUAAAGUGAAAAACGCGGCCAACAAGAGGGGCGGAGACCGAAAUUGGCAGGGAUGCAAUUGAAGAAAAAAAAGAUGAUUGAGGGCUGAUUUGAAAUUUAGCGCGUUUUGGCGCCACAUUUAAAUGAAACGGCGCGUUUUCUCCAAAACGACGCUUUUCAAACAUUAAAAAAAAAAAAAAGAGCAGAACGGUGUCGUUUUGAACGACACUGUUCAUCUUCUUCCCCCGAUCACGCAGCGGGGAAGAAGGGAAAAAGGGUUGCUUUUUUUUGAAUUUUUGCCGGCCACUCUCGCCUGGAGCCAACCGACCGGACACAAUGGCCGACCACCCACCGCGCACCACCCACCGAACCUCGGCAGCCGCGCCCAAUGGCCGACCAGCCGGCCGCUUCCCAUGAGAGCUGUAAAAAAACAGCGCCCUUGGCCUCUAUAAAUAGAGCCCAAGAACGCUGAGGAAGAGGAGGAGAAGGAAGGGGAGAAGAGAACAAAGGGGAGGGAAGAAGGAGAAAAAACAAAAAAAAAAUAGAGGAGAGAGAGAGGAAGAACCGAAAGAAGAGAGAAACCAAGAGGAGAGAAAAACAUAAAAAAAACAGAGGAAAGAAAAAACAGACUGAGAAAAGAGAGGGAAGGGAAGAAAAAGAGAAGACCGAAACAUAGGAAGAAAAGGGAAACGGACGUUCGGAACAGCUGUAGCGCCGCCUGGAGCCGCCGUCCGUGAGCUACGCCACCGCCACCAGCCUCUGCCGCAGCACCGCCACCAGCCUCUGCCGCAGCACCGCCAACGACAGCGCCACCACCUCCUCCGCGCCAGGUAACCCUUCUUCCUCCCCUAUUCUGGUGUUUCUUUAUUUCCUUCUCUGCAUGCAGAACGAAUAGCGUUCUGCAUGCAGGGGCGGCCCGCCCGUUUUGUUGCUGGGCCAGGCGGGUCCUGGCCCAGCCUAGUCUUCUGGGCCGGGUCUGGCCCAAAAGAGAAUAUGUUUUGGGCCGAGAUCGGCCCAAUACAUUUUUGGGCCGACCUCGGCCCAUUCAUUGUUUUGGGCUGAGUCCGGCCCAGUGGUUUGGGCCGGCCCAGCCCGAUUUAAUAUUAUAUUAUAUAUAUAUAUAUAUUAUAUUUUGUAUUAUUUAUAUAUAUAUAUAUAUAUACAUGAAAAAAUUAUAAAAAUUAUGCAAAAAUUAUAGAAAAAUAUAUGUGAUUUUGUUGUAAUUUUAUUACUGUAUUUUGAUUAAUAUUGGUUGGUAUUUUAUAUUGUAAAGAUAUAAAAUCCGGUAUUAAAAUACCCGGUUUUCAUCAAAACAUCAAAGAUUUUCAAAACAAAAAAUGUCUUUUGCUUUCAAAAAUUUUCUAAAAAUAUCUUUGAAAAUAUCGUUGAUUCUUCGGCAUUUAUUUUAUAAAAGUGGAUUAAUAUUUGGUUGUAUAUUUUUUACAAACCCAGUAUUAAAAUACCCGAUUUGCGCCAAAGCGUACAAAAAUACAUAUUUAAAAAAUGUUUUGUUUUAAAAUACGGCCUAGUCUCUCCAACAUAUAUAUAUAAAUAUUAUAACAUCAUAUUUUCACACAACAAAGGAAAUUUCAAAAAAAACAAUAUAUGUAUUAACAUGCAUUUUGGCUUUAAUAACCAGUUUAUUCAAGCCAUGAGAACUAGGCCAAUAUUUCAAAAAUUCUAAAAAAAUCUUUUUGUCUUUGGGAUUACUAAUUUAUACAUAAAACGUUUUCCUGAUAUUAAAAAUAUGUUUUUUACAUAGACAUUAGAACAGUUAGGUUUUACCCGAUAAGAUAAGGACCUCCUUAUUGAGGAGGACUUUUCUUGAACCGUAGAUGGACCAACAACUAGGAAACACACGAAACCUUGAAUUUUAUCAGACAAAUAAACAAUGCAGCUUACCUUAGGUAAGGCGUAUUUGGGGUGCUAAUACCUUCCCUUUACGCAACCAGUCCCCGUACCCAAUCUCUGAGACUAGUUAGGGUUCCUAGUGACCAAAAAUACUAGGUGGCGACUCCCACACCAUUUUUCACUACUAAGAGACAACGAAUUCCUUGUCUCCCCACAUUGACCAGAUGUAUCCCCCAUCCCCCAUUACAUUUACUUAUUUUUUUUUGGUGGACAAUCGCCGCGACGUCGCUCACGUGCGACAAGAAGCACGAAAAUUAGAGCGUAGCAGUUUUAUAAAUAAAAAAUGCAUGCAUGGUGUAAAGUUUUUAAAAACACACAAUUAAAAAUGUAUCGAGAAAUAUAAAAAAAUGCGAUGGAUUUAUAAAUUUAAUCAUCAGAUUACAAAAUAAAUUAAUGAAAAUAAAAGGAUUAGAAACACUCAUUAAUAACACUACAAUGUUCAAUCAAUAUGACUUUGAGCGUGGUAAUUCUUCUACUAUGAAAAUAAAAGGAACAAGUCUCAAAUUAGACUCCUAAUUAUACGGUGGGUUUCAAUUGAAUGCUCUAAGAAAUUAUUUUUCAAUUCGAUCCCUGGUUUUAAGAAGUUUUAAAUUUUAUCCUUUCAACUACAAAAUUAGGAAAAUAUUUUAAUGAAAAACAUCAUGUUUCCUUCACAUUAACGAUAUCGUUUUCAUUGCAUAGAAUGUGCGUUCUUGAUGAAAUCUAUUAGAAAAUGUGGAUGGAAGAACUCAAUCGUGAAGUUUUGAACCUUUAGAGAUCCAAUUUUUUAAAGAUAAAUUUAAUUAAGAUAUGGCUCAUAAUUUUGAUAUUUUUUUAGCCUUGACCCUUGAUUUGGCUUCCACAAUUCCAAAAUAAUAAUAAUAAUAAUAAUAAUAAUAAUAACAACAAUAAUAAUAAUAAUUAAUAAUGAUGUGGAUAAUUGAAAUAAACAGUGUUUAAAAGAGAGUUUUGCUAGCAUUGUUCAUGUCUUCAUAACAUCCUAAUUUUAAGAGAUUGAAUGGGUGAUUAAGAAGGUUUUAUUAUUAUUUUAGAGCAUAUAUGACCAACUUUGCAAAUCAUUAUUACAUAAUUAAGAUAUGGUAGUUGGAUAGGAUACGAAGCAAAUAAGAGCAAGUUGUAAGAAUGAAGAGACUUUAAAUUAGUUGCCUUUUGAUUUCCUGAAGGACAGAGAUUGCCUUCUUUUUUGGGAAACUUUGGGGUGCACUGGCUUGGGUAUCAAGCAAAGAAGAGAUACUAAAUAGUAAAAAAAAAUGCAGUUUACAAGAUUAAAUUGGCUAUCCUUUCUCUUGAUGGCAGAGUUUUCUUUCUUUUUCUGGACACUUGAAAGAAGGAACACUGAAUAUCAUUGAGGCAAGUAGUAUCUUCUAGCUGAAUUUCUUGUAGUAAGAUGCUUGAACAUUGAACUCCCUUGAAAAUCAUGUAAAAUUAUUGUUGAUUUAAUAACUUAAAAUAUUUAGUUAAUAUGGUUCUUCUAUAUUCUUAACAAUAAUAUCGAAUUUGUUUUUAAUAAUUCAGUAAGCACACUAUCAAAGCUUCUCUUGAAAGACUAAAAAAAUUCACAUUCAAGCUGUGAUCCAAUAUUACAGUCAUUUCCUAACUUUUGAUCAAUUCUAUGAUAAAUGCAUACAACUUCUGGUAAAAUUAAUUUAUUAAACCAUAACAUUUCUUUCUCUCUCUAUUUUUUUUUGACAUGAUUUCUUUGGGUAAUUUAGUUUGAUAUCUUCAAAGGAAUUUUGUGAGGUUUGGUUUUCUUUGGAGGAUUUAAAAAAAAACAGAUAUUUCUUGGACGUUAAGGGAUUUCGGGUUUGAGUGUGAGAUAUUUUAUUAGGAGGUUACUUUCCUUGAGAGGAUUUAUUGAAUAUUACACAAUUAUUAUUUUGGGUUAAAUGGUAUCAAGAAUUGGAAUCUAGUUUAAAAGAAUUUGCCAAUCGGUAUCAAAACACUCAUUGGUCUGGUGGCUGACGAGUCCCCUCUCGUUCUAUCGAUAAACCAAAAAGGAUGUGAUCUUCUGUUUCAAUUGCUGAACAUGACAGUUCAAAAGACAAAUGAUGCUCAUAAGAACUGUCGCGGGGGGCACGACGUCAUCUGGCGAUGGCGGAGGCUCUUGUCGUGCCUCCUGAUGAGGGAUGUUGUGUGUUGGAAAAUUAUGAUUAAUUUUUUAGAGUCGCCACCUAGUAUUAUGGUUACUAGGAACCUAUGGUCUGCGAGAGUCUGAGUAAGGGACUGGUUGUGCAAGGGAAAGACCCAUCACCCCCAGUGCACCCUACCUAAGAUAAGCUGCAUUGUUGAUUGAUUGUUUUUAGAUUGAAUUUCUAUUUAUUGGUCUUAUCUAAGGCUCAAGGCAGAUCUCUCUUCAUGAGAGAGUCUCUACCUUAUCGGGUUAAAUCCUAACUGUUCUAAAGUCUGAAUACUAACAUCGUAUUUAUUUACAUAUUGUAUCUUUAAUACAUGAGGGUGUAUUUUAUCGUAUAAUUUUACACCCCACAAAUAUUAAAGUCUACAUCUAGAUUCUAAAAAAAGAUUGGAAAAAGAUUUUUGAUAUGUUGGUCAAAUCCUAAUGUAUAAUCAUAAACUGGUUAUGAUAUCUAUUUUUUUUUAACAUGAAAAAGAUGCAAUUUUAUUUUUAUUUUUUAAUGAAAAAUAUGCUUAAAAGUUUUUUAGGAUUUGGCUGUAUGCAUGAAAAUAAUUUUUUUUUUAAAGUAGAAAUUGAUUUAAAAGAUUUUUUUUUGAAAUUUUUUUAAUUUUAAUUUUUUUGAAAUAUUUUGAAGAAAACCGGGUAUUUUAAUACCGGAUUUGUAUUUUACAGUGUAAAUAUACAAACUGAUAUUAUGCAAAAUUAGUAAAAAAAUAUUUAAGAAAAUCACAAAUUUUUUUAAAGGAUUUUUGAAUUUUCUUAGAAUUUUUUUUAAAAAAAUAUAUAAUAUAAUAUUAUAUAUAUUAAAUAAAUAUUAUUUAAACAUGUGGGCUAGGUCGGCCCAGUCAGCUGGGCCGAGCUUAGCCUCAGAAGAGAUGGGCCAAUAUCGACCCAAAAUGGUUGGCCCAGCUGACGCGUCAUCUGUUCCUUUCUUCUUUUCUUUUUUUGUAAAACGGUGCUGUUUUGGAUUAAAAUAGGGAUUUUUACUAAAUUUUAAUUGAGUCCUCUUUCUUUUAAUUACUUUCAAUUGAACUCCUAAUUGACCCUGAACUUUUGAUUUAAUGCAAUGAAACCCCUUCUGAACUUCAAUUGGAACCCUGAAGUUACGCGCCUUUUACAAUAUGGUCCUUGGUCUUGGAAUUUAUCAAUUUAACCUCUAAUUGACCAUUAAACUUUCAAUUUCUUCAAUUUAGCUCCCUGGUUUUUCUCAAUUAAGCCCCUAAAGUGUGGCGCCUCUUGCAGAUUGGUCCCUGGAUGCAAAUUUUAUCAAUUUAACCCCUAAUUGACCCCAAAACUUAAAUUUUCUUGCAAUUUUGACCCUGAUUCCAAUCAAUUAACUUGGUAAAAAUUAAAUUUGGUCUCUUAAAAUUUCAAUCUUCUCAAUUAAGCCCAAAUUAAGCUCCCAAACUUAAUUUUUCACCAAUUAAGCCCCAAAUAAAAUUAAUUUGACCCAUUUAAAGUAUAAUUAAGUCCUUGCACUUAAUUAAAUCCUUCAAUUGGACCCAAAUUAAUUCUUAAACAUAAUUAAAAUUUAAUUUGGCCCAUGAUUAAAUCAAAUUGGCCUAUUAAAAAUUUAAUUAUAUCCUUGGACUUAAUUUUCCACUAAUUAAGCCCCAAAUAAAAUUAAUUUGACCCAUUUAAAGUAUAAUUAAGUCCUUGCACAUAAUUAAAUCCUUUAAUUGAACCAAAAUUAAUUCUCAAACAUAAUUAAAAUUCAAUUUGGCCUAUGAUUAAAUCAAAUUAGCCUAUUAAAAAUUUAAUUAUGUUCUUGGACUUAAUGUUUAUACAAAUUCGUCCAAUAAUCAUUUAAUUGGAACUUGAAUUUGCAUUGUUUCCUCUAUUUUUUGGGCAUAAAGGGGUACAAUUAGGCCUUGAAUUUUCCUCAAAAAUUACAGCUUGACUUCCCGGUCUACUUUCUCCACGUUGCCAGCCUUUAUUUUAUUUUUUUGAUUUUUAUUUUGAAAAACAAAUUGAUUUUUGGGGAAUAACCCAGAAUUGAGUUAUGACAGUUGCCCCCCUCUUUACAAUGCUUACGAUAGAAAGUAUCAUAAGAAACUUUAGAUAGUAAGCGUUGUAAAGAAGAAAAAGAAGAAUGAGAGAUGCUGGAAUGACGAAUCUUUUUAAGGGCUAGCAAGCGCACUCAGAGUGAAAACUAGAAUAUUUAUCUUCCGAAAAUUCAAAUAUUUUGAAGUGGUCGAAUUGUCAUGGGUGACCUACCCAGGGAAAAUUGAAAAAAAGUUUUUGAGGUGGUCUCAUUGUAAUGGGUGACCUACCCAGGUGAAAAAUACAAAGAUUUUUCAAAGAUGUUUCAAGGUGUUGAAAAAUAUGAAGAUUUUUCAAAGUGGUCUUAUUGUAUUGGGCGAUCUGCCUAGGUGAAAAAUGCAGAGAUUUUUUAAAGUGUUGAAAGAAAUAUGAAGAUUUUUCAAAAUACAGAGAUUUUUCAAAGUGGUAUUGUUGUAAUGGGCGACCUGCCUAGGCAAAAAAUGCAAAGAUUUUUCAAAGUGUUGAAAAAUACAAAGAUUUUUCGAAGUGGUCUUGUUGUAAUAGGCGACCUGCCCAGGUGAAAAAUACAGAGAUUUUUCAAAAUGGUGAAAAAUACUAAGAUUUUUCAAAGUGGAGAAAAAUACAGAGAUUUUUCAAAGUGGUCUUGUUGUAAUGGGCGACCUGCCCAGAUGCAAAGAUUUUUCAAAAUGUUCUUGUUGUAAUGGGUGACCUGUCCAGAUGAAAAAUGCAAAGAUUUUUCAAAGUGGUCUUGUUGUGUUGGGUGACCUACCCAGGUGAAAAAUACAAAGAUUUUUCAGAGAGGUGAAAAAUAUGAUGAUUUCUCAAAAUGGUUUCAUUAUAAUGGGCAACCAACCCAGAUGGAAGAUUUUAAAGGUGGUGAGAAAUAUAAGGAUUUCUCAAAAGAUGGUUUCAUUGUAAUUGGGAACCGACCCAAAUGGAAGAUUUUGAAGGUGGUGAGAAAUGCAAGGAUUUCUCAAAAGAUGGUUUUAUUGUAAUGGGCAACCGACCCAAAUGGAGAUUUUUCAAGGUGUUGAGAAAUGCAAGGAUUUCUCAAAAGAUGGUUUCAUUGUAAUGGGCACCCGACCUAAAUAGAAGAUGAAAAGAGUUUUCAAAGAGGUAUGAUUGUGAUGGGUGACCUGCCCAAGUAAAAUGUCUUGAAGAGACGACAUGAUAGGGCUUAAAGGCACACUAUUCUAGAGACGGGAGCUCAAAGGAGCAUUCAAAAAGAGAUAGGACUCGAAGGGGAACGGGGACUGAAAAGCGUACUCGAAAAAAGGUAGGGUUAGAAAACGCACUACCUUCAAAGGCGCACUUGAAAGGAGGCAAGGUUAGAAAAAGCACUACCUAUGAGGUGAGGGCUCAAAGGCGCACUCAAAAAGAGGUAGGGUUGGAAAACGCGCUACCUAAAGUGGUUGAUGGCUCUAAGGCUCACUCGAAAAGAGGUAAGGUUGGAAAACGCACUACCUAACGUGGUUGAGGGCUCUAACACGCACUUAAAAGUUGGUAUGGUUAGAAACACAAUACCUGAGAGAUAAUGGCUUAAAGACACAUUAAAAAAGAAGAUAGGGCUAGAAAGCACACUAUCUGAAUCAUGAGGGCUCAACAGCCCGCUCAAAAAGAGGUGUCAAGGAUGAAAGUAAUGCAUCAUGAUCAAUAUGCAUGUAUACUUACCUGAGAAAUAUAGGUCCCAUUUUAUUCAUAGAAUUUUCAUCUUCUCAAAAGUUUGAGUCUUUAAUAGUAAGCUUUGAUGGCUCUUUCCACUCUUGUUUACUCAAGUCAUAUCUUAUGAUCUUAACCUCUAGGAGGGAUCGACAUACUUGUUUUUCCACAAACCUUUAUUUGAAGGAUUGCCGGCUAUGCACUAUAUCUCAUGUUUUCUUAUAAGAAGAAGCAUGAAGCCAACCCUUUGUGUUUUGGUGGAUUGCCCCCCAGUUUGAUCAUGCCUCCAAGUGUUCAAUUUGGAUUUUUCUUAGGGAUGAGGCUAUGUGGAAGAAGAUUUGGUUAUUUACAAGGAGUUGUUUUCAUGAAGAAUUUUAGAAUUUCAAAGCUGUUCUGAAAAUAUCAUUUUGAUGUUUGUUCAAAACAAACUUAUGCUGAAAAAUUCAAGCAUUUCUUACGGACAGGUUUGCAUGAGUGUUGAAAACAUUUUGUUUUCCUUUUGGUGAAGUGAAGUGUUGUUUGAUUGGUCAAAAGGGUUCAAACUUCAAUUUGUGGGUUUUAAAAAACUAGUUUUCAAAGCAUUUAUUUUGCUUGCAUGAAUAAUGACUUGUUUCACAUAGAAAAACAAGGUCCACCGAUCCAAAUUGCCUACAUUUGAUCAGAAAGGGCUUGAUUGGGCACGUAACGUAGGGUUUAGCUCUUGGCUAAGAAGAAAAAGGAUAUUUGUAGGCUUAAAAGGUGUUUAAUGGACUUCAAGACUAAGGAUCACUAGUGCUUAUAUCCCCGAACUUCUUUUUCUCCUUUUUUUUUGUGUAGGGGUCCAUGAAUUGAUUUGCAAAAUGGUCCAUGGUGCCCCCCAAUGUUAGGCUUUUCUUCUUUUGGUUUUAAGCAUUCUUAUAUUAAUGAUUUUUAUGGCAUGCUCAAAUCUUUUGGAACUCUUUCAUAUCCCCCGGCUUUUGAGGAUUUUCUUUCAUGCCCUCCAGUGUUGUUUGGGCACUUUUUAUCAUUAAGGAUUUUUUGCAUUUUCCCCUCCAGUGUAGGGUGUGAUCCUAGCCAAGGUUAUUUUUUCAUAAAAAAUAAAAAAAAAUACACUAGGCUCGAAAGGGGAUUACAAGGGAUUUUUUAGAUUUUAUGAAAGGAUGAUCAAAUAUGACCUUUCUUCAUUUCAAACGCAUGCAGUUGGAAUCGACAAGCUUUGCUUUCUCAUAUGUAAAUAUGCAAAAAUGGUUUUUCAUUAUUCAUGCAGUCAAAACUCAGCUUUGAAGUUAUUUCAUGGUGUUUGGGUUGUCUUUCAAGUUUUUUAAGUGUUAGGAUAUCACUUGAAUUUUCAGAACUUGUUUAUUAGAACAAACACCAAUUUGAUUUUUUUUUUUGUAUUAAACCUUGAUUUCCCAAAAAUUCUUAUGAAAAUAUGGGGUCGUGCUUGUUUCUUGGAGAGAGAAAAAAGAAAAAUACCAAAGAAUUCUUGAUGCAGUGAUUUUGUGAGUAAAAGGUGUGCUCAAUAUGUUAUGAAAACACAUUAUGAACAUAGAAAGGCACAUGAUCUUAUUAAUAAGAAAGGUUCAUUUGACAAGGAAUGUCUUGUGGCAUUAUAAACCAAAUUGCCAACAGGUUAAAAUAAACAUGAUCGAACAAAAGGCAAUAAUUGGGCAGGCUUUCAUCCUCCCAUCUUGUGGUAGAACUUCAUCCUCUAUCCUCAAGAAUGCACAUUGUCUUCUUCGCACCCUACUCUUGCCAUUAAUGCUUUAAAGUUUUUGGAUCAUUUCAUCUCUAGUGUAUUCACCGAUCCAGUACCUGGAGCAUGAUGGAGUAGAGGGUUCGAACUCACGUUUGGAACUUCGAAGGUUAUCCAUCCAGCUUUAAUCAAAUGCAUGAGCCUCUUCUUGAAGGCACUACAAGUAUGAAUGUUGUGCCCCGCAGCACCAGCAUGGUACUUGCAGGUGAGGUUGGGCAUGUACCAAUUAGGGUAAGGUGGUUGUAGUAGCGUAAGAGGUUCAGGAGCUACAUACCUCAUGCUUAGUAGCUUUUGGUACAUCUCAUUUAAGGGCAGUGGUAAUGGAGGUAGCUAUUCUUGGACUCUUUGGUGUUUGGUCUGAGGCUCAGGUUUUUUAGCAGGAAAAGAAGAGUUGAAAUUAAUGUUGGUGAUUUGGGAUAAAGAGGAUGGUGUGUGAUAGUUUUGGAACAGGUUUUUCCUACCCUUAUUACCAUUUUCAACAUAAUCGACCUCUUUUCUUUUACCCUUAAAGCCUCUUUUAUUAGUGGGCGCAGAUAUUCUACCACUUUUUACUCCUUGCUCUAUGCGCUUAGCUACUGCCACAACGUCAGUAAAUUGCUAGGCCGAACUACCCAUCACAUGCUCAUAACAUGGUGUCUUGAGCGUGUUGGCAAAUAAAGUUACCAUCUCUUUGUCCAAGAGUGAGGGAUGUACUUGAACAACUAGGUCUCUCCAUCUUUGAGCAUAUUCCCUUAUGCUUUCCUUGUUCCUUUUCUCUAGAUUGGAUAAACUGGUUCUAUCAGGAGCAAUGUUCAUGUUGUACUUGUAUUACUUUACAAAUGCAUCCACCAAGUCUUUCCAUUUGUGGAUUUUAGUGUUGUCUAAUCUCAUGUACCAGCUUAACGCCGCCCCAUUCAAGCUAUCCUGAAAAAAAUGCAUAAGUAGUUUCUCAUCGUGUACUGCUUCUGCCAUUUUGUUGCAGUAGGAUUUUAAAUGUGUUAUAGGGCAUUGUGUUCCAGUGUAUUUGAUGAAUUCAGGAACGCGAAACUUUUUUAGGACAACCACAUUUGGGACCAAACACAUUUCUAAUGCUCGUACUGGAUCAUACAAGUCUACCCCUUCAAUUGCUCUAAUCUGGGCUUCCAACGCAGCCAUCUUAUCUUUAUCAAUGUUAUCAGAUGACUUAGUCUUAUGGGACUCGUUGGGAAAUGGAUCUAUGACUACAAGGGCUAGUGCUGAUGGCAUUGAGUGCACAAAUGCUGGAUCGUGUGGAGGUUCUUGACCAUGUUCACUCAUUGUUUCUUUGGGUUGAGCUGUUGUUGAAGGCUGAGCAAAAAUAGUUGGCUAAUUGGAAGGACCUUUACUAGAGGCGUUUCUAAGUGUUUGCUCGAGUAAGCUAGUGAGGCGAGUCACGCUUGCUUUCAGAGACUCUAACUUUUCUUGAAAAUGGGCGUCACGGUGAGCACGCUUUUCAUCUUCCAUGUUUCUUGCUCAGAGUCGGGUGUUAUAGGCUCUUUAGGGACCUAUAUUUCAACUUGAUGCAAGUAUGUAUGUUAUUUACAAUGGAUGGAUGUAGGCGUGUGGAUGCAAAUGCAUAUGUAUUGGGUAUGAAUGGCAAAAACUCAUGCAAAAUGAAUAUGUAGGGAGAUCAUGCUCUAAAGGAAGGUUCUAGGUCAUUACAUGAUAGGUAGGCUUUUUACCUAGUCUUAAAAGGGUCUAUGAACUACCUAGUGACCACCUCACAUGAAGGCAGUAUAGGGGUUUACAAGGAAUGGUUGGGGCACACUGUGACCGCCAUUAUCGAGUAAACACUCAGCUCAUAGUUGGAUGUUCCACGAAUCUGAACCUCGAUUGAAAGUCAUGAGGCAGACCGCUACUCCCCACCUAACCUAGAAUUGGGUUUAUUUGCAAAAUUAAAAUGCUAAAGCAGUAAAAAUGCAAGCUAAAAUUAAAGAACAACAAAAAAAAAACAAGCAAACAAGCAAAGCUUAGUCCAACCAGACAAGGUGGUCUCUAGUGGAGUCGCCAUCUGUCGCGGGGCGCGCGAUGGCGGAGGCUCUUGUCGUGCCUCCUGAUGAGAGGUGUUGUGUGUUGGAAAAUUAUGAUUAAUUUUUGGGAGUCGCCACCUAGUAUUAUGGUUACUAGGAACCUAUGGUUUAAGGCUUAAGGCAGAUCUCUUUUCAUGAGAGAGUCUCUACCUUAUCGGGUUAAAUCCUAACAGUUCUAAAGUCUGAAUACUAACAUCGCAUUUAUUUACAUAUUGUAUCUUUAAUACCUAAGGGUGUACUUUAUCGUAUAAUUUCACACCCCACAAAUAUUAAAGUCUACAUCUAGAUCCUAAAAAAAGAUUGGAAAAAGAUUUUUGAUAUGUUGGUCAAAUCCUAAAGGAUAAUCAUAAACUGGUUACGAUAUCCAUUUUUUUAAAACAUGAAAAAGAUGCAAUUUUAUUUUUAUUUUUUUAAUAAAAAAUAUGCUUAAAAUUUUUUUAGGAUUUGGUCGUAUGCAUGAAAAUAAUAUUUUUUUAAAUAGAAAUUGAUUUAAAAGAUUUUUUUUGAAAUUUUUUUAAUUUUAAUUUUUUUGAAAUAUUUUGAAGAAAACCAAGUAUUUUAAUACCGAAUUUGUAUUUUACAGUGUAAAUAUACAAACUAAUAUUAUGCAAAAUUAGUAGAAAAAUAUUUAACAAAAUCACAAUUUUUUUAAAGGAUUUUUGAAUUUUUUCAGAUUUUUUUUAAAAAAGAAAUAUAUAGUAUAAUAUUAUAUAUAUUAAAUAAAUAUUAUUUAAACAUGUGGGCUAGGUCGACCCAGCUGACUGGGCCGAGCUCAGCCUCAGAAGAGAUGGGCCAAUAUCGGCCCAGAAUUUUAAUUUUUUUUUGGGUCGGGUCAGACCAGCUGUUCUGACCCAGCCCAAGUUUCAUGUUAAUUAUAUGCAGCAACGUGAACACUUGUUGUUCACGUGCUGCAUGCAACCAAACGGUUGCAGGAGCUGCUGACGAGCGGAGAAGGAGGCUACCAGUGUCUGUGGUCACGGACGUGAUCAGGAGGUUGAGCUGAUGUUCCAGGCGGUGUCUUUUCGAGGAAAGGUGGAGGAAUUGGCCGCCGGUGGCAGAGGAAGUAGAAGAAGAAAAAGGCAAACGAGAAGCUGCGGAGAGGAGAGAGAAAGGUUUAUGGUGGCUCUCGAUGGUUGGUAGGUAGCUUCCAACGAUGGAGUUGUGGUGUAUAGGCUGUUGGUGGCUUCGGUUGGUGGCUGGAACGGCGGAGAGAGAGUGGUAAAGAAAAACUGUUGAAACAGGGGCAGAAGAGCUGGUUUAUGGCCGAAUUUGGACCAAAUUUUCUCCUCGCUUAGGUCAUCAAAGAAGCCUCUAUUUAUAGGCGGUGGAAGAGGGUAAUCUGGUCUACACCGGGGUAAAAUUUCAGCCAUUGAUUCAGUUGGGAAGGAUUCCAACCGUUGACUUAAAGUAGACAUCCUGAGUUGUCAAUUCUGCAGAAAAAGCUGCCUGAAUGGGUAUGUUUAAGCCAGCUUCGACGCCGUGUGGUUGUCGUUCAGACUUAAAUAUUCAGAUGGGGAUGUAUAGUGACUGUAGAGGAUCAUUUUCAUGCAAUUUUGGUUAAAUUUGGUGGGCGUUUAGUGCAUUAAAUGCACCUGCAAAGAAGGUUACCAAACCAGCUUUAACCGGGUAAAAGAAGAAGACAAUGAACAGUGACCACACGCGUCGUCUGGUCCUUUCUUCUUCUUUUUUUUGUAAAACGGCGUCGUUUUGGACUGGAAUAGGGAUUUUUACUAAAUUUCAAUUGAGUCCUCUUUCUUUUAAUUGCUUUCAAUUGAACCCCUAAUUGACCCUGAACUUUUGAUUUAAUGCAAUGAAGCCCCUUCUGAACUUUAAUUGGAACCCUGAAGUUACAUGCCUUUUACAAUAUGGUCCUUGGUCUUGGAAUUUGUCAAUUUAACCCCUAAUUGACCAUUAAACUUUUAAUUUCUUCAAUUUAGCCCCCGAUUUUUCUCAAUUAAGCCCCUAAAGUGUGGCGCCUCUUGCAGAUUGGUCCCUGGAUGCGAAUUUUAUCAAUUUAACCUCUACUUGACCCCAAAACUUGAAUUUUCUUGCAAUUUUGCCCCUAAUUCCAAUCAAUUAACUUGGUAAAAAUUAAAUUUGGUCUCUUAAAAUUUCAAUCUUCUCAAUUAAGCCCAAAUUAAGCUCCCAAACUUAAUUUUUCACCAAUUAAGCCCCAAAUAAAAUUAAUUUGACCCAUUUAAAGUAUAAUUAAGUCCUUGCACUUAAUUAAAUCCUUCAAUUGGACCCAAAUUAAUUCUUAAACAUAAUUAAAAUUUAAUUUGGCCCAUGAUUAAAUCAAAUUGGCCUAUUAAAAAUUUAAUUAUAUCCUUGGACUUAAUUUUCCACUAAUUAAGCCUCAAAUAAAAUUAAUUUGACCCAUUUAAAGUAUAAUUAAGUCCUUGCACAUAAUUAAAUCCUUUAAUUGAACCAAAAUUAAUUCUCAAACAUAAUUAAAAUUCAAUUUGGCCCAUGAUUAAAUUAAAUUGGCCCAUUAAAAAUUUAAUUAUGUUCUUGGACUUAAUGUUUGUACAAAUUCAUCCAAUAAUCAUUUAAUUUUACCUUGAAUUUGCAUUGUUUCCUCCAUUUUUUGGGCAUAAAGGGGUACAAUUAGGCCUUGAAUUUUCCUCAAAAAUUACAGCUUGACUUCUCGGCCUACUUUCUCCACAUUGCCAGCCUUUACUUUAUUUUUUUGAUUUUAAUUUUGAAAAACUCGGGAUAAUCCAAGUCAUUUCAAAACCAGAGAAAAAUCUUAUAGAAAGUAAGUAAGAAAAGAAAAUAACAUAGCCUAAUUUUCAAUGAAAUAAAUGUUGAAGGAUAAAACUAAAACAAAGAGAUUAAAAAAAAAACUAAGCAAUCUCAAGCAAAUCUCUCAUACCUGGGGUAGUCUUUCGAAUUUAUAACGAUAGAAAUCUUAAAUUCAGGUUAAACGGAAAAGCUUAUUUCCCAAUUAAUUUAAUGUUAAAAGAUAAAAUAAAAUAAUAUAUUUAAUUCUAAUAAAUUUACCAAAGUAAAACAAACAGCAAUAAAAAAAAUAUAAGGAUCAUAUUUGACAUAAAAAAAUAAAAUUAAAUGACAAGGGGUGAAAAUAAAAAUAAAUUCAAUUAAGAGAAUGAUUCAAAACAAAACAAAUAAUAAUAAAAAGAAUAAUAACCAAAUUUAAUAGAUAAAAAAAUUAAAUGAGGUUGAAGUUGAAAACAAAAUUAACUUUAUAAAUCAUUUCAAAUAAAAUAAAUUUUAAUAAAGGAACAUGAAAUAAAUUUAAAGAAAAAGUAAAUUAAAUGAUUGUUUUGAAAAUAUGAAGGUUGAAGCAUUAAAAUUGAAGAGUAAAGCGAAAAUAAUGAAAAAAAGUUGUUAGCAUUGCACUAGAGGCCCGCAUGCUACAAGCAUUACCCAAGAAUUGAGGGGUUGUUGAGACAAUUUGAAUGAUAUCCUGAAAGCCACUAUUUGAUCAUCGCACCAUCUUAUACAUGUUAUCUAAAUGACACGACUUUAACUCAUAUGUUGAUGUUUACAAUAUAUGCAUCAAUCAUUUUUUUAUAAUAAUAUUUAUAUUUAUUUAAUUACAAAAGUGCUCAUUAUUCAACUUGAUAACAGCCAAAAAAAUCAAAAUGUAAAGAUGAAAAAGCUAGGAGCACUAGUUAAGGAAUUUGUGAUUUUAAGUUAUUUCAAUAUUUUCUUGUUUUCAAAAGUAAAUUAAAAAUUUUAUUUUGCAAAAAAAAAUAUAAUAAGACUUUAUUAUCUUUAAUAGCCGGGUCAUAUUCAUUUGUUUUGGUAAGGAAAAAAAAUUACCAUUUCAUCAUUUCAAUUUAUAAUAUAAAUAAGUUUAGAGCUAUAGUUUCAAAUACAUCUUUCUACUAUAUUUUUUUUGGUAAUGUUUUCAAUAAACAAUUUUGAAUAUCAAUUUUUUAUUUUUAUUUUUUUAAUUAUCAAUUAAAGACUUUCCUUAAUUUUUAAGUUUUUUUUAUCUAUAUUUUCAUCUAAAUUAUACUUUCUCUGUAUGUCAUUGUUUAUCUUUAAUGUUUUCUACCAAAUAUUCUAAUAUAAAUCCCAAAUCUUAAUUUGGAAAAUUAAAAAAGUUUAAUAAAAAAUAAAAAUAAAAAAUAACUCAAAUAAAAAAUUAAUAAUAAUCUAAUAGAUACAUUUAAUAUUUGUUUAAAAAUUAUAUCAAUAAAUGGUAAGGUUAACUAGUAACAUUUGGAAUCCACUUUAUAUAGAAAAAAACAGGAAGGUAUUCUUAAUAUUUUUUAAAGAUAAUAAAUUUUAUUAUCUCUCCCUUUAAUAUUUAUUUUUUAAAAAAAUAAAUUAACUAACAAUAUAUCACUAUCGUACAGUUUAAAUAACAUAAAAUUUUCCACGACAACUCCUUUUUAUCAUUAUACAGUCCAACCCAAAUAAUUUCCUUGUUAUCAACUUCUUUUCCAUGUCUAUUGCAUGACAAAAGAGUCCUUCUUUUUGCCAAUCCACAUCUUAGUAUCUUACGCCAUUAUAUCAUUUCUGUUGGUAAUAAAUAAAUUGUCGGUUAGCACGUAACCUUACACGCAAGCAGCAAAUUGAUAAUCAAUUUCCCCCUUUUCCACGCUGCGGUCUAUUCUCGAGGGAGACACUACAGGUGUCCUUUAUGGCAUAACUCUUCUUUCCAUAAUUGCAUAUUUGUACACACUCGAUACAGUUUAAUAGUGUAAUUAAGUUACAGAUUUUUUAUUUUUUAAAAUUAUUUAAAAAUAAAAAAGAUUUGAGAAAUGGGUCAUUAACUUGAAUAAGUUUAAUAAAAUUGGUUAAUUUAAUAACAUGAUUUAAAAAUUAACAAUAAUUAACUAUAAAAAAUAAGAUGAUACUAUCACAUUUGGAAGGAGAAUGAAGAAAAAUUCAUCAAAGACUCACCGUUGUUUCACAGUGACCACCACUUUACCAGAAAAAAAAAGCUAAUCAAGACGAUUAUAACACUAUUGCAAAAGGUUGUACGACGAAAUCAAAAGUAGGGACGAUCAUUUUUUGUUCGGUUAUGUUUUUAUCAAAAAAAUAACCAAACUAGAUUUAAAAAAAAACCAAAACUGAACUUAAAUCGGUUCAAACCAACAUGUUUCGAUUCAGUUCUGUUAUUUUUGAAUAAAAACUAUUUUUUUUGUUUGGCUCGGUUUUUCCAGUUUGGGUUUGGUUUUUCAGUUUCAGGUUUAUAAACCAAACUGGUUGGUUUUUUAAAAAUUCUAACCAGUUUAAUCGAUUUUUUUCAUAGUUUGAUUUUUUCAGUUAUUUUUUUUCCGGUUUUCUCAGUUUAAUAAGUUUUUCAGUUUUUUUUCUCACUUCUAAAUUCAAAAGAUGUCCCACACACCAUCAUAGCAACGACCCGAAAAAACAAACCAAGCAAAAUACAAUGAAGCGAGCAUUUUGUGUUUAUAUUGAAUCAAUUAAUCUAAUUUAAUUAAAAAAAUAAAGUUAUUUUUAAAAAGCUAAAUUUAACAAAGAACGGUAAUAAAAAAGACUCGAGAUAAUCCAAGUCAUUUUCAAAACUAGAGAAAAAUCUUAUAGAAAGCAGGUAAGAAAAUAAAAAAUAAUAGAGCCUAAUUUCUAAUAAAAUAAAUGUUAAAAGAUGAAACUAAAACAAAAGGAUUAAAAAAUAAAAAUAAAAAACUAAGCAACCUCAGGCAAAUCUUAUACCUGGGUCGGUCUUCCAAAUUUAUAACCCAUGAAAUUCUAAAUCUAAAUUCAACCAAGAAGCUUAUUUUUUAAUUAAUUUAAUGUUAAAUGGUAAAAUCAUAAAAAAAAUAUAUUUAAAUCUAACAAAGUUACCAAAAGAAAACAAAUAGUAAUAAAAAAUAAGGAUCAUAUUUAAUGUAAAAAAAUUAAAUUAAAUGAUGAGAGGUGAAAAUAAAAAAUAAUUCAAUUAAAAAAAUAAUUUAAAACAAAACAAAUAAUAAUAAAAAGAACAACAACCAAAUCUUAUAGGUAAACAAAAAUUAAAUAAAGAUGAAGUUGGAAAAAAAAUCAACUUUACAAAUCAUUUCAAAUAAAAUAAAUAUUAAUAAAAAAACAAGAACUAAAUUUAAAGGAAAAGUAAAUUGAAUUAUUGUUUUGAAAAUACAAAGGUUGAAGCAUUAAAAUCAACAAGGUGAAAAUACUGAAAUAAAGUUGCCAGUACCACAUUAAAGGUCCGUAUGCUACAAGCAUUGCUUAGAAACCAAGGGGUCAUUGAGACGUUUCGAAUGCAGCCUCGAAAGCCACCAUUUGAUCAUUACACCACCUUGCAUGUGAUGCUUAAAUAAUGUGGCUUCAAUCAACGUGAUGGCGUAUACAAUUCAUGUAUCAAUUCAUUUUUUUAAUAAUAUUUGCAUAACUCAAUUACAAAAAUGCUCAUUAUUCAACCUGAUAACAACAAAAAAAAUCAAAAUGUAAAGAUGAGAAAUCCCAUGAAUGCUAGUUAAAGAAUUGGUGAUUUUAAGUUAGUUCAAUAUUUUUUGUUUUCAAGAGUAAACUAGUAAUUUUACAGUGCAAAAAAAUAUAUAUAUAUAAUAAAACUCUAUUAUCUUUAAUAGACAAGCCAUAUGAUAUUUAGAUAUUUAGAGAGAAGGAAAAAAUCAUUAUUUUACUAUUUCAAUCCACAAUAUAAAUGAGUUUAGAGUUACAAUUUCAAAGACACUUUUCUAUUUUUGUUUUUUUUUCAUAAUGUUUUCAAAAAAUAAUUUUCAUUAUCAAUUUUCUAUUCUUAAGUUAUUUUUUUGAAUUCUCAAUUAAAGACUUUCGUUAAUUUUUAAGUUUUUUUGUCUAUAUUUUCAUCUUAAUUAUACUUUCUUUGUAAAGACUGAUGUCAUUGUUUACCUUUAAGUAUUCUAACAUAAAUCCUAAAUAGUUAUUUGGAAAAUUAAAACAAUUUAAUAAAAAAAUUAGAAUAAAAAAUAACUGGAGUAUCAAAUUGAUAAUAAUCUAAUAGAUAUAUUUGAUAUCUGUCUAAAAAUUAUUAUUUAAUUUGAAAAAAGUAGCUUAGCUAAUCAAUAUCAUAAAUUUUAUAGUAUUUAAAUAGUAACUAAUAACAUUCAAUUAGUUAAUUAAUUGAAUCCAUUUUAUAUAGAAAACAAUUCCUGUGAAGAUAUUUUUAUUAUUUUGUAUAAAAAAUAAAUUUUAUUAUCUCUUCUAUUUAUAUUUUUUUAAAUUAACUAACAAUAUAACACUAAUUACAAUUUAAAUAACAUAAAAACUUUCCAUGAUUGCUCUUUUUUAUCGUUAUACAGUCCAACCCAAGUAAUUUGCUGGGGAGAUAUUCUUAUCAUUUUUUACAUGUAAUAAUUUAUUUUUUAAUAAAUUAAUUAAGAUAUAUCACUAAAUUAAUUAAGAUAAUAAAAGUUUUUUUUUAUCUCACAUUGAGAAAAAUAUAAUUUUUUUAUAUACAUUAAAGGUUUCAAAUCUUAUAUUAAAAAAAAUUAAACAUUUUUCGAGUAUUUAUAUAGUGAAGUUUGAAAUGAGUUAGCAACUAACUAAGAAAUAUUAAAAAAGAGGUGUCUUUAAGUAUGAGAAAAAACACAUUUAAAAAAAAAAACUCUAUUAGAUUUUUGUCGGGUCAACCAGUUUACUUUAGGCCAAUUGUCAACCUGAAUUUUGAACAAAAUAGAUUUGGCUAACAUUAUUGAAUUAUGUUGGUAGCAGAACCCACUGUUGCUGGGUCUUAGUGGAGCACGACCCACCGUCAUUGAGUUCUACUGACACCAAGGCCCAAUACUCCUGGGUUCUCCUGCCCACCAUUGCCUUAUGUUGUUAUGCCUUCUUGGCUGGGUAAAAGACCUACUAUCUUUAGGUCCUGCAAGGUAGUAGGAUCUAGUAAACAUGAGUUUGGCUAUGAAUCCAUACCCAAUAUCUUGAUAAUAUUACCCAAAAUAAUAUUAUAUUAUAAUAUUUAUGAAUUGUUUUGUAAUUGAUUUUAUUGUAAACAAAUUAUCUAAUAUAAUACAAAUAAAUAAAGUACAUGAUGUGAAUAAAAAAUUUAUUUAGAGCUCCAUCAACUUUAAUAUGAUAAUAUAUAUAUAUGUUUUUAUUUUAAAGAAUUCGCUGAGAUUAUAUGUGAACAUGUAUUAAGAAUAUGCACAUAUAAAUUUUUUAUGUCACUGUUUAACUAUUUUUUGAGUAUUAAUAAAGUUUGUUAAAAUAUAUAAAUGAUUUAGUCUAAGCUAAAACAAUAAAAAUAACAUAAUACAAUUACUAAGAUUUCUUUUUAAAAAUAAUAUUACUAAAUAAAUUCCCAUUUAUGUCUAUUAAAGAUAAUAUAAUCCUUAGGCGAGACAACUUUACUCUUUUUUUAUUUCUUUAUUUUUUUUACUAAAAUAGAUUAUGCAUAUACUACAUUCACCACUAUUGUUAAUAUGCUAUUAUUUUUGAAACAUAAAGACAAAUAUGUUUUUAUAAGAAAAUUCAACACAACUUCAAAUGAAAAAAAAUUAUCUUCACCUAACUUUUAUACAAUAUAAUAAAAAUCUUAUUCUUUCAUUUCCUUGUUAUAAUAUGAAAAACAAAUAAGAGAAAAUAAAAAAAAUUAAAGUGUUGGGUCUUGCUGGGCAUGACCCACCAUUGAUUUGUCCUAUUGAGGGCAGAACCCAACGCCAUUUAAUGGGUUCUGCUAGCCACAAGACCCAACCCCAUAUAGUGGUAACAGUUAGAUCCUAGUGGCAACAGGACCGAACGACCUUGCAAUACUUGUUAACUAAAAAAAAACACCUCUCACAAGCAAGGUUGUCAAUUAUGUUCCGUUUCGUCCGGAAUGGCCGAAACAUUUCAUAACAAUUCAAAAAACAGAACAAAAUGGAACAAUUUUCAUCUCAUUUCAAAUCUUGAUUCGUUCCAGAUUUUUCAGCUAAAUUCCGUCAUGAAUAUUCCGGUUUCAUUCCACAUGUUCCGUUCCGGUUUUAAAAAGCCAUUAAAUUAAAUUGAACCUGGUUCAAUUUAAUUAAUUAAAUCAUCCAAGUAUGAUAUUAAUAAUAAUAUUGAAAAUUAUUAUUACUAUUUUCAUUAAUAAUGAUAUUAGUUUUUUAAAAUUAGAUUUAUCACUAAUAUAUAUGAUUUAUAUUCAUGUUGUUUUUUUUUCAAGUUUAUAAUUUGUAGGAAUUUGAGCAAAGUAAGGGAUUCUUUAGAUCCCAUUAGUUUUGAUAACAUUGACCUAGCUUUAUAUUUAAAAUAUUUAUGUUAAAACAUUUUAAUUUCAUCAUAUUUUAAUAUUUUGUUUUAGUUGAAUUACUUUAAGUUAAAAAUCUAUUUAAUCUUGACCAUUUAGAAAUAUUUUAAAUUUUAAAAUUAUAUUUGUUUGACAUUAUGUUUGUGUUAUAUAAUUUAUAAUUAAUUUAUCUUGAAUUUGAAUUAUAUUUGUUAAAUAUGUGUAUGUGUGUGAACAAUACAACUCUAAAAAUAUUACGCUGAAAUAUUUCAAAAUUAAAAUAUUUUAUUUCAAUUAAAAAAUAAAAUAUUUACUAAUAUGAAAUUAACAACCUUGUUACAGGUGUUAAAAUAUUGUUUAUAGUAUAAACACUUUAUGCAAUAAAUUAAUAUACACGGUAAAUAUACAAUAUUUUUCCCACAUUUUUUAAAUAAGAUAUAGAAUAAUAAAUAUGGAUAGGGUUAGCACGUAGAACAACAACGUUACACCUCGAAGAUGGAAUCGACCACCGACACUUGUAUAAUACCAGCCGCCUUCAAUAACAGUGUAUUAGUCAAAGCCUUAUCCUUGGUCUCUUGUCAGCGUAAACAUUCAACAUAGAUGGCUGAUUAUUUUUUUUAAAAAAAGAUAGAUGAUGGAUUUUUCCAAAACAAUAUCAUGGUUCCGUACAGAUUUUUGGGAUAAUAAUACAUAUUUAAAGAAUAUCAUGAACAUAUAGAAAGUAUUCUCUUAAUAAUAUUUUAAAGAAUAAUAUUAAGAUAAUUUAUUGAACUGACUACUGUCUUGCUUCGAUGUGGGACAAUAUUUUCCUCUUUGUUCAAGGGCAUUUUUGUCCGAGAAAAAAGCUUAGCUCACCGUCUCGCUCAAGUCCUGCUGAACAAAGAAAAGAACGAGCAAUGAUUGAACGGCACCUCCAUCGGAUUCCAACAUUUUUUCAAGAAGAUGCUUCACAAUUAUUGCUCGAUGUGGGACAGUGUGUUUCCCGUUUGCUUCAAGUCCUCCAAAAACAAAUAAUCGGUACAAUGUGAUUCUGCUCAUAGUUUUAAAACUCGAUCCGGUAAUUGACGUGGUAUAAUUAUCAGGUCACGGAUCAGGUGGGUAAACCCGGACCAACCCGGGUCAACACAAAAAAAAAACUUUUAUGAUCAUUGAUCAAUAACAAGGCAAUGAAUCCAACAAUAUAAUGUAAACUCGAUAAACAAAAUAAUUCUAUUCUAUGUUUUAUAUAAACUUAUUCUAGCGAGCUUUCAAGCCUGGACCUGUUCUUUUUUUUUUUUCAAGCCAAAUCGUCAAUGGUAGACUCUUAUACAAACAUUCAAUGCAUCAUAAAUUCUACACCAACCUCAUCAAAAUCAACCCUACAUUCAGUAGCUAGAGCUAAAUCCAAUGCACCACCAAAUCCUAAAAAAAAUCCCAAAUUACAAAUUAUUCCAAGAAAACUAAAAAAACAAAAUCGUAACAAAACCCAUUUUCCAAAACGAAAACUGAAUCAUAAAAAUCACAACUUGAUAACAACAAACAACAAUUUGUUUGGAUUCAACAACUUACUUUCGAUUGAAGGAAAGAAGAGAAUUAAGUCAUCAUUAAGUACUGGCCAUAACGUUGAAGGGCGAGUUUUGGGUCAUCAGCAAACUUGAAAUCAAGAUCGAAACCACGAGAUUUGAGAGAAUUGAAAAAGAUUGAGUGCGAAGAUUUAAGUGACAAGUCGUUGAGGAGGACUAAGAGGCGACGAUCUGUUAGGGAAUGUGUGGAGAAAGAGAGGGAGAGAAUGGAAAGGAGUGUAACAGAUAGAAUUGUUAAGAUUGAGAAACUGUUUCUUCCUAUUUUUGCAGUCUUGGCUGCCUAAGUGAGAGAGUGCGAGAGAGAGAGGGAGAGGGAGAGAGGCAGAAGGCUUGCCAAAAAUUAACAAGGCUUAAGAAAAAGCUAAAGCUAAAAACGACGUCGUUGAACAUAUAUAUAAAAAACAGCAGCCGGGUCUCAGCUAGGUUUACCCAGGUCAACCGGGUUCCGGGUCGAUCCACCGGGUCGACCGGGUUUUGCUGGGCCAAUUUUCUAACGGGUCUUUUCAUCAACCCUGCCCGGUUCCAGCCCCGGGUCAGCCGGAUCCCGGGUCGACCCGCCGGGCCCAGCCGGGUUUUAAAACACUAUUUCUGCCUUUUGUUUUUAUACGUAUAACUUCGAAUUUUUGGAUAAAAAAAUAACAAAAUUUUUAAUAUCUAAUUUUUUUUAGAUAAUAAAAUAAUAAGGAAAAUAAGAUUCAAUUAGUAUAGAAAAAUUUACAAGAUACAUAUGAAUAAAAAAUAAUAUAUAUAUAUAUAUAUAUAUAUAUAUAUAUAUAUAUAAUGUGAUAAAAAAAAAAUCGAGCAAUUCAUAUCUGUUGAAUGAAAUUGAAAAGAGAAAUUUAAAGGAUUAGUUUUAAUCACUAAAAUCAAAUGAUAUCUUAAAAAUAUAUUCACCAAACACAACGAAUGUAUUCCGUGUGGGAUCGAUAAUGUAUUUUAAUCACUGUUAUCAAAAUUCGUACAACUUCGUUUGUUUUGGUGUGGGAUAAUGUGUUUUGUUCAAGGAUGUUGGGCUUUAUUUACAACACAAUUUCUAAAUUAAGAUAAAAACAAUAUUGGCUGCAUUGUUUAGAACAACGCAGCUCAUUCUCCUAUGCUAUUUUAAAAAAAUAUAUUUUUUGAGCUCCAUUAUUUUUUUAAGACAUGCUAUUUUUUUUUAAAAAAAUCACUAUCCUAUGCUAUUUUCGUUCAAGGAUAAAUUUUUUAAAAAUACAAAAGCUAUUAGGCUUUGAUGUUUUAAUUGACUUUCACAAUCGUUUUAUCAAGUUUACUAGCUAUUUCAAACUAUUUCAAACGCGACACGUACGAGUUGGAUAUUUUUUUUUCAAUAAAAAAAUUGAACAAACAAGUUUUUCCAACAUGUUUUUUAAAUAAAAAAUUAAAUAUAAAUUAAAAAAUUUAUGUAUACAUAUAAUUAAACAAAACAAGAGCCAUUUAUAUCAAUAAAUAAAAAGAAGUCAGUAACAAUAACUAAAUAUAUAUCUUGAAAAAUCAAGAAACGAAUAUAAAUCAAGAUAUUUGAUCUAGCAACACAGAUCAUUUAUUUAAUUGUAUUCAUUACAUUCUUUAUUCAAUCAAAUGACAAUAGAAAUAGAUGCAUAUAUAAUAUUGAUUGAAUAAAAUUAAAAGGAAAAAAAUCUUAUAAAGUUGUACUUAUUAGAAAUACUAUUCAAAAAUAAAUAUUUAUUAUUUUUAAAACUAAAUCUCAAUUAUAUAAUAGAUAAAACAAAUUUUAGAUAAAUUAGAAUAAUAUCUUAAAAAGUUAAACAUAUAUAAAAUAAUUAAAAAACAACAACUAUUUAAGGCAUGAUAAAUAGAAAAAAUAAGAAAUCAGAGAGGGAAGUGGUAUUAAUUUAAAUAUAAAUUAUAAAUUUAUUUAUCAAACACAUAUAUAAAAAUAUUGAUUUUUUUUAAAAAGACAAAAUUAUAUAUAAAAAAGGAAAGAAGCCAAUGUCUGGCUCAAUUAGAAAUGCCCUCGUGUCAAUUUAUAUUUUUAUUUUUUAAAAAAGAUAAAAUUAGGCGAACGAGCGCCCAAUAUUUUUAUGAAAAAAAAUCUCUAGUUAAUGUGUCAUCUUGUUUUGCCAAAAUUUCAGUUCUUAAGGUGCCUGAAAAAAUAAAUUUUAUUUUUUUAUUUAAAAAUUUAUUUUUCAAUUUAUGUUUUUAUCAUAAUACUUAAAAAUAAUUUAAACACCUUAUUAUUAAAUCUAUAGGUUGCAUUAAAAAAAAAUACACACAUAAAAAAUCAAAAUCAACUCAAAAUCAAAAAUCUUCUCAGCUUAGAUUUGGCUUCUUAUAUAAUUUUAAGAUAAAAAAAACAUUUAAGUUGAAUUCUCAUUAUGUUUUUUAACAUUAAAAUAGAUCAUAUUGAUGGACAGAAUUCAUAGCUGAUUACCCUAAAAUUUGAUGAUCUUUUUCAUCAAUCAAAUUAAAUAUUAAAAAAAUAACAAAAAUAAACUUCAGUAUUGCAAUUGAAUUGCAAAGCUAUUGGAUUUAAGUACUAUUUAACGAAAACGAGUCCGAGCUGCGAGUGGGAAGAUAACCGAAGGCCCUUAGGUGCGACAAUCAGCACCUGUUUUCUUCUCACGUUUUUGCUUCAAGUCCUGAUAAAAACAAAGAAUGGAUGGCAUGCAGCACGAGUCAAUGGUGUGACAGUGUAUGGCCCUCCAACUCACCCACCCUCCAACAACAUCUCUUCAAAGAAAUAUAUGAUUUACUCUGUUUUUUCAAGCAAAGAUUUUUAUUCAUUAUACUUUUGGGAGCAACGCCAAAAACGUUUGUGAGACAUCAAUUUCUCUUUAACCUUUUUUUUUUAUGGUUAGUUGGACGUGACAGGACACCUAGCUCGAACAAUUGAAUUUCGAUCAAGAACUAAAGAUAAUGCGAAAAGGUAUCAAGUUAAAAUACCUACCACCUUUUGAUUUCACUGCUCACUUUAAUAUUCGGAUUCAAUUCACCAAUAUGAGACCCUUGUCUUCUCUAUUAAAAACUAUAUAUUUCUUCUCUUUAAUUACCAAAAUAUAAAUAUAAAAAAUUACAAGAAUCUAAUUCAAGCUUGAAAGGAAGCGAACAAGGACAGGUUAUGCACUGACAUCUUAGAGAGGGAAAUGAGAAGGAAUCCAAUGGCCGGGAGUGCCUCCAUCACUUCCCAUACAAUGGAUGAUGAUCUUCACGUAAAGCUGUUAUACUUGGAGAACAGAUGUAUAUUGUUCUGCACAUGAUAAUUUUGUUCCUGUUUACAAUUAACUUGCCUUUUCCCCUAAGAAUUUCAAGCUUAAUAUGCCAAAAGCUGAAGUUUUUUGUUAGUUUACUGAAAUCUCUUUCUUGCACAUAGAGAGAAAUCUGGCAAUGAUAUCUUCAAAUACUCUGUUGAGAUACCUACAUACUAACAGUACUGAUCUUCUUGCUGCUUUAUCCGAGCUUUAAAUUCCUUGGUUUGGGUGCUGGGGGUGUCCUGCUAGCUAUCCUAUUCCUGUCUGCUCUUCUCCAAAUAGGAGCUUUUAUGCUCUUUCUAUUUUAGUCUCCUAAUCUACCAUGCAAUCUUGAUGAAAAUAGAGAUUUUCUUAAUGGCACUUGAUGCGCACAAAGGUGAAGGCAUCCCAUUGAUUUAUGGCUUUAGCACCUUUUUGUUCAAUUAUGAUCUUGAGAAGUGAAGCAGAUUAAUUGUUUUAAAUAAUUAAGUAAUUUUUUUCUUAUAAAAAAGUUAUUCUAUGACCUAUAUUACGUGUUACCCAUUAAAUUCAAGUCCAUUUAAUAUUUUUCUAUCUCACUAUUUUUUUUAAAAAAAUAUUAAUUUAAUUUAAUUUUAAAAUCAAAUCAUAUUUUUAAAGUCAAAUCCAAUAUUUUUAAAAAAAAAAUAUUAACUCAAUCCGGUCAUAGUAAACUCAACGUGGUUUAAUUUUUUUAUAUUAAAAAAAUCUAAUAUCAUAGCAUCUAUUAAUUACUUAACGCUUUAGCGCCAUUAAACCUACAUUGAAAGAAACAACAAAAAGGGGUAAUUAGUUCUCCAUAUUCCUUUUGAGAGAUUCUAUGCAAAAUUGGCAAAAAGAAAAGAAAGAAAUUGCUCAUUUUUAGGACCAACUAUGAAAUUAAUAAAUUAUUAAUCUAAGUCUUCAACAGAAGAACACAUGUAAAUAAUGAAUAAAAAUGAUUAAUAAGUUAUCCGAUGAGAAAUUUAGCGAUUUGCACGUCCUAAUUUGUUUUAGCUAACACACUUAAAUAAUUAAAUAAUUAUGGACACAUCUUAACAAAAAGCAAGUACUCUUAUUCCAUUGAUUAUAAUUACUUUGUGUUGGCGAGCCUCCUAGAAGAGCGCCAAUCCUUUGUGCUUAAGCUUUUGUUCUUUAGCUGCCACCACCUUUUUAAGUUCUUCCACCUCCACCUUCAAAAUAACCGUAGGGGUAAUUAGUUGAUAUUUCAUAUAAGAACUAAAAAAAAUCAAUAACAAAAAAAAAAAAGUUAAAAUACAAAGAAAAAAAACAACACUAGUUAUUGAUUUUUUUAGUUCUUAUAUGACAUGUUUAUGGGUUUUAGAGUUAAUAAUUUAUUUUAAUUUAAAAAAUAUCAAUAAUUUAUCGAUUUAUAUCCAACAUAAUUAUGUAGUUUUGUAUUGUUUUCUUAGUAUCAUUCAAGAUUGAUUUUAUGAGAUACAUCUAAGGCAUUUUAAUUUUUUUGAAAAAAUUAAGUAUGGAGGAUUGAAGAUUAGCUUAGAGAAAUGUGAAGGUUACUUUAGAAUUUAUAAGCAAUCAUGGAGGGAGAGGUAGCCAUUUAUUGCCAUCCCCAAGCAAAAUGUCUCUAAUGGUGAUUUAUCAGUCACACAACUUGGUUUAAAAUAUAAAAUUUCUUUAUUGAGGCUUAAAAUCAACAUUGAAUGACAUAUAUGAUGCUCAAAAAUAUUAUUUGAUAAAUAUUAUUUUUGUCUUUAUAGAUUAAUUAACAUUUUCUUCUAAUCCUAUAGUUUAAACUUUUCCAAUAGUAUCCCUCUAGUUUCUAAAAUUAGCAAAGUUAACUUAGCCAUUAAAAAGCUUACCAUUUACAUUUGGUUUUUGAGUUUUUCUUUUUUGGGAAUGUUUUUAAGUGUUUUCUUAAUAUAUUUUGAGAGGAAGCGAAAGAGAUUUGUAAAACAAAUACUUGUGCUGUGCUGUGUAAAAAUAAAAAAAAUAAGUGGCCCUAUAAAUAAUUGAUUCUGCACUGCUCCAUUAUACAAUUUACUCGAGGAAAAGGACAGCGAGGAAGGAAAUCGGUAUCGUACCUCCAUUAUCCAAUCUCUAGAAUUAACGCCAGGAGAUGUUCUUCAUCCACCUCCUUCAAAAAAUAAAUAAAUAAAAUUGCGGUGAAACAUCAUCAUUCAGUUUGUUAUCAUCAGAAAUUCAAGUAGUAUCAGUGAAAAAAAAACCAAAUAUCUAAUUAAUUAUUUAUUUCUUAGUUUUUUUGAUGGAAUAUUUAAGAGUGUAAUAUCGGUUGUUUUUCAAAGUAUUUUUUUAUUAAAAAAAUAUAUCAAAACAUUUUUUUUAUUUUUUAAAAAUUAUUUUUGAUAUUAACAUAUCAAAAUAAUCUGAAAGUAUAAAAAAAUAUUAAUUUGAAGCAAAAACAAUUUUAAUUUUUUUUAAGAAUAUUUUUGAAACGCAAAAAUAAAUAAGCCAUUAGGAGAUGUUUGAGAAUGUGUUUAUGAUUGCUUUUCAAAGUGUUUUUCGCUUGGAAAUGUAUUAAAAUAAUAUUUUUUUAUAUCUUUUAAAUUAUUUUUGAUAUCAGUACAUCAAAAUGAUUUAAAAAAAAUAAUAAAUAUUAAUUUAAAAAAAUUAAAAAAUUAAAUAUUUUUAAAAUACAAAAAUAAAUAGGAUAUAAUAUCAAUAUUAACCACACUCGUUAUAAAUCCACCCAAGAAUCAUAUGUGGUAAGAGAUUGAGCUAUGAUAUCAGAAGAAAACUGUGGUAUUGAAUGUAUGCGCUAAGAGCCUUUUUAUUAGUGUAAUAAUAGUUGAUUUUUAAAGUAAUUUUAAUUUAAAAAUAUAUUAAAAAAAUUUAUUUUUAUUUUUAUUUUUAAUAUCAAUAAAUUAUAAAUAAUAAAUUUAUUAAAUCAUAUUACAUUAUACAGCUGAGGAGAAAAAAAGGAGAACCAGUAAAUCAGUAGCAUACCUCAUCGGGACCUGACAGUGACGUGUCUGCAGUUUUAGCCAAAUAUUUGUAUAAGGCCUGGCAAUAUUGAGAUUCCGGUGAGACGUCAUUCAAUUUGUUUUCAGAAAUUCAAGUAAUCAUCGGUUAACAUAUCAAAAGUAAAUAUCUAAUAUUAACAAUUUAUUUCAUAGUUUUUUUCUUUUGUUUGACACAAAGAUAUCAGUAUUGACCGGACUCAUUAAUAAAUAGUCUGAGGAUCAUACAUGGUAAGAAAACUUUGGUGGAGUGCCUAUCCACUAAAAUAUAAAAAUAAAAAUAACAAGUCUUCAUUUAAUUACAUAAUAACACAUGGCAUGUAUAUAAAAGUAAUUAGAAUAUUAUCUGACUGACAUGUAUAUUGGAUCUUAAUAUGAGAAUUUACAUAUAUAAAUAAUUUAAUGUAUAUAUUUAUGAUUUUAUCAAUAUAUAUCAAACAUAUUUUGUAUAGUCUUGUAUUUUCUAAUAUUGAUUUUGUGAGACAAUUGUAAGUAUUUUAUUUAUUUUUGGAUAAUUUACUAUAAUUUUAUCAAUAUAUUCAAGCUUUUUUUUUCCAGGAUCUCUCACUAAUAAUAAUAAUAAUAAAAAAUCCAAUUACUCUUGCGAAAACUUUGUUGCCGCACAAAUCAUUCAUGCAUUUUUGUAAAAUAGAGACUUGUGCUGUACAGAAAUAAAGAGAUUGUUCUGUUAUACAAUCUACUUGUGAAAAAGGAUGGUGAGAGAGGAAAUUGGUAUCGUACCUUGCCGAGUCUUGACAUUGAUAUGUCUACAAUACUUUUCACGUACUUUUUUACAGCCAACUGAUAUUUUCGACUCUUGUCCUUUUUAAGAAAGAAUUGGAGUGGUAGCCAUCAAUUAACAAAAGCAAAUAUCUGAUAUUAAUAAUUUAUUCUAUAGUUUUCUUAGACACAAAGGCAUCAAUAUUGAUCAUAUUUUUUUAAUAAUUUGACAAUAAUAUAUAAGUAAUGGAUUGAGCUAUGAUAUCAUAAGAUAAAAACUCGUACUGUUCGCUCAAACCAAGAUGUAGCAUGAGAAGGAAGACAUGAGUGAGUAACUCUCCACCUCUUCUCAGUUCAUGAGUAUGUUCUCUCCAUGGACAAUGAGCUGCUGCAUAUGCAACCAUUUCUACCCAAACUUCAUUUAUCAUCUCCCAUCGCUUCUUGGGUCCCAAUGACCGCAAUUGCCUGGCGAGCUUUUCCCCACCGAUUACCACUGAAUUGGAUGUUUUCCAGAGACUUUGAAACGUUGCAUCAUCAAGAGAUAAUUCGGAACGCAAAAUUCCAUCAACAACAUCCUUCUUCGCCUCAUCGCCUCUUGUAUUGUGCGGAUUUAGACGCUGCAAGUCUUGCAAAGUUCCUAGAUAUUCCUUGUCACCGAAUCCUUUAGAGAGCAUAUUUGGUCUUAUCACCAAAAGAUACAUCAUGUAUUCAGAUAAGCAUUUGCUUGUUUCAUAUUCUUUGGAGACAUUGCUUCCAUCUUUAUCAACAAGAUAACAAAUCUCUGUUGCGAUAUGCCAGACAAGAAUGCUCCAACUGAAUUCUACUUCAGUCGUGCACCACUUGUACGACUGUAACAGUCCCUCUCUUUCUAGCACACCAUCUCCCCUCUGACCAAUUACUUUACUUCUGAGAUUUUUAUCAAUAAAACGAAAAUCUUCCUUCAUCAUCUCAGCUUUCUUUCGAAGAUGUCCGAAAAUAAAACGUUGUAGACCAGCAUAAAAAUCUACCCGAUGCACAAACAUCUGCAUCGUCUUUUCAUUGAUUAUCAGCGAUCUCAAACAUCCAAGUGGCUUGUUUUUAAUGGAAGAGCUUAUCAGGUCAUGCUGUGAUAUGGAUCUCGACCACCUCUCGCUUCUAGUCAACUUCCUUAUCAGAGAAUAAAUUGCACUAUUCAGGGCAUUCCAUCCUUCAUCUUCCAACCAAAUCAUUGUCCAGUCAGAGAAAACAAGGCAUAAAAAAGCAUAAAACUCGAGAAAAACAGCGGCCGCAAACAAUAGAUACGUGAUUGUAAUGUCGAUAGUUGAGUAGGCAUGCUUGUCAAUCAGGACUUGGAAGGUAAUAAACGCAGUAAAAGUGAGCAGAAAGCUUAUAGAGCGAAGACUGAUUCCGGCACGAGAGUAAAUCAGUGGCGCUUUAGUGUAAAGCAUAUCAUAUAUUAAUCCAAGCUCAAUCUCUACCACCUUGAAGGCGCCUUCUGCUGAAUUUUUGGAAAUCAGCACCUGGCUUUUUAUUAGUGCAGGAAUGCGGGGACAAGAUCCUGCAUCAUAAACAUGGAUAUAUCCAAAAAAGUAUACGCUUGAAGAAGAUAAUUUCCCUCGAGAGCUUGAUCACGUGUUUUUGUUAAUGUCUAUAAUGGAUAAAAAGGCCGAAACUUUGAGAGAAUAGACUUUUUCAAGACCUCAGAGCUUGAAGACCAGAGCACCCAAGUCCUCUCUGCGUACUUUACAAUGCCAACAAUGAACAUUGGGAUUGCUAAGAAUGUGAGGAUACCGCUACCCCAGGACCUUGAGAAGACAUAAAAAGCCACUCCGACUUGGACUGCAAGACCAAGUAAAUGCCUCAACCACAACUCGUUAUCUUUCUCUGAAUUGUCACCUGAUGAAUCUCCUUGGCUCCUGGCUAGAUAACCCAGUGCAAAAGUUGCCACCGAGUCUGCUGAUAGGUAUGCAGACCAAACGAGAAUCCUGAUCCAGAUUCUGCCACUGGUCUUUCGCCGAGGACCAAAUAUGAUGAGGAUGGUUUGUAGCAAGAGACUAAGCAAAACCAUUCCUCGAAUCUUCCAAUUGUCCCAUAAAUUUAAGACUUCUUCAGGCAAUUUUUUAAGCAUUGUAUCUUUUCCUCAACAGUGGAAACUAGUUCUCUCCAUGAACCCUUGAAAAAAACUAUUUUGUAAGAUGAAAAAGUAAAUGUGGAUAUCUUUGAAAGAAUCUCGUAAAUGAAUAGCGAAAAGACUCUUAUGAGAAAAGAAUUCCGCAGUAGAUUUUGGGUAAGGUAUCAUAAAAUAGGAGUUGCUGCAUAUUGUUGUUGCAGCAUGCAAAGAAAAGGGUAUGGGAUGCAUUACAAAUUAAUUCAAGAACAAGAAUUUAGUACUUGGCUUGGGUACGAAGCAAGGAAGAGAUGCUGAAUAGUAAUAAAGAGAUGCUGCUUGUAUAAAGAGACUUUAGAUGGUUUGGCUUGGCUUGGAGGAAUUCUUUUCUUUUCUUGAUAGACAAUAGACAUAACACUUAAAGAAGGAAUUCUGAAUAUCAAUAUGAUGUUUGAGCACUGAAAUCCCCGGCCCAAGGUUUGAAUAUGAGACUACCAUUUACUGCUAAUCAGUUUCUGCCUUGCAAUAGUGGAAUUUUGCAUCUUAACCUAAUCAACGACAGUCAUGCUCUCAAUGAGUUCAUCCAGUAUCUUUUCAUUCUCAAGAGAUUCUAGCUAGAUAGGCAAAGGCUUUGCUGCUUUGCACAUUUUCAGCGGGCGAGUGAAAAUAUUCUUAUGAGAAAUUACUUCUGCAGUGGAUUGUAGUUGAGGUAUAUAUAUAUAAAAAAAGAAUCGCUGCAUAACGCUGUUACAAGCAAAAAGAAGGUAUGGGUUGCAAUGCCAUAAAAUAGAUAGAUGCAACUUCCAAGAUGUAUUGCCUAUAAUUCUAAAGCUCCGGCAAUCAGCUUUCGCAAAUCAACACAUGUGAGUAAAAAUCUUAAAAUUAGGUUGCUUUGAUACAGAGUAAGCAAGAGAUGCUAAAUAUUAAAGAGAUAUUCAGCUUGCAAGGAAUAAAAGAUUUAAAUUAGUUUUUUUAUUUUCUCGGUGGACAGAGUUUGGUUUCCUUCUCUUGAACUCUUAAAGGGGCAUUGGGGUUGGGCACAAAACAAAGAAUAGAUGCAAGGAUGAAGAAACUUUAAAUUAAUUGCAUUUUCUUUUCUUCAUACACAGAGUUCGCUUUCUGUUUUAGAGAAGGAACACUGAACAUCAACGCAGUGAGUAGUAUCUUUUGACUUCAUUUCUGGGAAUAUGAUGUUUGAGCACUGAACUCCCGAAAGGUUUGAAUCUGUAGCUCACAGUUACCCUUGGAUUGGUGUAUUAUCAAUACUGCAACCUCAAAACAGAGAAAAUGUACCUGAUGAUGUGUAAUGCAGGAUAUGAAGCCCCUGAUACAUGGACAAUGGAAUCUGGUUCAAUCAUCAAUAGUAUUUCUUAAAAACAUUUUCAAAACUAUUCAACUCAAUAGGCACAUUGAAAUUUUGCAAGAACCCACCUGGUGAGGUGUAAGACUCCAUCAAUACUGGCUUGUAUAGCUCGGAAUCCUUUGUCUGUACCAUGUUAGAAGGCAACUCAAGAAAAGAUGUUCCUGAUUAAAAUUCUGCAUUAAAAAGAUUUCAAGAAGUGCUUCAUGUCUGUUAUAGCAGCAAGGCAAGGACAAUGGUACCAAAUCAACAAUUAAAAUGAGAGUGAUGAGCAUUGUAAGGUGGCUUGAUAGACACAUCAAAUGUCAUGGAAACUUAAUUGCUUGAAUACGAUGAAGUACGCUUUGAAAUUGAAACAAGAAUAAUAGUUAUAUAUUUAUCUACUAUAUAUCUAUCCAGAUGUAUAGCAGAUCAGAAACAAGGCAGCUUACCUUGUCCAGUUGAAUAAACGGAUUGACAUGUGAAGCAUCAGAGGAGGCUGGCUGUUCUUACGUUAACGGAUUGUCAUAUUAAGCUCUGAUACUUUUUCCAGGAAAAACCUGUGUGUGAGAGGAGAGCUGCUAGAGAUACAGCCAUUCCAAAGAAAGGUAAAAAAAAAAAAAAAGUACUUGAAAACAUUGAGCAAGUUUGUGCGUAGCAUUACUGCUCUGGGCAGCCGGAAAUUUAGAAAUUAAUUUUUUUAUAUAUAUUUUAAUAUACUAUUAUAAAAAUAAAUUUUUAAAAUUAAAAAAAUUAUUUUAAUAUAUUAAAAAACUAUAAAAAAUAGAAUUAAUUAUUUUUAGAAACUAUAUGUUAUUAUUGUUCUAAUUAUUUUUUAGGUUGAAUAAAACUUUUAACAAAUUAGAUUUUUAUAGAAAAGAAAAGGUUCUUUAUAUAUAUAAAAAUAAAAAUAGAUAUUAAAUUUUUAUUUUAAUCAUAAAGUUAAUAGAAUUUUCAAAAUAUUUUAAUAAAUACAACCAAUCUGAAUGUACGAAUUUAAAUUUAAAUAAUUGUAUAAAAUUAUAUAAGUUUUUAGUUGAUAUCAAUUUUGAUCGAUAGCUAUGCCAUGAGAACAUGAAAAACAAGCAACGCCUCUCAAGAUUAUUUUCAAAAAACUUCAUUCUAAAAGAAAAAUCCCUUCUCUUCCCCUCAUCUUUCGUGCUCAAUCACCCUGAAAAAAAAGCACAGCCACCACAAUUCUGAAGCCUCGGCACCACGACCAGCGUUAAAACCCACCAAAAAUAGUGGCAAUAAGAGGUGCAGAUGGAGGAAGACAGUGAACAACCACUGCCGAUACCCACAUCAGAUCUCACCGUCAUGAAGUCUACCUCCUUCAGUGAUCGAUUAAAUGCGAUUUGGUUUCAUCAAAUUUGGGUUUCUUUUGAUUUAUGGGAGGUUCUUGAGAUGGGUUUAUGUUGGAUAAGUGGAUUUGAAGGAAUCUGGAGAGGGAGAGAGUAAUUUACUAAAAUUUUCUUUUAACUAUGAAUUAUUUUUCAAAGGAACUUUUCUAACAAUAAACAUAAAAAAGUUUGAUUCUAUAGCCAUAGAAUUUAAACAGUAAAAAGGCAGUGACCAUUCGACACUUUACUUGAGGAAAAGGAUAGCGAGAAAGGAAAUUGGCAUCAUACCUCAUUGGAACUUGACAGUGACAUGUCUGCAUUAACUCUCAGAUAUCUAUCAAUGGCCCCACGAUGUUCUUCUUCCUCCUUUAUAUUUUUUGUUGAAAAUUGCGGUGAAACAUCAUUCAGACUGUUGUCAAGAAUUAAAGUAGUCAUCAGUUAACAUAAUCAAAUAUCUAAUAUCAAUAAUUUAUUCCAUAGUUUUCUAAGUAGUCAUCAGACCCAUGGCAAUACCAGAUCAUGACCACGUAUGUAGUCAUCUAAUGAAUUGUAUUCAUACUGUUCGCUCAAACCAAGAUGUAGCAUGAGAAAGUAGACAUGGGUGACCAACUCUCCACCUCUUCUUUGUUGUUGAGCGUGUUCUUUCCAUGGACAAUGAGCUGCUGCAUAAGCAAGCAUUUCCAUCCAAACUUCUUUGAUUAUCUCCCAUCGCUUCUUAAAUCCCAGCAAACGCAAUUGCUUGGCGAGCCUAUCCCCACCAGCUACCGCUGACUUGGUUUCUGAAGAAAUUUAAGACAGUGUUUUACAUAAAGAAAACUUCAAUCGUAUUGUUGUUCUGUUGUUCUAUACAUGUAUAUAUAGCAGGAAAUUAUGUGGCAAGGAAAGACAAUCUUGCACAUAAUUUCUCCAAGAAUCUCGCUAGGAUUUCAGACUAAUAAUAACAGAGCAUAAAAUCAUGUCUAAUCUAGGUAACAAAUAAAUUACAUUAGAAAAUAUUAUAAUACUGGAAUAUCUGCAGGAUCUCUGUAUCAAUAGUUGCAGCUGGAAUAUCUUCUUCAAUAUCUGUUGUAUUUUCUGCAGUAUCUUCAAUACUCCCCCUCAAGCUGGAUCGAGCGGAUUGGUAGAUCCAAGCUUGCUCAACAACCGGUGAAAUUGAGUAGAUGACAACGCUUUUGUGAGCACAUCAGCUAAUUGAUCAUGAGAACGAACGUACUGGGGUUGAAUAAGUUUGGCUUGAACCUGUUGACGAAUGUAGUGACAAUCAACUUCGAUGUGCUUUAUACGUUCAUGAAAUACCGGAUUGGACGCAAUAUGCAUGGCAGCUUGAUUGUCACAAAACAAUGUCAUGGGAGUAACCCCAUGAAAACUGAAAUCAGCAAGAAGUUGUUUAAGCCAUAUCAAUUCGCAGGCAGCAGAGGCCAUAGCAUGAUAUUCUGCUUCAGCACUUGACCGAGCGACGACAGAUUGUUUCUUACUUUUCCAGGACACCAAAUUACCACCAACAAACAUACAAUAGCCAGUAGUAGAUCGACGAUCAAGAGAGUUUCCUGCCCAGUCAGAAUCAGCAUAUCCCAUGAUGUUGUUAUGACCAUUGCAAGUCAUAACUAUGCCACGACCAAUGGUGCCUUUCAGAUAUCGCAAGAUACGUUUGACCAUACCAAGAUGUUGAACUGUUGGAGCAUGCAUAUAACCACUGACAAGACUGACAGCAAAUGUAAUAUCCGGUCGAGUGAUUGUUAAGUAAAUGAGUUUUCCAACAAUUUGUUGAUAGUAAGUGCAAGAAACAAGAGAUUCACUGGAAGAGUCCAAUGUUAAUUUACUGUCUAAAGGGUUGGCAACAGGCUUCGUGUGCAGCAUAUCGACAUCCUGCAAUAAAUCAAUGAUGUAUUUACACUGAUUGAGAAAAAAUCCUUUACGGGAGGUCGCCAUUUCAAUGCCUAAGAAAUAUUUCAAUGAACCAAGAUCUUUGAUUGGAAAUUGCUGCUGGAGAGACUGUUUAAGCUGGGCUAUGGAAGCUUCAUUACUCCCUGUUAUAAUAAGAUCAUCGACAUAUAUCAGUACAACCAGUGUAUGAUCAGAAACAAUUUUAAUGAACAAGGAGGAAUCUGCCGAGCUUCUUGUAAAACUGAGACUCUCAAGAGCAAUGCUUAAUUUUGUAUGCCAAGCACGAGAGCUCUGCUUCAAGCCAUAAAUAGAUUUGUGAAGCUUGCAAACCAACAUAGAGUUUCCACUAUGAGGAUGUCCAGGAGGAAGUUUCAUGAACACUUCCUCUUCAAGAUCUCCAUGUAAAAAUGCAUUGCUGACAUCCAUUUGGAAAAGAGGCCACUCCUGGUUGAUAGCAACUGAAAGUAAAACUCUAACAGUGGUCAUCUUGGCCACAAGAGCCAAUGUCUCCUUGUAAUCAACACCAAAUUUUGGAGUAAAACCUUGUGCCACUAGACGAGCUUUAUGGCGAUCAACUGUCCCAUCUGAUUUAAACUUUGUCUUGAAUAUCCAACGACAUCCAACAGCUUCCUUUCCAGCAGGUAAUGAGACUAUAGUCCAGGUGUGAUUUUCAGUAAGAGCCUUUAAUUCUUCAUGCAUGGCCUGCUGCCAUACGGGUUGUGAUUGAGCUUCUUUAAAGUUUUUCGGUUCAUGAACAUUGGAUAUAGAGGUAAGGAAUGCACUAUGUGUUGGAGACAGUCGAUGAUAAGACAUAAAUUUGGAAAUAGGGUACCUCACGUUGUAGGUGACAUAGUCUUGCAUGCGUGAUGGCGAUUGACGUGUUCGAAUAGAAACUCUUCUAGUGACUGGCAGAGCAUCAAGAGCACCAGGCAGUUCUGAGUUACUGAUAUGGUCAAUUGUGGAAUUGUUGGAAUCAAUGGCAGACUGGAGGUGAAUCUGUUGGUCAAUCUGCAGAAUAUCAUUACUGGGAUUAGAUGCAGGAUUAGUUGCAGCUGGAAGUUGAUGUUGUCCCAGACCAUCAUUGUUGGAUGUGAAUCCAGUGGAAGACUGAGUGUGUUGGUCCGGAUUGGGAAGAACACAAUCAAUACUAGGAACAGUAGACAGAAGAUGAUUAGUGUUCUCAAUACUGGGCAAAGGAAAAAAAUUUGACAAAACUUCUCCCUGUUUUCCUGCAGUAAAAUAUGGUGUGCCUUCAAUAAAUCUAACAUCUCUGGACACAUACAAUUUCUUCAACAACGGGUCAUAACAUUUGUAUCUUUUUUGGGUUGUGGAGUAGCCCAAAAAAUACACUUGCUUGCUCUAGGAUCUAAUUUAUCCCGGUGAGUAGCUGAUAAAUGCAUGAAACAAGUGCAGCCAAACACCUUGAUGUGUGAUAUAUCCGGAACCUUAUUCUGCAAAACUUCAAGAGGAGAUUUAAAUUCCAGCACUCGACUGGGUAAGCGAUUGACAAGAUAAACAGCAGUAAGGAUUCCAUAUGACCAGAAGUGUUUUGGAACAUUCAUUUGAAGCAUGAUGGCACGAGUUUUUUCAAGCAGAUCAUGAUUUUUGCGUUCAGAUACCCCAUUAUAUUGAGGUGUACCAACACAACUAGUCUGAUGCACAAUUCCGUUAGAAUGUAAAUAUUUUGACAUGUCUUUGGACAUAUAUUCGGUGCCAUUAUUAGAUCGAAGGAUUUUAAUGAGCAGAAUACUGAUUAAGGAUGAAUGAAUGAAAAUCCUUAAAGCAAUCAAAUACGUCAUGUUUAGUUUUCAGCAGAUACACCUAAGUGACUCUAGAGAAAUCAUCGAUGAAAGAGACAAAAUACUUAAAACCAUCAAUAGAAGCAUAAAAGGGUCCCCAUACAUCUGAAUGAAUAAGUUCAAAAACAUGAGUGGUUUUCGACUUCGAAAGGGAAAAAGGAAGUCGUGUAGAUUUUGAAAAAUGACAAAUCUCACACUUGAGAGGUUCUUGUAUUGGGACGGAUUUUAUUUUACUGAGAACAAACUCUGAAGGGUGCGCUAGCCGACGAUGCCAUAAGAGGUGCUCAUGUGAAUGAUUAAUGGUUGCUUGAAAACUCCUGGGAACUGGAGAUUUAUGAGAGAUAUAAUAGAGACCAUGUAGAAAAAAUCCUUCACCAAUCAUUUUCUUGGUGACAAGAUCCUGAAACACAACCUUGGAUGAGGUAAAAAUUACUUCACAGUUGAGAGUAGCUGUAAUUUUACUAACAGAAAGCAAUUGAAAUGGGAAAGAAGGUAAGAAAAGGACAUCUGAUUCUAUCUUAUUAGACAGUAGGUUGAUCUUACCUUUUCCCUUAACAUAAGCAUUUUUUUCGUUAGCAACAGACACAAAAGUGGGACGAACGAAUGAUUUAAAAUCAUGGAUGCUGGUUAACUUAUUGGACAUAUGAUCAGUGGCACCAGAAUCAAUUAUCCAAAGAUCAUGCAAAUUUACAAGUUCUAACGCAGUCAUGAAAGCAAGCAGUUUACCUUGACUGUUUUUCGGGUCUGUCUCUGCUAGAAAAUCAGCAAAGUGGCUAAGGAGUGCAGCUGAUUGCUUUUGGUCCUGACUAGUUUGUUGAUCAGGUGACUUGCCCUGGACUUGCUUGUCUUGCAAAUAAUUUGCAAAAUCAGAUAUCAAGGUUCCCGGAGUAGCAGGAAAAAUCUCGGUGUGGUUGGAAUUAUUGUGGGCAAGGUAUGACUUAUAAUUGUUUGCACGUCUUGGUUGCCUCCUGAAAUCCUUUGCAAAUUUAGGCUUGAGUUCGGGGUGUAGAAGCCAGCAACGAUCCACAUGAUGACCAAUAUUGUGACAGUAUUGGCACUUGGAAUGGUGUGGUUGGAAUUAUUGUGGGCAAGGUAUGACUUAGAAUUGUUUGCACGUCUUGGUUGCCUCCUGAAAUCCUUUGCAAAUUUAGGCUUGAGUUCGGGGUGUAGAAGCCAGCAACGAUCCACAUGAUGACCAAUAUUGUGACAGUAUUGGCACUUGGAAUUAGGUCGUUUCCCUUUGUAAGCUUUAUUCUCAGAUAGUGACCUGUACUGAUCAUGAUCAGCAUUUCUAGAACUCAUGUCUUGCGACAGCAACUUGGUUUGAUAAGCACGAGUAUCCGAUACACCAGCUUCCCGAGUCAUUACUUUUCUAUGUAUUUCUUCACGUUGAAUGGUGGCACACACUGAUUUAAAAGUGGGCAGUUCUGGGUUCAUUAGAAUGUGGCUUCGCAGAUCUUCAAAAUCUGGACUGAGACUCGCCAAUAGCUCAAAAAUUUUGUCCUCCUCAGUCCUUUUUCGUAGUAUGGUCGCAUCUGUAGUGUGAGGUCUGUUUCCAAUUCAUUCCACAAGUUUUUAAAACUACCCAACAAUUGAACAAAAGGUUUGUCUUCUUGGUGAAGGCUGGCAACUUCACGAUGGAUCUGGAAAAUCCUGGCAGAAUUGUUUUGAUUCUCAUACAUGUCAUGAAUAGCAUCCCAUAGAUCAGAAGAUGAUUCUGAGAAACUAAAUAUUUCAGCAAGGUUUCUUUCCAUGGAGUUGAGAAUCCAUGACAUAACCAGUUGGUCUUUGGACAACCAUGCUUCAUAUUCCGGAUCGUUCACUUCAGGAGAAACAGUUGAACCAUUGAUAAAGCUCAAUUUAGAUCUUCCACCAAGGGCAAUGGUUACAGCCCUUGACCAAGGAAGGUAGUUGAACUCAUUCAAUAAAACAGAGCUUAAUUUGUGAGAGGUAUUUGUGUCGUCUGAGUAACUAACUGGUGUAGAGAAUUUGGAGCCAACAUCAAUGGCUUCUUUCAAGUGGCCUUCCAUGGCAGCACAACUGACUCUGCCUAUGGUAAACAAAAAAUUCAGAGAACCAGCUCUGAUACCAUGAAGAAAUUUAAGACAGUGUUUUACAGAAAGAAAACUUCAAUCGCAUUGUUGUUCUGUUGUUCUAUACAUGUAUAUAUAGCAGGAAAUUAUGUGGCAAGGAAAGACAAUCUUGCACAUAAUUUCUCCAAGAAUCUCGCUAGGAUUUCAGACUACUAAUAACAGAGCAUAAAAUCAUGUCUAAUCUAGGUAAUAAAUAAAUUACAUUAGGGAAUAUUAUAAUACUGGAAUAUCUGCAAGAUCUCAGUAUCAAUAGUUGCAGCUGGAAUAUCUUCUUCAAUAUCUGUUGUAUUUUCUGCAGUAUCUUCAAUAGUUUCUUUCCAGCGAAAUUGAAACCGUAUAUCAUCAAUAACAUAUGAUUCAUAGUAGAACAGAAUUGCAUCUACAACUUCCUCCCUGCUUGUCGCCGGGCUUUUAGUGGGAGCUUCCUCCUUACUUAUGAUGCUAUCCAAGUCUCGCAAGGAAUGUAGGUAUCCCUCAUCACCGAUUCCUUGGGAUAGCAUAUCUGGUCUCAUUACCGAAAGAUACAUCAUGUAUUCAGAUAGGCAUCUGCUUGUUUCAUACUCUGAGGGGACAUUGUUUGCAUCUUUAUCAACACAGUAACAGAUCUCUGUUGCGAGAUGCCAGACAAGAAUGCUUCGACUGAAUUCCACUUCAGUUGUGCUCCACUUCAAGUCCUGUAACAGUCCCUCUCUUUCCAGCACACCAUCUCCUCUCUGACCAAUUAUUUUUAUUCUGAAAUUCUUAUCAAUGAAAUUGAAAUAUUCCUUAAUCUUCAGAGAGUUCUUUUGGAGGUGUCCGAAAAUAAAAUCCUGUAGUCCACCAUUCAUAUCUUUACGAUUCACAUUCAUCUGCCUCAUCAUUUCAUCGAUCCCCAGAAAUUCCAAGCAUUUAGGUGGCUUGCUUUCAAUGGAAGAGCUUAUCAGGUUAUGCUGUGCUAUAGAUCUCGACCACCUCUCGCUUCUAGUUAACUUCCUUAUCAGAGAAUAAAGAGCACUAGUCAGGGCGUUCCGUCCUUCAUCAGUCAACCAGAUCAUUGUCCAGUCAGAGAAAACAAGGCAUAAAAAAGCAUAAAACUCGAGAAAAAUAGCGGCCACAAACAAUAAAUACGUAAUUGUAAAGUCGAUCGUUGAGUAGGCAUGCUUCUCAAUCUUGCCUUGGAAGGUAAUAAACGCAGUGAAAGUGAGCAGAAAGCUGAUAGAGCGAAGAAUGAUUCCGGCACGGGAGUAAAUCAGGGGCGCUUUAGUAUAAAGCAUAUCAUAUAUUAAUCCAAGCUCAACCUCUACCACCUUGAAGGCACCGCCAGCGGAAUAUUUGGACAUAAGCAACUGGCUGAGCAUUAGAUCCACAAGGCUAGGGACAAGAUCCUGCAUCAUAGACCUGGAUAUAUAAGAAAAAAUAUAAGCUUGACGAAGAUAGUUUCCCUGCAGAGCUCGUAGACCAAUUUCUUUUAUUCUCUUCAGAUGAUAAGAACGCCAAAAAUCAAAGAGAUUAGAGUUUUUCAAACUCUUGGAGCAUGAAGACCAGAGCACCCAAGUCCUCUCUGCGUACUUUACAAUGCCAACAAUGAACAUUGGAAUCGCUAUGAAUGCGAGGAUACCGCUAGGCCAAGACCUUGAGAAGACAUAAAAAGCCACUCCGACUUGGACUACAAGACCAAGUGCCUUAACCACAACUCGUUAUCUUCAAUGGAGUAUGCAGUGAUUGUGUAAUGUUUUGAAUUAAAAGAGUUAGGAAAAGGCUACAAAGCUCUUGGUGGCUUAGAGAGAGAGUAUAAAUAAAUAAGGGUAUUGUAGUAAUUAGAUAAACAUAAUAAAUAUAAAUAAAAAGGAAAAAAAGAAGAAGAAGAGAUCUGAAUAUUUUGAGAGUAAACCGUGAGAGAGAAGGGAGAAGGGAGAAAGAAGAAGAAGAAGAGAAGAGGGAAAUUAGAAAGGAAAUAGAAAGGAGUUGGAGGAAAUAAGUAAAAAGGUAAGAUUAUGUAUAAAUAUGUAUUAAUUAAGCUUUAAUUUCGGUUUUGAUAAAUGUUAGGGUUAUGAAGUUUGUGUUUUGGGUUUGAUUGAUGAUUUAAUUUGAAUGUUAUAGAGUUAAUUGUUGUGGGUAUUUGAUUAUUUGGAUGAUUUUGAGAGAUUGAAUUGAAAGAUGAUGAUUUUGAGUUAUGAUUUUGUUUGAAUGGUGAAAUUGUGUUAGAAAUUUGGAGAGAACAGUAGGUUUCUGUUAAAAUUCUGGGUUGGAGGUUGAAGAUGACGAAAAUUCAAUUUGGUCCCUCAAUUUGUGGAAAUUACAGUUUAGUCCCCAAACUUUGGAAAAUUACAGAUUGGUCCCUGGAGCCUAUUCUGAGAUUCUGAACAGAAUAAAAUAUGAAUUAUGGGCAGAAUUACUGUAUAGUUAUGAAAUUUUAACACUUUCAAUUUGGUCCUCCAAUUUGACAAAAAUUACCAUUUGACCCUAAAAAUUUGGUAAAAUUCCAGAAUGGUCUCUGGAGCAUAAUGAGAUAUUCUGGACAGAAUUGAGGAUUAAUUAUGGUCAGAAUUUCAGUAUAUUCAUGGAUUUAUGACAAAUUUUAGUUUGGUCCUCCAUUUGACAAAAAUUACCAUUUGACCCUAAAAAUUAGUAAAAAUUCCAGAAUGGUCCCUGGAGCAUAAUUAGAGGUUCUGAACAGAAAUGAGGAUGAAUUAUGGACAUAAUUCCAUUAUAGUCAUGAAUUUAUGAUAUGUUUAGUUUGGUCCUCCAAUUAGACGAAAAUUACAAUUUGGCCCUAAAAAUAUGAUAAAUUCCAUAUUAGUCCCUAGCUGUAAUAUUAUCUUUUGCAGAUUGGUUUGAUGAAUAAAUGAGGGCUUUUUAGUGAAUUAUUAUCAAGUUUUAUUAUGGAUUAGAUUUCGGGAAAACCGUUAGAUUUUGAGUUUUUGGGAAAAUAACUAGUUUAGUCUAAAAACAUAUAGGGUUAUGGAAUAUACCCUUAGAUAAGUGUAUUAAAUAGGUUAUAUGUUCUUUUGAGUCAUUCCUGAAUAUGUCUCCUUUGUAUUCAGAUAAUCCUGAUAUUCUACCGGCGGGACAUUAGUAGGAUUUCCUUCGGUAUCAGCUUUUGAGUGCUAUUUGCUUUGAGUCAGGUGAGUGGAUAAUUUUCCAUAUGCAUGAGAAAUAUUAUAAAUAUUUGAUUUGUUAAUAUGAAUUGGAUCAUGCUUAUUGAUAAUAUAUAUGUUGACUAUUAUCGUUGUUAUGAUAAAGCAUGAUCAUUUGUUGAAUCUGAAUUCUUGAUAUGAACUCGUAUAUAUUUUGAAUUGACUUCUAAAUUGAUAGCUCCUCAUUUGAUUGAUGUCAUGAGUUGAGCCUUGAGAUAUGAAUAUGUCUGUUUGAUUAUAAUUAUGAACCUAUGGUAUGUCAGUCAGAAUACCCAUGCUAACAGGGUAGUGUUAGUCUUUGUGCACAUCGUAUCUGAACCCUAGUUAGUCGGGGGAGUCACCAACUUGUGUGGACUGAUCAUCCCACAGUACGGAGCCUCAUGCUUAUUGCAUUUUGAUUUUCUGACGAGUUUUACCAUAUGAUCUUCUUGUUAUGGCCAAUUUGAGAACGCUUCCAUAAGAACCUAAAGCCAAUUGUAUAUAUAUUUCUCAUUGCUGUAUUAUCUCGUGUGUGUAUAUUGAACGUUAUCUACUCACUGAGUUGUUGAACUCACCCUCUCAUUAUUUAUCCUUUUCAGGCUUAUAGCUUGAUAGCUUGAACCUUCCGAACCUGCUUUUUGGUUGAAAUUUGUACAUUUUCCUUUAUGUCUAGUCAGUGCUCCAAAACUAUGAAAUUAUAUUAACUCUUGUAUUAAGACAAUUCAAUUAUAUUAUGAAGUUGAUUUUGUUAUUAAUGUUGCGUUGAACUCUGAUUGAGUUAGGAUAAGUUUGUAUGUAAGUUUGGGUUCGCAUGGGUAUGGAACCUUGGAGGGGAACCUUGCCUAUGUGCCGGUCAUGGAUCCAGAAAUCAGGUCGUGACAGAUUGUGUCCGGGCCACCAAGGUGCAGGAGUAGAAAAGGUGCCCAAAAUGCCUGGAUGGAAUUGUUUGCUUUCUCUUCACCUGAUAAAUCUCCUUGGCUCCUGGCUAGAUUACCCAGGGCAACAGAUGCCACCAUGUCUGCUGAUAGGUAUGCAGACCAAACGAGAAUCCUGAUCCAGUUUCUGGCAAUGAUCUUACGUCGAGAACCAAAUACGAUGAGGAUGGUUUGUAGUAAGAGACUAAGCAAAACCAAUCCUCGAAUCUCCCAAUUGUUCCACAAAUUUAAGACUUCUUCAGGCAAUUGCUUAAGCAUUGUAUCUUUUCCUCAGCAGUGGAAACUAGUUUCUCUCGAUGAACCCUGAAGAAACUGUUCUGUAAGACGAAAAGUGAAAGUGGAUAUCUUUAAAAAAACAUCUGAAAACGGAUAGUCAUGGCCAGCUUUUGCAAACCAUAGUUACAUAUACAAGUAAGAAUUUGGUACAAGUCCACGGGACAUGAUGCCUUUAACUAGUGUGUGUGUGUGUGUAUUAAUGGUAUUAAUUAUAACUAAAUGGUAUUAAUACAUUUAUAACUAAAUGGUAUUAAUACACACACACACAUACAAGUCAAUGAGGCAUCAUGUCCCGUGGCUUGAAUACGAAGGAAUGAAGAGACGCUAAACAGUAAUAAAGAGACUUUACAGUUGUCGCCUUCACUCCUUUUCUUUUCUGGAUAGACAUUAGACAGAGCUUUUUGGACUCUUAAAAGAAGGAAUUCUGAAUAUCAAUAUCAUGUUUUAGCGCUAAACUCCCCAAAGUUUUGAAUAUGUGACUACCUUGAUUUAUUAAUUAAGUAAACCAGAUUUACUGUGCCCAAGUGUUUUUUUUUUUUUUAAUUCUGCCCUUUAAGAACCUAAUUUAAAGCUAAUUUAGCUAAAAAUGUUUAGAAAAGACAAAAUUAAAAACAAUUGAUUAAAGUGGCACGGAAUUUACUGUGUCUAAGAUUUUUUUUUUCAUUUUUUUUAAAUUCUUCGGACCUAAUUUAAAAUUAAUUUAGCUAAAAUUGUUAAGAAAAAAGAAAAUUAAAAAAAUGGAUUAAAGUGAAACACGAGGAGGAGAUGGGUGGUGUUUUUGAAAUUUGUAUGAAAUAUUCAACUUAGUCCUUAUUCUUUAUGAAUUAUAAUAAUUGGGACCCUAUAAUUUUUUAUGUUUUAUUUUUUAAAUCAAUUUUGGUCUAAAAUUUUCUUUUUCUUAUUUAUUAGUUUCUAGAUUAAAAAUGAGAGAGAAAGUUGCCAAAUUUCAGUAAUAGAGAGAAAAACAAUUAUCAUUUAUACAUAUUCUAACCAUUAAAAUAAUAGAUCUUGGUCCUAAAUAGUUCUAUCUGGUGAGGAAAAUUCACCUUAGGUGUUUUUUUUACCUUGAAAUUACCUAAGAAAUAAAUCUAAGCUUGAAAUUUGUUUUUGGUUUUGAGUUGAUUUUAGAUUUUGGGAUGGUUUUUUGGGUUUUUUUAAGUCACCGAUUGGUUUUUUAAGGUUCUGAUGUUUUCAAGAUUUUUUAGGUACAAAAUGGAUUGAAAAAAGAUUUUUAGGUCAAAAAAUUCAAUUAUGAUUUUCUGGCCAAUAUAAUAGCCGGAAUCUAAGCAAAAUCAGACGACGUGUUGUCUACCUUUAUAUUUUCAAGUGCACGAGCCUACCUUUGCAAGCCCACAAACAAGCCUUUAUUAAAUGGGUCACUCUUGUGAGGCCCAACAAUACCUUGUCUUUUCCUUUCUUAUUUUCUUUUAUCCUUAAAAAUUUUUAAUAUUUGCUUGAUUUUGAAUAUGUACUGACACGAUCAAAGAGUUGAUGUUUUAUCCCAAGUGUAGGAGUGUCAAGGUAAUAAAUAACCCGGCAAGCCGUUGUUGAACCACAUGGAGGUCAAUUAUAUAAAUAAUAUAUAUUUUAUUUAAAAAUUAAAAAGAUCUUUAAGACGUGAGAUUAAUGUGAGGAUUAAACAAUUAUAAAAACAGAUGUCAAGGUUAAAGGAUCCACUAAUGGUAUUAAAAAUAAGUAAAAUAUAAACUUAUUAUAAAUUAUUAACAUGAUCAUAUUAAUUAUCUUAUUUUUGAAACACCAUACUUAUAAAUAUCAUCAAGCAUUCAUGUUGCUUUACUUGAGGCUUAUAUGGUCGUUAAUUUCAGGGCCCGUGAGAUUAGUCGAGAUGAGCACAAGUUAACACGGAUAUCUAUGUUAAUAACAAAACACUUUAUUUGAAAAUAUUAUGAAAAAUACAGAAACUUCAAUUUCUCAGUAGCUAGGCCUCUAGAUAAUAAUUUAUUUUAAAGAGAUAGAACUAAUAAAGUGUUGGACAGUAAUGAAAAACAGGGUGAAAGUGUCAUUCUUCUACCCCUGUACCUAGAUUUAUCACUGCAUUAAUUUUGUCAAGAGGAUUAUCUAAUCCAUCUACGAAUGUGUAAACUCUAUAUUAUAUAUUACAGCGAUAGCAUCCCAUUCAGCUUUCACCGUUAUAAAUAUGAUGCAGCUACUUUAGAUCCAUUGAAUCAAUAGCCAUCCCUAUAAUCUCUCAAAAUAAAUAAAUAAAAAUAAAUUAGGGCCCUCUUGAGAAUUUAUAUGAGAAGAUCUGCAUGUUAUAUAUCUGGUGGACGUACGGUUGUCUACAAGUGAGGGUCCUGUUUUCUAACCUUUUUAUUAGAAAUGGGCCUUAAUAUCAAGGAUACAGCUCUAGCUCAAUACUUUUUUUUUUAUGUAGGUAUUUGAGUGUGUGUACCUCGACUAAUCUCAUAGGCUCUGAAGUUAACGAUCAUGUAAAUCUCCAGUAGCUUUAAAAUUUAUAAGACUUGAAUUAAUAAUUUUUAAAAUAUAAGUCUAGAAUCUGACAAGUUAAACUACACCCUUCAAAAUUAGUUAUAGCAUACUUGAGAUUGAUUGUGCUGGAUUACGGGUACUCUCUUUGGGCUUUCGUGCCACCCACGGGUCAGGUCUUCUUAUGGCCGUUCGAGUUAAUAGCAGUAACAAAUGGGUGGGUUUUUUUUAGGUAAGCAAUAAUAAUAAUAAUAAUCUAUGAUUAGAAACUUAAAUUUUAUUGUUAUUAUAUAUAUAUAUUAUUUUAGAAGUAUAAAAUUUCAUUUUGAAAUUAUAUUAGAGUCAUUUUACUUUUUUGUUUCUUGUCAUUUCUAAUCUAGAAUAUUAAUCAAAUACAAUCCUAGUUUUAUUUUAAAAAAAAUAAAAAGGCAUUCUCUAUAUUAGUGCAUUAGCACAUUAGAAGGAAUGAAAUUAUUUUGAAAGUAAAUCUCAAAAUUAAUGGUCUCUUACAAAUAAUAAAAAAAACAAUUUCUAAUUACUUUUAGAAAAAAAAUUCUAUAAUUUUUGCCUCAUAAUUUAAAGACUUGACAAAUCAUUCGUGCAUUAUUCAAAGACUUGUGUUGUGCUGUGAUGUGUAGAAGUAAAACGAUAGUGAAAGAAAAUCGGUAUCAUACCUUAACGGGACUCGACCCUAACAUGUCUGCAAUACCUUUCAAAUAUUUAUCUCCAGAAUUGUGGUGAAACAUCAUUCAAUUUAUUGUCAGAAAUUCAAGUAGUCAUCAGUUAAUAAAAGCAUUAACUGUCUAAUAUUCAGCAUUUAUUUCAAUUUUUUAAUAGACACGAAAGCAUCAAUAUUGACUAGACUCGUUAACAAUCUGAGGAUCAUAAAUAAUAACGAAUAUUUGAGCUAUAAUUAAUAUCAUAAGAACACUUUUGGUGUAGUGCCCUUCUACUUACUAUAAAGAAAGAUUGCGACACCUCGUCUAAUUACAGAAUAAUACAUGGUAUUUAGCAAGCUAUUCAGAUUGUGUCAUUUUUUCAAUACAAGUUUUUCAAUGCAUGCAUGCAAAAUGAAGCCCAACAGUAUUUUUGUCAGUAGGAACUUGUAUAAGUUAAUUCACUUAAAUAAUUAUGGACACAACAUAACAAAAUUUAGUACUCUUAUUCCAUGCUUAAACUGAUCUCAUUAUUUGAUGGUGGUUGACCAGUCCCUUGACCAUCUGUUUGUGCUGGCAAACUUCUUGGAAGUGAAUCAAUUCCUUGCUGUGGAGCUGAUACAGUUAAAGAAGAUCUCAGUUGCUCAAGCUCUUGAUUUUUACGCUCAAGCUGUCGCUGAAGCUUUCGCUCUUCACGCUCAAGCUUUCGCUCUUCACGCUCAAGCUUUCGCUGUUGAUGCUCAUGCUCUUGCUUUACACGCUCAAGCUUUCGCUUUGUAUCUGCCACAAUCUUUUCAAGUUUUUUCAACUCCUUCAAAAUAGCAAAAUUGUUAACUCGACAUGAGUAAUUAACAAAUAUUUGAUUAAUCUAUACAAAUUAUUCUUAUUUAAAAAUAGAAAUUAGGAGUCUCAUGAAUUUCAAUUUAAUUUCUUGUUUCAAUAAAUAUAAAGGAGGUAAUUUGACUAAUUUCCAGAUACUAAUUGAUUAAAAUUUGCUAUCAAAUUAAGUACAAUCUUGCUUUCAAUGCAUGCAUGCUGUUCGAAGUACGUAAAUUAAGUGCAAUCUUAAUUAAGGGGUGUUUGUGAGUAUUAUAAUAAUUGUUUUUUAAAGUACUGUUUGGAAAUAUAUUAAAAUAAUAAUUUUUUAUUUUUUAAAAAUUAUUUUUGACAUCAGCAUAUUAAAAUGAUUUAGAAAUACAAAAUAAAUUAAUUUAAAAUAAAUAAAAAAUAAAAAUAAAUUCAAUUUUUAAAAAAAUAAUUUUUAAAUCACAAAAAUAAACAAGAUUUAAAUAAAAGAAUGUGUGGUGUAAAAACUUGUGCAACACUAGAUAAAGAAAAUGUACGUAAGGUAUUUCUGAAAAUAAAACAACACAACAUGAAUAUCAAAAAUAGCUUAUAAUAUUAAGAUUAUUAGUUAGACAGACUAUUAAAAACCAUGGACCAUGAAUUUAGCGGAAGAGAAAGAGUGGAAAAUUAACAUGUCUUAAAUUUGUCUUUUCCUUUGAAAAAAAAACAGAGAGAAAACCUCGUAGGAUAAUAUUAAAAAAAUAUACUAAAAAGUUACUCUUUUAUCUUUAUUAAAAAAAUAUUAUGUUUGCAAUUAGAGGUACAUACAAUUAUCUUUACCGAAAGAUGCAUUAGUCAUUAUAAAAUUUAUUUAGGACAAAAUGGUCCAAAUAUGUUUUUUUUGCUACGUGUCAUAAUUGAUUUGCACUUGGAAACAGGAAAAAUUAGGCUUUCGGCAAGGGGCUCUCUUAUCUUUUGCAAAAACAAAAACAAGGUUUUAAAGAAUUGAGAUGGAAGUGGAACAUACCUCAUCGGGGCUCGAUCCUGACAUGGCUGCAAUACCUUCCACAUAUUCUUCUUCCUCCUCCUCCUUGUGAUAUUAAUUGAAUUUAUUAUCAGAUAUUCAAGUAGUCAUCCAUUAAUAAAAGCAAAUAUCUAAUAUUAAUUAUUUAUUUCAAUUUUUUUUUAGACGCAAAGGCAUUAAUAUUACAAAAUAAAAUAUUAAAAAGACACCAGUGAUUUAUUGCGCUUCUAGACAUAUUGUUUUUACUAUUUUACCUUUAUUAAAAUAAUGGUAGUGCUUGCAAUUAGAGGUACAAUUACCUUUACCAAAGAAUGCGUUAGUCAUUAUAAUAUUUAUCAAGGAUAAAAUGAUCUGGAUAUAUUUCUUUUACUACAGUGUAACAACUUAUUUGUACUUAAAAGCAAGAAAAACUAGGCUUCUGGCGAGGGCUCUUUUGUCUUUUGCAAAAACAAAAACGGUGUGUUUACAUUCAUACCCUUUGACCCUAAAAAAAUUAAGACUAUUAGUGAGGAUGUUUUUGUCCUUUUGAUAUGGUUUUGUUGUAAUUCUCAAGUGGUGUCAAGGGUAUUUGAGUAUUUUAAUAUGCAUAAAUUAUUAUUAAAAUUUGAAGAUGGCUAGCACGUGUUUCGGACAAGCCAACAAGUUCGCACCUCUGGCCUCUUUUUGUGUGGUGCAUGCGACGCUCAAAUUGCACCGAAUGUUGCCUUUCAAGGAGGUGUUUGUUGCACCUCACCACCCUUAUCACAAUGGUGAGGCGCGUGUUCACGAUCGUGACACGGAAGAGCAUUGGACGCGAGUUUUUCCCUUCCUCUCUCUCUCCUCCUAGAAAACUGUGUUGGCCAUCGCAAAAAAAACAAGAAAGCAUGACUAUUUGUUUGUUAAGUUAAAUUAGGUCCUUAUUUUUUUUAUUGCAAUGUAUUUGGUCUUGAAUUAUUUAUUGAGUUAAUUUAUUUUUUUCAAUUUCAUCUCUUGACACUUGAUUUUUAUAUAUGAUUUGGUUUUCAUUCUUUUAAUUGAAAUGUAUUUGGUCUUGAAUCAUUUAUUGAGUUAUUUUUUUAUUUCAUACCUUUACCCUUGAUUUUUUAUAUUAGAUUUUAUUUUCAUUCUUUUAAUUAUGGUGUGUUUGGUCUUGAAUCCUUGAUUAAAUUAAUUUGUCUUUGAAUUCCAUCCCUUGAUUUUUUUUUUGUAUCAAAUAUGAUCCUCACUCUUUUUAUUGUUAAUUUUAGUUGUUCUUAUCCUUUUCUUUAUUGAAAUUGUUUCUCAAUUUCAUCCCUUAUAAUUGUUUUUUAUUUUUUGUGUCAAAUUUGGUUCUCUUUCUUUUCAAGUCUAUAUUUUUUAAACCACUUCUUUUUUUAAUUUGUUUUUUAAGUUUAUCUCUAAUUAUUUUGAUUGGUUGGGAAUUUUGCAUUGUUAUUUUUUCAGAUUUGCUUUUUAUGUUGGAAUCUGACCUCAUAUUCCAUAUCACCAGUUCUUAUAGUUAAAUCGAGUUGGCUUCAGUCAUUUAAAAAAGAAUAAAAAUUGCAUCCAUCAUCAUUAAGUUCGUUGGAAAUUGGUUUUCUUUUAUUUUUUAUUCUCUUUGUGAAUAUGAUUUUUCAUUUUAAUUUUUCUAUUCAAUUCAAUAUUUGAUUAUAUUUGAGAUUUGACCACCAAUGUUUUGAUUUUUAAUCUUUUAUCCUUCACUUUUUUUAACAAGUUUUAAUUUUUAUUCAAUUUCAUCUGUAUAUCCAUAAUUUUGAUUUUUUUUUAAGAUUUGGUCCUCAUUCUCUUGGUUUUUAUUUUGGAUUCAUUUGUUAAAUUUUUUUUUUCAAUUUUGCCAUUCAAUUUAGAAUUUUUGUUUAUCCUUUUAGUUUUUUUCUUUUCAAAUGAGGUCCGUACUCUCUCAAAUGCUUUUCUAAUCUUUUAAAUUUUUUAUUUCAUCAUUCAAUAUUUUAUUUAUAGGGAUUUGGUCUCCUUGGUUUUUUCUAUUUUUUAUGCCCUACCCAGGAGUAAAUCUGGGACAAUUAUCGGGUUACAGGUCGAGUGGGUUGACUUAAGUGAAACCAAGUCAACCAAAUCUUUUUUGUGGUAUAAAAAAUUCAAAAUGAUACCAUAAAAAAAAUAGUCAAUAAGUUUUGACCCUAUUUUGAUUGGAUUUUCCAUGAGUUAACCAAAACAUGGUUCAACCUAGGUUUUUGGUUGUCUUACAGUUGAUUAAUGUUCCAUAGGUUUAUUUUGAUGAUCGUUAUUUUUUUAUUUUCCUUUUCAAUUAGGUUUUUCCUAUCUCAUGAUCCACGUAGAAGGUUUAUUCAGGUGACUCAGGUUUUUUUUAAUGUUGUUUUUCAUCCUUUUUUAUUGUGUCCUUCAAAAUUUAAUUAUUUUUACAACAAAACUUUUUUUUUCUAUUUUUCUUUAUAUUGAUUUAUCAUAUUCAUUUGGUUCUACUCGUGGGUUUUGACAACCAAACUUGGUUUUGCUAAUGCUUUGUUUUUUAAUAUUUUUUCAUUUAAUUUUUUUUAAUUUUAUUCUUCUAUAUUUUUAUUCUAGAGAAUUGAUAAUCAUUAUUAUUUUUAGCUCUUUUUCAAAGGUGUCGAGUCUUGGAUUUUUUGGUUCUUUAAAAUCUAAUAACAACACUUGAAUAUUGUUUUUUUAUACUACAGAAAAGAUCAGCCCGACCUACAACAAAGCGCCGGCCCACAGCGAAGCGUGUGCCUUCUGUCUGGUUUGUUACUAAAAAAAGUUCAUUUUAUCAAGUAUAAAAAAUAAACAAGGCUGGACACGAUAAUUGUACUGACUUGUAAAAGUUCUACCUUCCAUUAUUUGAAAGGAGAUACGUAUGGGUGUACUUUUUUUUUCAUGGUAGGUAAUACAAUGAAUAUAAAGAUAGGUAGAGUACUAUAUGUCUGACCUAUAUAUAUAUUGGAUUUCCAUUUUUUAAUUUACAUGUAUAUUUAAUUAUUAUAUAUAUAUUAUUUAAGAAUAAUUUUGUGAGAUAAUUAGUGUAAAGUAUUUUGAUUUUUUUAUGGACAACAGACUUUUUUUAAUGAAAAUGUACCAUGCAAAGAAUUGUAUCCAAUAAAGAUAAGUAUGGAAAACUAAAAAUUAGCUUCGAUUGAUGUUAAAGCAAGUAUAGAAUUUAGAAGCAAUCCUGAAAGGGAGAGUUAAUAAAUCUUUAUUGCCAUCCCCAAGCACGGUGCCUCUAAUUAAUGCUAUGCUUAUACUCAUAUAGCUUAAACGUUUUCAAUAUUAUCCCUCUAGUUUUUAAAAUUACCAAUGUUACCCUAAUCGUUAAAAAGCUUACUGUUUAAAAUUGGUUUUUGAAUAUUUUUUUCUUGGAAAUGUUUUUAAGUGUUUUUAUACAAAUAUGGGUAUAUGAGAGGAAGUAAAAGAGAAAUGUAAGGAAAAUUGAAAGUUUUGAUAGUUAUUUAUAAAAAAAUGAAAAAAAAUGGAAACUAUUUAAAAAAACUAUACGGUAAAUUCAAAGGUUUUGAAGUAUCGAGAUGGAAGUGAAACAUACCUCCUCGAAACUCAACCCUGACAUGUCUGCAGUAUCUCUCAAAUAUUUUGCUUUAGCUAUGAGAUAUUCUUCUUGCUCCCCCUUUAUUGUUAUCAGUUAAUAAAAGCAAAUAUCUAAUAUUAAUCAUUUAUUCCAAAUUCUUCUUAGACACUAAGGCAUCAAUAAAAGCAAAUAUCUAAUAUUAACCAUCAUCCAACCGUUUUAAAUCACUUUAUUAAUAAAAUGAAGAAAACGAAAUGAAAACAUUGAAAUGGAAAUAAUCUGAUUUGUUAUUUUAUUCUGGCGCCUCAACAAAUGUUGCCGGAAACAUAUAAUUACUAUUACUUAUGAAUUUCCAAAAUAAUGAAUUAAACAAAUAUAUAUAAAUUGAAAUAAUCUGAUUUGUUAUUUUAUUCUGACGCCUAAAAAAAUGCAGUAUCUAUCUACGUACUUGAGAAGGAUUUUUGGUAUACUUACCCCUCUCAAUUCAAGAUAAUAUUCUGAUUCAUUCUCUUCGUACUGUGCGCUCAAGCCAAGAUGUAGCAUGAGAAGGGAGACAUGAGUGAGUAACUCUCCACCUCUUCUCAGUUCUUUAGUAUGUUCUUUCCAUGGACAGUGAGCUGCUGCAUAAGCAACCAUUUCUACCCAAACUUCAUGUAUCAUCUCCCAUCGCUUCUCAGGUCCCAAUAAAAGCAAUUGCCUGGUGAGCACAUCCACACCACGUGCCACUGAGUUCUCUCUUUUCCAGUGAAAUUGAAACCGUCUAUCAUCAUAACCACGUGAUUCACUGUUGCGCAAUUCUCGCAAGGUACGUUGAUUUUUCUUAUCACGAGGACCACGAUCUUUUAGACGCCGCAAGUCUCGCAAGGUUGCUUGGCAUCUGCUUGUUUCAUAUUCUUUAGAGGCACUAUAACAAAAAUCUGGUCUUAUCACCGAAUCCUUUAGAGAGCAUAUUUGGUCUUAUCACCAAAAGAUACAUCAUGUAUUCAGAUAGACAUCUGCUUGCUUCAUAUUCUUUGGAGGCACUAUAACAAAAAUCUGUUGCGAGAUGCCAGACAAGAAUGCUCCGACUGAAUUCUACUUCAGUCGUGCACCACUUGUAGUCCCGUAACAGUCCCUCUCUUUCUAGCACACCAUCUCCCCUCUGACCUAUUAUUUUACUUCUGACAUUCUUAUCAAAGACAUUCAAAUCUUCCUUAAUCUUCUCAGCUUUCUUUCGAAGAUGUUCGAAAAUAAGACCUUGCAGUUCUCCAUUCAAAUCUUUCCGAUACACAUGCAUCUGCCUCAUCAUUUCAUCGAUUCCCAGCAAUUUCAAGCAUCUAGGUGGCUCUCUUUCAAUGGAAGAGCUUAUCAGGUUAUACUGUGAUAUGGAUCUCGCCCACCUCUGGCUUCUAGUUAACUUCCUUAUCAGAAAAUAAAGAGCACCAGUCAGGGCGUUCCCUCCUUUAUCAGUCAACAAAAUCAUUGUCCAGUCAGACAAAACAAGGCAUAAAAAAGCAUAAAACUCGAGAAAAACAGCGGCCGCAAACAAUAAAUACGUAAUUGCAAUGUCGGUCGUUGAGUAGUCAUGCUUGUCAAUCUUGACCUGGAAGGUAAUAAACGCAGUAACAGAGAGCAGAGAGCUGAUACAGCGAAGAAUGAUUCCGGCACGGGAGUAAAUCAGAGGCGCUUUAGUAUAAAGCAUAUCAUAUAUCAAUCCAAGCUCAGCCUCUACCACCUUGAAGGCACCGUCUGCUUCAUUCUUGGAAAUCAGCUCCCUGCUUCUUAUUAGUGAAGGAAUGCCAGGGACAAGAUCCUGCAUCACCAACUUGGAUAUAUAUGAAAAAACAUAAGCUUGAAGAAGAUAAUCUCGCUGGAGGUCUUGUGGAGGAGUUCUCAUAAGAUAAUAAGAAUCCCCAAAAUCUGAGAGAGAACAGUUUUUCAAACUCUUGGAGCAUGAAGACCAGAGCACCCAAGUCCUCUCUGCAUACUUUGCAAUGCCAACAACGAACAUUGGGAUCGCUAUGAAUGUGAGGAUACCGCUACCCCAGGACCUUGAGAAGACAUAAAAGGCCACUCCGACUUGGACUACAAGACCAAGUAAGUGCCUUAACCACAACUCGUUAUCUUCAAUCGAGUAUGCAGUGAUUGUGUCUGGGCCACCAAGGUGCAGGAGUAGAAAAGGUGCCCAAAAUGCCUGGAUGGAAUUGUUUGCUUUCUCUGAACUGUCACCUGAUGAAUCUCCUUGCCUCCUGGCUAGAGUACCCAGUGCAACAGUUGCCACCAUGUCUGCUGAUAGGUAUGCAGACCAAACGAGAAUCCUGAUCCAGAUUCUGCCAGUGGUCUUUCGACGAGACCCAAAUAUGAUGAGGAUGGUUUGUAGUGAGAGACUAAGCAAAACCAUUCCUCGAAUCUCCCAGUUGUUCCAUACAUUUAAGACUUCUUCAGGCAAUUUUUUAAGCAUUGUCAUCUUUUCCCCAACUGUGGAAACUAGUUCUCUCGAUGACCCUUGAAAAAACAGUUUUGUAAGAUGAAAAGGUAAAUGUGGAUAUCUUUGAAAAAAUCCCUUAAAAUGAACAGCGAAAAUUAAAGACUCUUAUGAGAAAAGAAGAGGUGCAGAUGGAGGAAGACAGUGAACAAUUCUGAAGCCUUCGGCAAUUCUGAAACAAGCACAGCCACCACAAUUCUGAAGCUUCGGCAGCACGACCAGCGUUAAAACCCACCAAAAAUAGUGGCAAUAAGAGGUGCAUAUGGAGGAAGACAGUGAACAGCCACUGCCGUUACCCACAUCAGAUCACCGUCAUGAAGUCUUCCUCCCUCAGUGAUCGAUUAAAUGCGAUUUGGUUUCAUCAAAUUUGGGUUUCUUUUGAUUUAUGGGAGGUUCUUGAGAUGGGUUUAUGUUGGAUAAGUGGAUUUGAAGGAAUCUGGAGAGGGAGAGAGAGUACUUUACUAAAAUUUUCUUUUAACUAUGAAUUAUUGUUCAAAGGAACUUUCCUAACAAUAAACAUAAAAAAGUUCGGAUUCUCUAGCCGGAGAAAAACUUUUCAAUAAUUGUUGCCUCGGACUUGACAAAUAGUCAUGCAUUGCUGUUAAACAAAGACUUGUGCAGUAAAAAGGCAUUGACCAUAUAAAUAAUUGGCUUUGCACUGUUCCAUUCGACACUUUACUUGAGGAAAAGAAUAGCGAGAAAGGACAUUGGCAUCAUAUCUCAGUGGAACUUGACAGUGACAUGUUUGUAUUAUCUCUCAGAUAUCUAUCCAUGGCCUCACGAUAUUCUUCCUCCUCCUUUAUUUUUGUUGAAAAUUGCAGGCCCACACGCAAAGCCUUUAUUAAAUGGGCCAAGCGCUGGGACAAUACCUGGUCUUUUCCUUCUUUUUUUUUUUCUAAAUGUUGUUUUUUUUUAAUUAAUGUCUUUUCUUAAUAUAUGUUUUUUCAGAAUGAUUUUUAAAUUUAUAUUUAAAUUAAAACAUUUUCUCUUUUUUUUUCUUUAUUUAUAUUCAUUUAAAUAGCAAUUAUUUUUUAUUAUUUUGUAUGUAUUUAAUUUUUAAAGAGAUUAUUUUAAUUCAUAUAUAAUUGUUUUUAUGUUUUAAAUAACAAAUAUUUAUUUUUGGAUAAUAUUUCUAAUAUAUGUAACUUUCCAUAAUUUUUUUUAAUUUAAUCAAUUUUAUGUUUGCCUAUUUAUAUUAAUUUUUGAAUAAAUAAAAUUUUCAUUACCAUGUGUGAGUUUUUUUAUUUACACUUAUGAUUUUUUAUACAAAAAUACAUUGGAAAAGCUUUUGUAUAUAAUUUUUUUAAGGAAGAAAAAUUGAUCUAUGACGGAGCGCAUGUCAAAUAGAAUCAUAAAAUUUUCUAAGAUUUAUAGUGCCUUUUAAAAGGCUAGAAAACUAACCUAAAAUAUAAAAUAAUAUAAAUAAUGUGAAAAAAUAUCAAACCACAUCAAUCCAUCUAAUUUUCCUUUUUUGCUACUCUUUGUUUUGUUUAUUUUUUAGCCUUCGUCUUAUUUACUAUUUGUUUUUGUAUUUGAAAUUGUAUUUGAUUGUAUUUGACUUAAAAAUAUUAAAUUAAUAAUUUUUUAGUUUUUUUAAAUUAAUUUGAUAUGUUACUAUUAAACAUAAAAAAAUAUUUUAAUAUAUUCUUAAAUAAAAAAAUACUUAAUAAUAAAUUGCUAGCUACCUUUUUUUAUUUAAUUUAAUCUGUAUGUCGUUUUAUAUUUUAAAAAAAAAAGCAGCAGCAAAAGAAGAAGAAAGAAAAAGAAAGGUAUUAAUUUAAUGCAUAGCCUUUUUUUUUUCUUUUUUAUUCCUUGAUAUGACACAUUCUCAAGUAAUUUAUAUUUGUUGAUACCUUACCCAAAAAUAUUGUCAGUGAAAGUAGUCGGGUAACAAUUUAUAGCAUGUUGGUAUUAUAAUAAUAAUUAUUUUUUAUUUAAAAAUAUAUUAAAAUAAUAUUUUUUUAAAAAAAAAAUUAUUUUUGAUAUAACACAUUAAAAUAAUCUAAAAUUGUUAAAAAAUAUUAAUUUAAAAUAAAAAUAAUAAAAAAUCUGAAAAUACUUUUACAACAUAAAAACAAACUGACACUUAGGAAAGUGAUUUUUUUAUAUAAAAAAUUUCAUCCAAUACUAAUGAUUUCUUAGCAUGGGCAAUGGUAGGGGUUUAAAAAAAUAAAAAAAAAUAAUUAAAAAAACAAGCCGAAAAAAACAAUAUCAAAUUAACCAAUUAAAAAACUAAAAAAAAACCAGUAAGAUUCGUUUUAGUUUCAAAAUUUUAAAAUUAAUGAACAUGACCAGACCAAAAGGCUAACUAGGGGAUGAUAGUCUACCCAUCAUCUCGAACAAUUCAAAGCAAAGGUAAAUUAUAAAUACAAUUAAACACAAUCACUAACAGUAACAAGACAAGAAUUAACUCUGUUAGAAGAUGGUCAUCAAUGCAAAAUGAAUCCCAACAAUGUUGCUAGUAGGAACUUAUUUAAGUUAUUUCACUUAAAUAAUUAUAUAUGGACACAACAUAACAAAAGCUACUACUCUUUAUUACAUGCUUGCACUGAUCUCAUUAUUUAAAUUAAUCCCUUGAUCAUCAGUUUGUGCUGACAAACUUCUUGUAAGGGAAUCAAUUCCUUGUUGUGGAGUUGAUGCUGUUAAAGAACAUCGUAGUUGCUCAAGCUCCCGCUCUGUAUCUGUUACAAUCUUUUCAAGUUCUUUCAACCCCAUCAAAAUAGCAACAUUAUUAACUCGACAUGGGUAAUUAACAAAUAUUUGAUUAAUCAAUGCAAAUUAUUAUUAUUUAAAAAUCAAAAUUAGGAGUCUCAUGAAUUUCAAUUUAAUUUCUCGUUUCAAUAAAUAUAGAGGUAAUUUAACUAAUUUCCUAAUAUUAAUUGAUUAAAACUUGUUAUCAAAUUAAGUAAGGGGGUAUUUAGGGAUAUUUGAAAGUAUUAUAGUAGUUACUUUUAAAAAUAGAAACGUGUAGAGGUAAAUAAUGCAGGAAAUUUGGAGAACAAAAGGAAGCGUGGCUUUCACGGUCCCAACAAGAUGUUUCUAAUGGUGAUUUAUCGGUCACACAACUUGACUUAAAAUGAAUUUCUUUUUAUUGAGGUUUAAAAUCAACAUUGAAUGAAAUAUAUGAUGCUUAAAAAUAUUAUUUGAUAAAUUUUAUUUUUGUCUUUAAAGAUUAAUUAACAUUUUCUUCUAAUCUUAUAGUUUAAACUUUUCUAAUAUUAUCCCUCUAGUUUCUAAAAUUAGCAAUGUUAACUUGGCCAUUAAAAAGCUUACCAUUUACAUUUGGUUUUUGAGUUUUUUUUUUUUUGGGAAUGUUUUUAAGUGUUUUCUUAACAUAUUUUGAGAGGAAGUGAAAGAGAUUUGUAAAACAAAUACUUGUGCUGUGCUGUGUAAAAAUAAAAAAGAUAAGUGGCCAUAUAAAUAAUUGAUUCUGCACUGCUCCAUUAUACAAUUUACUUGAAGAAAAGGACAACGAGAAAGGAAAUCGGUAUCGUACCUCCAUUAAGCGAACAACAUAUCAUCCGUCCCAAUAUUUUUUUUUAAAAUAAGUGGCCAACUAAUAGCGACAUCCUUGAGGACAGCUCCCUUUGGUGCAGUUUUCCUGGGUGGCCUUUAUAGCAGCACCUGACUCUGUCGGAGUUUAUAAAAAUAUAUAUAAAAAAGAUCAGUCCUACCUUGUUAAUUCAAAUAGUUAUUAAUUCUUUUAGACAAUUACUUGACCCAUUCAUUUUCUCAUAAUCUCAAGCUCGUGGAGCAAUAGUUUCAUGGACCCAUCUCCUAGAAAAAACAAAAAAACGCUUGAGAGCAAUGGUCAUGGACCAUCUCACCAGCCUAUAUAUAUCGUGGAAAAAAUGCAGAUGAAAAUAGUCUCACAAACCCAUCUUGUACUGUAAAUUCCUAUCCAUUUUACUUGUUGACUGUGCUACAAAAAAUAAAUCGAUAAGAACUAUAGUAAGAAAAAAGAAGCUUACUUGUGGACCAUCCCACUGGCCUAUAUUGUGGACAAAAUACAGAUGGCAAGUUGGUAAUAGUCUCACAAACCUAUUUCACACUCCAAAUUCCUAUCCAUCUUACUUGUUAAUUGUGCUAAAAAAAAUAGACUGAUAAGAACUAUAGAAAGAAAAAAGAAGCUUACUUGUGGACCAUCCCACUAGCCUAUAUUGUGGACAAAAUACAGAUGGCAAGUUGGUAAUAAUCUCACAGACCUAUUUCACACUCCAAAUUCCUAUCCAUCUUACUUGUUAAUUGUGUUAUAAAAAAUAGACUGAUAAGAACUACAAAAAAAAAAAAAAAACUUAUUGUCAUAAGAAUGACAAGAAGUAUUUUAAAAAUAUUAUCAUUUGUUGUUCAUUUUAUCAAUGCUACUGUUUGAUUUUGCUAUCGCCAUCAAAAUUAAAGCAUAAUUUUCCACAUGUUAUUUCCAUAAAUAAAGUAGCAAGUCUUUCAUAUCCAUCAUUAUCAUGCAAAGUGAGCUUCCUAGCGAUAACCUUUUAUUCAUGAUUUUUUAAAUUAUUUUUAUGCAAUUCAAUUUUUUUUCUACCAUGCAGUUUUAAUCAGCAUUAUUCACCGACAAAUAAAUUAGAAGUGUACUGAAAUGCCCCUCGAAGGAAAACGUUAAUUCUAUCCCAUAGAAAUCUAUUAGGAAAUGAAAAUUACUCUAGUUUUCACAAGUUAAAAAUAGCAAAGAAUACUUGAAGGUGAGUAUAUUAAUGGGAAAAAAACCUUAAAAUAUAAAUUAUUAAAAAAUAAAUAUCCUUUAAUUGGAUACAAUAGGCGCCACAUUGUUGUGUUAUGCUUCAAGAAUAAAAAUCAUAGAAGAUGUUAAUUGCGAUGGGACCCGACUAGGAUGGAGACCCUAGCUAGGCAUCAUUAAUUAACAACUUUAAUCCCACCACAUAAGAAAUGACCAAAAUUCUUCUAACCUUGUGGCUAAGUUCUAUUCCGGGGUUCAACGUGCAUUGCAUUUAUGCGCCUAGAAUAGGGCAUGUCACUUUCAUUUAAAUAUUUGUCCAAUAUUUCUUUGGUUUGUGUAAUUCAAAUGAAAUAAUAUUUGUUGUCCAAGUCUACCUUUAUUUCCCUCCCACGAACGUGCAAGGAGUUCACGUGACCAGUCGAGUGCCAUAAAAAUAAAUAAAUGAAAAAGUCAAAGAAAAGGGAGGGGUGGGGGUGGGGGUGGGGUCAAUCACGUGAACCAGGCAUGGGAUGAUGGGGACUCCGAGCCUUUCGUUUAUAGCCUCCCUUUGGUAAUUUUAUUUGUGAUUUUCUUCCUUUAAUACAAUACGUGCGCGCGUACUGUCGUGGGCUUAUAAAACAAAUACAUUUAAUAAUGUUAUAAUUGUGAACCAGUAUUAGAUAAGUAAUAGAAAUUAAAGGUAUGAUAGAGCAAAUAUUUCAUGACGAAAAAAAAAAUUAUGUUGGUGAUCAAAAACUUAGAGACUGAACAAAAUGAUUUGUAGCAAUUUACCGUGUUUUGUGAGGAAAAAUACAGUGCUUUCACCACAUGAUUUACCUUUUCAGUUAAUAAAAAGAAAAAAAAUUACAAAGCUAAAUUCUCUACCAACUUAAUAUUAAAAAAAAACCAACAAAGAUAAUUUUGGAAGGAAAAAAACCCAUGAGAAAAAAUAUUGUAGCAAUUGACAAUGUUUUGUGAGGAAAACUAUAGUGCUUUUCCCAAUAAAAUAAAAUAAAAAACCAUUUAGAGAAAUAUUGUAGCAAUCCACAGUGUUUUGUGAGAAAAACUACAACGCUUUCCUCAUAUGAUUUAGUUUUACUGUAAUUAUAAUUCUUAACCAACUCAAUAUUAAAAAAAAUUUGACAAAGAUAAUUUUGGAAAAAAUCAUAAAAAAAAUCACAUGGGAAAACACUGCAACAAUUCACAGUGUUUUAAAGAAAAAAAAUUACAAAGCUAAAUUCUUAAUCAGCUCAAUAUUAAAAAAAAAUCAACAGAGAUAAUUUUAGAAAAAAAAUAAAAAAACAAACACCAAAAAAAGAAAAAAAAAUCAUGUUGGAAACACUGUAGCAAUUCACAGUGUUUUGUGAUGAAAGCUACAAUGCUUCCCUACAUGAUUUAGCCUUAUUUGUAAUUACUUGUAAUUAUAAUUUACAAACAACUCAAUAUUAAAAAAAUAAAAUUAAAAAAGAUAAUUUGAAAAAAAUUAUAACAAAAAACCAUGCGGAGAGACACUAUAGCAAUCCACAAUGUUUUAUGAGCAAAGCUACAACGUUUUCCCCACAUAAUUAAGCUUUAUUACAAAGUUAAAUUCUAACCAACUCAAUAUUAAAAAAAAUAAAAUUGACGAAGAUAAUUUUGAAAAAAAAUAUCACAAAAAAAGAAAACAAAAAAGAAACUGGAAGAAAACCAUGUGAGGAAAAACUGUAUCAAUCCAUAGUGUUUUGUGAGGAAAAACUUGUAUUUACUUGUAAUUGCAAUUCUUAACCAGCUUAACAUUUAAAAAAUAAAAUUGACAAAGAUAAUUUUAGGAAAAAACAUUAUAAAAACAGAAAAAAACCAUGUGGGAAAAAACAUGUAGCAAUCAACAGUAAUUUUCAAAAAAAGUUAUAGUGCUUUCCUAACAUAUUGUAACGGUAAUUUUUAACCAGCUCAAUAUUAAAAAAUAAAAUAAAAAAAGAUAAUUUUGGAGAAAAAAAAUCAUGCGGAGAAACACUGUAGCAAUCAACACUGUUUUAAAGAAAAAAAAUUACAAAACCAAAUUCUCAAUCAGCUCAAUAUUAAAAAAAAUCAAUAAAUAUAAUUUUGAAAAAUAAAGAAAUGAAAUAGAAAAACUAUGUGGAAAAACAUCGCAGCAAUUCACAGUAUUUUAAAGAAAAAAAAUUAAAAAGCAAAAAUUUUAACCAGGUCAAUAUUUAAAAGGUAAAAUCAACAAAAAUAAUUUUGGAAAAAAAAUAAAUGAAAAAAAAAGAAAAAAUAGGAAAGUUGAAAAAAAAAUUGAAAAAAAAACGAAAAAAAGAGAGAAAAGAAUCACUGUGGAUUACUGUUGUAAUCCACAGUGAAAUGUGUGGGGGGGAACAAUGAUUCCCCCACACCAUUUAGAGUAUACUAGUUACAUGACCCGCGCGAUGCUGCGGGUCAAUGAUUUUUGCAUAAAAAAUAUCAAAAAAAAGUUAAGAUUUAAAAGUAUUAGGUUUUUUUGCAAAGCUGCACCCAAGAGUCUUGGGUGUGGUUGCAACGCCUGACCCAAGAGUAAUAUUUAUAAUAUUAAUAAUAACAUUAAACUUGCAUGACCCAAAUUUCAGUGGAUCUGACUGCAAUACCAGACCCAAUAGUCUUGGAUGUGGGUCUUGCUGCAAGGUCGUGUCAUAAAAGUGUGUUAAUUAAAUAGAUUAAUUAAAAAGAAAAAAACAAAGAAAAAAAACCAAAAGGAAGAAAAAAAUUAAUGAAGAAAAAGAAAAAAAAUCUGAAUUAACUGAGUUAACCCUUCAAACCAGGUUAACCCGUCAAACCUUGGAUUUGUGUCGUGAAAGUUUGAUAACUAAAUAGAAAAAAAAUUGACAGGUUAACACAAAAUUAACGGGGCUAACCGGUCAAACCAGGUUAACCCGUCAAACCCGGAAUCCGUGUCAUGAAAGUUUGAUAACUAAAUUAAACAAAAAAAAUUAAUUAAAAAGGAAAAAAACAAACAAAAACGCAUCAGCCUUUUCACUGUGGACUCAGUAUGCAGUCUACAGUUAAAGAUAAAAAAACAACAAAAAAAGCAAAAAGAAAAAAAAACUAAAAACAUCAGUCGAUAAGUAAAUAGAAAAAAAUAUAAUAUUGACGAACUAAAUUCAAUAAAAAAAUAUUAAAUAAAAAGAAACAAUAAAAGAAAAAAAAACUUAUAAGAAGAAAAAAACUAAUGAAGAAAAAGAAAAAAAAUCUAAAUUAACUGGGUUAACCUGUCAAACCUGAGAUCCGUGUCAUGAAAGUAUGAUAACUAAAUAGAAAAAAAAUUUAAUAUCAACAAACUAAAUAAAAAAAUUAAUUAAAAAGAAAAAAAAGGAGGCAUCAGCUUUUUCACCGUGGCUGCACUGUGCAGUCCACUGUGAAAGGCAUAAAAAAAAGCAAAAAACAAAAACUAAAGGCUUCAGCCUUUUCACUGUGGACUGCAUAUAAUAUUAAAAGAUGAAAUCGGAAGAACAAAACUAAUGAGAAAAAAGAAAAAAAUCUGAAUCAACCGGGUUAACCCGCCAAAUUAGGUUAACCUGUUAAACCUGAAAUUUGUAUCAUGAAAGUGUGAUAACUAAAUAGAAAAAAGAUUUAUUAUUAAUUAAAUAAAUUAAAAAAAAGAUUAAUUAAAAAGGACAAACGCAAAGAGAAAAAAAAAACCUAAAGGAAGAAAAAAAACUAAUCAAGAAAAAGAAAACAAAUCUGAAUAAACUGGGUUAACCCGUCAAACCUGAAAUCCAAGUCAUGAAAGUCUGAUAAUUAAAUAGAAAAAAUUUAAUAUUAAGAAAACAAAAAAAUAAUUAAAAAAAAGGCAAAAAAAAAACUAAAGGCAUCAGCUUUUUCACUGUGGACUGUACUAUGCAAUCCACAGUAAAAGGCUUAAAAAGGAAAAGAGAGAGAAAAAAAACAAAGGCACGCGCCACAGGUUAAAUUUUUUUUCUUGCAUAAAAAAUAUCAAAAAAUGCUAAGAUCUAGGAAUGUUAGGUCUUUCUGCAAAGAUAUGCCCAAAAGCCUUUAGUUUAGUUGCAACGUUUGAACCAAGAGUAAUAUUUAUAAUAUUAAUAAUAAUAUUAAACUUACAUGACUCAAGUUUAAGUGAGUAUAGCUGCAGCACCGAACCCAAGAGCCUUGAAUGUGAGUCUGACUGCAAGGUCGUGUCAUAAAAGUGUGAUAAAUAAAUAGAUUAGUUAAAAAAAACAAAGAAAAAAAAACCAACAGGAAGAGAAAAACUGAUGAAGAAAAAGAAAAGAAUCUGAAUUAACUGGGUUAACCCUUCAAACCAGGUUAACCCGUCAAAUCUGGGAUUCGCGUCAUGAAAGUUUGAUAACUAAAUAUAAAAACAAAUUGACGGGUUAACCCGUCAAGCCCGGGAUACGUGUCAUGAAAGUCUGAUAAUUAAAUAGAAAGAAAUUUAACAGUAAAAAACUAAACUAAAUGAAAAAAAAUUAAUUAAAAAGAAAAAAAGCAAAAAACAAAUUCCGGGUUAACUCGUCAAACUUUAAAAAAAGCAAAAAAAAAAUUCUGGGUUAACUCGUCAAACCAGGUUAACCCGUCAAACCCGGGAUCCGUGUCAUGAAAGUUUGAUAACUAAAAAAAAAAUUAACAUUAACAAACUAAAUUAAACAAAAAAAAUUCAUAAAAAAAACACAAAGAAAAAAAGAAAAAAAAACCCAUAAAGGCAUAAAAAGCAAAACAAAAAAACAAAAAAAAAACAGUUUAGCGUUUCACAUGGACUGCACAGUGAAACACUGAACAAUUUUAGUAUAUCUUAUUAAUUAAAAAGAGAAAAAGCAAAAAAAAUAAAUUCGAGUUAACUCGUCAAACCAGGUUAACCCGUCAAACAUAGGAUCCGUGUCAUGAAAAUCUGAUAACUAAAUAAAAAAAUUAACAUUAACAAACUAAAUUAAACAAAAAAAUUCAUGAAAAGAAAAAAACACAAAGAAAAAAGCAAAAAAAAAAACCCAUAAAGGCAUAGAAAAAAAAUAAAACAAAAAUAAAAUAAAAAAAAUAAAAAAAAGAAAAAAACGAAAAGAAAAAAAGAAAAAAAAGAAAAAAAAAAGACGACUGCACAGCGUUUCACUGUGGACUUGCACAGUGAAACACAAUAUUAAUAAUAAUAUUAAACUUAUAUGACUCAAGUUUAAGUGAGUCUGGUUGCAACACCGGACCCAAGAGCCUUGAAUGUGAGUCUGGCUGCAAGGUCGUGUCAUAAAAGUAUGAUAAAUAAAUAGAUUAGCUAAAAAAAUAAAGAAAAAAAACCAACAGGAAGAGAAAAACUAAUGAAGAAAAAGAAAAGAAUCUGAAUUAACUGAGUUAACCCUUCAAACCAGGUUAACCUGUCAAAUCUGGGAUUUGCGUCAUGAAAGUUUGAUAUCAAAAUAUAAAAACAAAUUGACUGGUUAACCCGUCAAGCCCGGGAUACGGGUCAUGAAAGUCUGAUAAUUAAAUAGAAAGAAAUUUAACAUUAAAAAACUAAACUAAAUGAAAAAAAUUAAUUAAAAAGAAAAAAAGCAAAAAAAAAAACUCAUAAAGGCAUAAAAAGGAAAAGAGAGAAAAAAAAAACAUAGGCACACGCCACGAGUUAAUUUUUUUUCUUGCAUAAAAAAUAUCAAAGAAGGCUAAGAUCUAAGAGUGUUGGGUCUUUUUGCAAAGAUAUGCCCAAGAGCCUUUGGUUUAGCUGCAACGCUUGACCCAAGAGUAAUAUUUAUAAUAUUAAUAAUAAUAUUAAACUUACAUGACUCAAGUUUAAGUGAGUCUGGCUACAACACCAGACCCAAGAGUCUUGAAAGUGGGUCUGGUUGCAAGGUCGUGUCAUAAAAGUGUGAUAAUUAAAUAGAUUAAUUAAAAAAAAACAAAAAAAAACCAACAUGAAGAAAAAAAACUAAUGAAGAAAAAGAAAAAAAAUCUGAAUUAACUGGGUUAAACCUUCAAACCAGAUUAACCCGUCAAACCUGAGAUUCGCGUCAUGAAAGUUUGAUAACUAAAUAAAAAAAAUUGACGGGUUAACCCGUCAAGCCCGAGAUACGUGGCAUGAAAGUCUGAUAAUUAAAUAGAAAGAAAUUUAACAUUAAAAAACUAAACUAAACAAAAAAAAUUAAGAAAAAAGAAAAAAAGCAAAAAACAAAUUCCGGGUUAACUCGACAAACUUUAAAAAAAGCAAAAAAAAAUCCAGGUUAACUCGUCAAACCCAGGAUCCGUGUCAUGAAAGUCUGAUAACUAAAAAAAAAAUUAACAUUAACAAACUAAAAUACACAAAAAAAAAUUCAUUAAAAGAAAAAAAACACAAAGAAAAAAAGCAAAAAAAAACCCAUAAAGGCAUAAAAAGCAAAAUAAAUAAAUAAAAAAAACAAAAAAAAAAUUAAAAACGAAAAAAAAACAGUUUAGCGUUUCACUGUGGACUGCACAGUGAAACAUUGAACAGUUUUAGUAUAUGUUAUUAAUUAAAAAGAAAAGAAAAAAAAAUUCGGGUUAACUCGUCAAAUCAGGUUAACCUGUCAAAUCUGGGAUCUGUGUUAUGAAAAUUUGAUAACUAAAUAAAAAAAUUAACAUUAACAAAUUAAAUUAAAAAAAAUUAAUUAAAAGAAAAUACACAAAUAAAAAAGCAAAAAAAAACCCAGAAAGGCAUAGAAAAUAAAAAAAAAUAAAAACAGAAAAAAAUAGGAAAAAAAUAAAAACAAAAAAAAAGAAAAGAAAAAGAAGAAGAGGUAUUAAUAUCGAAACUUUCCUCAUUAAAUGAAACUCUUUGAUAUUAAUAUUGACUAUAUUGAUGGUCGGAAUUGGUAUCAACAUUGAUUUUCUUUCUUUACUCUUAAAAUUCAGUGAUUUCUCUCGUCUAUCAAAUCAGAGAUUAAAAAAACAACAAAAAUAGAUUUCAGUACCAAAAUUAAAUUGCAAAACUAUUGAGGGAUUGAAUAGGUAUAAUUUGUAAAGUUUGAUAAUUAAAGUAAAAUUUUUUGUGAUAACUUUAAAUCAAUCACUUAUUUAUAAUUUUUUUUUAUUUUUUAUUUUUAAAUUUUAUUUUUAAUCAUGACUUAACUAUUAUUUAAUUUGGCUCAAAAAAUACAAAAGUAAAAAAAAAUUAAGGAAUAAAAAAAAAACAGUAAAUCCAAAGUAAACUUAACAACAGUACACGUGUAUAAUAAUAAUAAUACUUCGUCUUAUGCUUUAUUUGGUUAAAAAUAAAAAAAAACUAGUCUGUCAGACAUGGACCAACGAGCCAUCAAUCACGCUAUGAUCACACGGUCGUUGUUCUCUGAUGGUUUCCGAUGUGGGAACAUAAAUUUUGUUUCAAGUUGUCAUUGCGUUAAUUUUUAUAGUUGCAGAAAAUAAUUUUUUUUAAAAAAACAUUUGUAGUUGUUUUCAGUUGGAUUAAUAUAUAUAUAUAUAUAUAUAUAUAUAUAUAUAUAUAUAUAUAUAUAUAUAUUAAUUAUGAUUGAAAUUAUAGUUAAAUAAAAAAUAUUUAAAAGAUGUUUAGCUAAAAUUGUUUUUGAAAGUGUUAUUGAUAAUAAAAUAACUAAAAUGAAAAUAUAUUUAAUAAGGUUAAAUUACAUAAGUAUAUAUAAUUAUUAUCACAUAAAAAAUAUAACAAAAAACAAUAUGUAGUUACUUGUGGAUCAUGAAAUAAAUUUUAAUAGUAAUAAAAAGUCACAAAGAAAUAUAUAUAUAUAUAUAUAUAUAUAUAUAUAGAGAGAGAGAGAGAGAGAGAGAGAGAAAUAUACAUUUGUUAAGCUAUUGGAUUUAAGUCCUAUUUAACAAAAACGAGUCCAAGCUGCAAGUGGGAAGAUAACCAAAUGCCCUUUGAUUUAGUUGUUCGAUGUGGGAUAAUCUUCUACUGUUUUCUUCUCACUUUUGGCUUCAAAUCCUGAUAAAACAAAGAAUGGGAUAACAUGCAGCACGAGUCAAUGGUGCAACAGUACAACUUACCUAACCUUCAACAGGAUCUCUUCAAAGAAAUAUAUGAUUUACUCUGUUUUUUCAAGCAAAGAUUUUUAUUCAUUAUACUCCUGGGAGCAACGCCAAAAAACUCUGUGAGACAACAGUUUCUCUUUAACCUUUUUUUUUUAAUGGUUAGUUGGACGUGAUUGGACACCUAGCUCGAACAAUUGAAUUUCGAUCAAGAACUAAAGAUAUUGACAAAAGGUAUCAAGUUAAAAUACCUACCACCUUUCGAUCUCACUGCUCACUUUAAUAUUCGGAUUCAAUUCACCAAAGACCCUUAUCUUCUCUAUUAAAAACUACAUAUUUCUUCUCUUUAAUUACCAAAAUAUAAGAUAUAAAAAAUUACAAGAAUCUAAUUCAAGCUUACAAGGAAGCGAACAAGGACAGGUUAUGCACUGACAUCUUAGAGAGGGAAAUGAGAAGGAAUCCAAUGGCCGGGAGUGCCUCCAUCACUUCCCAUACAAUGGAUGAUGAUCUUCACAUGAAGCUGCUAUACCUGGAGAACAGAGGUAUAUUGUUCUGCACAUGAUAAUUUUGUUCCUGUUUACAAUUAACUUGCCUUUUCCCCUAAGAAUUUCAAGAUUAAUAUGCCGAAAGCUGAAGUUUUUUGUUAGUUUACUGAAAUCUCUUUCUUGCACAUAGAGAGAAAUCCGGCAAUGAUAUUUUCACAUACUCUCUUGAGAUACCUACAUAUUAACAUUACUGAUCUUCUCGCUGCUCUAUCCGAGCUUUAAAUUCCUUGGUUUUGGUGCUGGGGGUGUCCUGCUAGCUAUCCUCUCUGCUCUUCUCCAAAUAGGAGCUUUUAUGCUCUUUCUAUUUUAGUCUCCUAAUCUACCAAGCAAUCUUGAUGAAAACAGAGAUUUUCUAUAUGGCAUCUGAUGCGCACAAAGGUGAAGGCAUCCCAUUGAUUUAUGACUUUAGCGCCUUUUGUUCAAUUAUGAUCUUGAUUGAUUCAAAUGGAUAUCUAUCAUCGCUUCUAAUUAAAUGUAUGAUCAAGUGUUGUGGUGUACAUCACAGUGGCAUUUGCAAGAUUAUUCUUCCCUACUGAAGCCAAGCUAGCCAUGGACAUUGGACAUGCUGCAACAACACCAGAAUUUGCUGGUCUUGCUGCAUCAAAAGGUUCUAACGGGAAUUUGAGGGAGGUUGACCUAGAUGACACACCAAUAACGCAGAACAUAAGACUUCGUUCUAGGAUGGAAGCCCUAACGAAAACAGGUACAUGGAAACUAUGAAUCCUUCUGUUUCAGGAACCAGCAUCAGGACAUGUUAUAAUGUGUUAUCAUUACGAGGGUCCUAGAAUAUUUUAAUCUGAUUGACUCAAUUGAAUUCCCAUGAAGUUGCAGAAUUGAGCAAAUCAAAUAUCACUUGUGGCUUAGAAAAUACAAACUAUUUAGUUUUUGCAAUUAUUUUCAUAUUAGCUGUGUUUGUCAUGAUGGCAGUUGAAAUGGGCCGACGAUACUUCCCCAAUUGCUCCGAAGUGCUCGAUAAGUUCAUGGAGGAUGACCUUCCUGAUUUGUUUUACCAUGAAAAGGGCACCCCAGAUGAACAAAGAAUCAAGAAGACACGUUUCAUGGAGCUUAAAGAGGAUGUUCAGGGGGCAUUUAUCAAGGACAAGGCUGAGAUUAACCCCACUAAUUGUUGAGUGAAGCAAGAACAAUGGACCAUGCAGUCAUGGCAAGAUAAGGAGAGGAAUCAUAGCAUUGACUAAGAUAUAAGGAGCACACUCUUUUAAUUUAUGUUUUUUCUUUUAAUAAGGAGCACGAACCUUUCGCUCAUCGACUAUGAAUAUUGUGCUUUGUCUUGGAAAAACGAAAAACUAUGAAUGUUGAGUUUCGGUCCACGGCAAGCAAGGGACGAACACACUGUUUCAUCCCAUUCAUACAGGACAGGACGACCGUGAGUAUCUAUGCAACCAAAUCAUCUGCUGAACGUCAAGUCAAUGGUUCAAACUCCAAUGGUGGCUUUAGCGCAAACCAGCCAGUUCCAAAAACUCCAUUAACCUUUCGAGCUAUCAUGGCAGAGGUGUAAAAUGGAUUGACAGGCCCAUGGGCAGAACAAGCUUCCAAAUAUGGGCAGCGCCUGGCAUGGUCAAAAAGUUCUUAAAAGGCUGGGCUACUGCUUGAUAGCAUGAAUGUUUGAAAGUGGAGUAGAUAUUAUUUUUUAAAAUAUUUUAUAUUUUAUAAUAUAUUAAAUUUAUUAUUUUUAUUUUUAAAAAAUUAUUUUUUAUAUUAAUAUAUUAAAAUAAUCUGAAAAUAUAAAAAAUAUAUUAAUUUUAAAUAAAAAUAAAUAAUUUUUUUUCAAAAGUAUUUCUGAAACGUAAUAUCAAACAUUGCCUUAAAUGAUCUAACAUGUCGUAUGACUCGUGCUUUGUUAUGGGUUAAAUUUUUUUAUUUUUAUAAAAAUUAUUUAUGUAGUUUUUUUUAAUAUAUUUUAAUAAUUCAAAAAAUAUAACAAAUUAAAAAUUUUAUGUAUUUAUAUAAUUAAAUAAACUAAGAAUUAUCUAUGUUAAUAAAUCAAUAAAAAAUUAUUAAAGACAAACUAUAAAUAAAUUAGGAAAAUCACUUCGAAAAUAACACCUCGCAGAUGGAAUCGACCACCGACAGUCGCACUGCUACAGUUGUAAAAUUCCCGCCGCCCUCGAUAACAGUGUAUCAGUCAAAACCUUAUCCUUGGUCUCUUGUCAGCGUAAGCAUUCAAUAUAGAUGGCUGAUUUAAUUAAAAAAAAAGGGAUAGAUGACGGAUUUUUCUAAAAAAAUAUUUUUUAUGUCUUAGAAUAUUUUUUUAUUCAUAAUUGUUUAAAACAAGGGUAAAGAAUUUGGGAUAAUAAUACAUGUUAAAAAAAUAUCUAUAAAAUAGCAUAGUUUUAUGUCUUAGAAUAUUUUUUUUAUUCAUAAUUGUAAUUUAGAAUAAUAAUUGCAUUUCAAAAUAUAUUUAUUUAAUAUAUAUUAUUUAAUAAAUAUAUAUUUUUAAAUUAAUUAACCUAUACAAAAAUCAAUUAAAACUUUUAUAAAAUUUAAAGGUUAAAAGAUUAGACUCAAAAUUCAAAACUUUUAAUUAAAGCUUGUGUUUAAGUACUAUUCUUAAUAACAAUCGUAUUCAAACUAUAUUAUUUUAUUAAUAUUUUAUUAAUAUUUUUUAAUAUUACGAAACUCUAAAAUAUCUAACACGACAUCUAUAAAAAAGAAAUGAGGGGAAGGGGGUCACAAAGCAAACAUAGAGAGAGAGAGAGAGAGAGAGAGAGAGAGAGAGCUAAGGACAAUGAUGAGGAAAAUAUUGGUUGCAGUGUUGAUUGUGAGCAUGGUCGCUUCUCAUUUUGAGAACGUAGCGUCUGAUGCUUCUGAUUGCGAUGACGCAUGUACCACCGGCUGCGUUCAAUCAAACACAAGACUUUUGCGCCGCUGUGAUAUCAAAUGUGGGAUAAGAUGCGGUCCAGAUUCCGAAGUCGAAGAUCACACAGGUUAAAGAACUUGGGAGUCUCAAAGAUGAAUGCUACCUGGAAUCUAUUUAUGGAAUAAUUUGCAGCUACUCUUUUGACUGUUUUUAUUUUCUGUCAAAUUCUCAGUGUUGAUAGUCUUUGUAUUAGAAAUAAGAAGGGAAGGGAAGGGGAGGAUUAGGGCUAUCCAAUCUCAAAUUUGAAUAAAGAAAGGAGAGAAUCACUUCUGAAACUUCAGUUGCUGUAAGAAAAAAUUGUAGCCUUUUGUUCUUGAAACUUGAUGAUCAUCAUUUUAGACACAGAAAAACACAGAUUCAUCUUUCAAGCUAUAAGGCACCAGUAAAGUACACACUGCAAUCUGCAUAGUGGAACAAGCAAUUAAAGGAAAUCAUGAUAAACGAAGUGGAAGAGGAGAGAGGCCAUAUUGUCAUCUUCCUUGAUCUGGAACGAAGAACCAGAAGAAAUUCCUCAGAAUCCUAAAACAGCAAAUAACCUCCAUAAAUAAAAUGGAUUUUUAAUGGAGGAGACAAUUUCAUUAGCCAGUUGAACUCAG
rnacentral:lncRNA from 1 species